ACAAUUGCCUUGUUGUUCAUGCCACCAGCACAAUUCAACAGAACAAGCCCUCGAACAAGGGUCUGACUAGAUUCUUAUGGUAGAAAAUAUAGCACGUUUAUCGUAAACCAUAGAUACCAAAAAGGAUAAUCAGGGACAAGUGUUUCUUUGCAAGCAAGUUGAAGAAUAUCUGAUGUCCAAGGGGAAGUUAAAAUAAAUAUACCUGAGGCAGCGAUAACACAAGCUAGGCUUCCAACAGAAUUACCUAUAAGCACAGUUGGCUUCUGAACAACUUCAUCCAAGAAAUCCAAUAUUAGCUGUAUCAGUGAAUCUCACUCAAGUUAGCAAGGAAAAUAACUAAAGGUCAAGUGAUUGAUGACAUAAGUACAGAGAAAGAUCCAACUUCCGGCUAGGGAACAUUGCACACCUGAGCCCAUGCCUCCAUGGUAUAUGAAUAACCAGCUGGCUUAUCUGAAGCACCAAAUCCAAGAAGGUCAAUUGCAUAAACCAUGUAGCUCUUCGCCAGGGUGCCGAUAUUCCUGAAAUUACCUCAGAGAUGACAAGAAAAAUAUCAAUUCCUCACAUUAUUUAAUAGGAUAAAGGAGUAGUGAACACACAAAUUUUCAUUCCUCUCUUCUACGGAGCGGUAAAAUGAAUACUUUUUCACUAGAUUAAGAAUUGGAAAAUGGAAGAAGCCUAUACCCAUAAAAGGGUAAUAUGAAAUGGAACCCUGAAAUUCAGAUCACUGGUUUGUCAUCAUCUAGGUGCAAGGAAUAGAACUAAGUGUUAAUGCCAAUGCACCAUGAAAUAAUGAAUAGAUUUUACUUUCAUUAUUCUUUUGCUUCAUUGAUCUUAAUUAAUUAUUAGAAGUAUAACACAUAUAAAUCCAUCCCUGGAGUUCAUAAUACAUAACAGAGUCAGAGAUAUUACAUACAUAAGGUAAAGACAUGCUCCACACAAAAAAAAAAAAAAAAAUUACAGUCGAAAAUACCCAGAACAUAAUUUGAAUUGAAUUCACAAUAAAGGAGCUACAUUUUUGUGCACCCAAUAAUCAACCCGCUAGACAAUUCACAACAAGAAAGAGCAAUCUUAUCUCGCUAACCUGCGCCAGUGAGGAAUGGAGGCACCAAAGCCAUGGACAAGGAGUAGAGGAGGAGAAUCGGGAUGUGAAUUUGGAGUUGAAGAAACCAAGUAAUUGAUGGAGUACUGACCCUUCCAUUUCCACAUUUUGCAACUCUCCCUUAUCUCAUUAACCUCCAGUUCCAGUGCAGCAGAAGCAGAAUCCCCUCCACUGCUACUGUUAGUAUAACUGAUGGUAACAUUUUGUCUCUUCUUCUUCUCCUCAUUCCUCUGCUGCAACUCCAACUGCAACUGAAACUGCCAACUCUUAUUGCUCAAUAGGGGCAAGCGCAGGCCUUUUACAUCUCCAUUUCCAUUUCCAAUCCUGAGCUUUGUUAUUGGAAUAAUGAAAGAGGGAGCCCGAGCCCUUACCAUCCACACGCUCAUUCUUCUCUUGCUUUUUCAAUUGAAUAUUUUCUGUGGCCUGGCUUGGCCUGCUCCUCCCCUGCUUCCACCUCUAUGCGACUGUGGCUAUGACAAAAACUUUUUAUAUACUUAUUUAUUUAUUGGGCUUAUUCCACUAUAAUAUGAAAAUUUUACUGAUAUUCCUCAAAAAUCAAAAUGAUAAUACUUCGUCUAAAAAAUAAUUAUAAAACAUACAUGCUAUGUUUUAAAAUUUUCAAACAAAGAAGAACUUUGUAGAGUUAAUUAACUAGAUUUAUUUUAGUUUGCUUUCUUGUGAUUUAGAUUAUUUUAUUAUAAUUAGCUACAAAGAUUGCUUUGUCAUAAGUUUAAAUUGAUUAUUUUACCCUUAUAAGGUAAAAAUAUUAAGAAUUUGCUUUAAUUUCAAUAUUUUUCUAAUUUUAUACCAAACUCAUUGUUUCUAAUACUAUUUUACUAAUUACUAGUAUGAGUUUUAAUCUUUAAUUAAACUAAAAUAGUAUCUUUAGGGCAUGAUACUCAUGUAACUUAUUGGGAUGUCAAUUUUAUGUUAUUUACACAUAAAAGUAGAGAAAAUAACAAUUAGAUUUUAUUUAAAAAUAUUAUAUUAUAAGCCACAAAAUUAGAUACAUAAAUUAUUAGAUACAAUAACUCAUGUUUAUUAUGGUAAUUUAGUCACUAUAUAUCAUAAUAAUAAAAUACUAAAAUAAAUCUUGUAUUAAACUUUAUGAUUAAAGAUGGUCAAAUAACCUAAGAAGAAAAUCAAUAGAAGGAUUUUACUGAUUAACUAUACAAAAUUUUUAUUAAUUUUUAUUUUUAAAAAAAUAUUGUGAAUUCAUUACAAUUAAUUUCUAGAAGUAGGGUGGAUUUAUAAAAUAGUGGGGUGCAAAUACCCUUACCCAAAUAUUCCAUAAAAAGUGAAAACUAUUACCUUUUUUGAUGUACUUCUCUUGAAUUUUUUAUUCCUACGGAUAAACUUUAAUUCAUCCCCAAAUAAAAUGAUAAUCUCUAAUUUGCUCUCAAUGUAAACCUCAAUUUAUUCUUCAUUUCUGUCCAAAAGAUGAGGGGCAAAUAAGGAAUGUGUUGAUGGGUUUUUUUUUUUUUUAAUCUUCUUAACAAUAAAUGGGGUAAAUUGAUAUUUUUAUACUUUUAGGUGAUAAAUUAAAGAUUUUCAUUCUGAAUUGGGGGCAAAUUAAAAUCUAUCUUAUUUCUAAAGGCACCACGUGAUUUGGCAAAAUAACUAGAAAGAUAUUUUGUUUUUAGAAAAGGUCACACAUGUCUCUUUUGAGAUACACAAAUUCUCUUUCAGAUAAAACAUUAGGAUUUGUGUGAUUAUUUCUUGACCAAAAGGGUUUGUGUUUCAAAAAAAUGAUUAUGUGAUUAUUUUGCCUGACCGAGAGAGUCAUUAUUCAAACACCAAUCACAUUUUUGUUUUAACAAACACCCUUUCAUUUAUUCUUUAAGCUUUUUUUUUGUUUUUUUCCCAAAAAAUGAUGAAUAGAUAUUGAAAAUUUUGUUUUCAUUUUUUUAUUGAAAAAAAUGAAAAACACCAAAUAUUACUGCUUCCUUGUCCAUACUUUUUCGUCCUAUAUUACCUUAAUUUUAUAUCGUUUUCUCUAUUUCUAUUUUUAUAGUCCAAUUCUGAAAAUACAGUAUUAGACACAUUUUUAAAUUGAAAAACACCAAACAUAGUGCAUCAUUUUCAUUAUAAGCAUUAACACCUGACGUACACAUUCUCCAAAUGGGAUUAAUGGGAAAAAAAAAUGGUGACUCCUUCAGAAAUGAAGUUGUACAAUUAGUUUGAAUUGAGUAGAUACAGAGACGUCUCCAUUGUGCUAUAGUGCCAUUCCUCGUAGAAGAAUCUGAUGGCGGAACAAUACCUACAGCAUCCAAUUUUUCUGGCACAAGGGGUUUUGUGAACAACAAAACUGGCUCAAGAGGAUCCUGAAACCCCACAGUUACAUUUUCAAAAUGAUGCACUGCUGAUAUUCAGAAAUAAAACAAGGAUAAAACAUUUUCGAAAGCUUACUUAAAUCAUUUUUCCUUCCAACCACAGAUAGGUCAAUAAGUCAAAUACUGGAGCUGACAGAGCGCUGGCAGAAUUAACUACAAACCACCAGAUUUAUCGUGUUAAUUGAUUGUUUUCAAUUACCACGGUAACCCGGCUCGGGUGUUACCUCUGUUUCUGUCAGUGCUCUGUUGAAUAUUUCCGUUUAAAAAUCAGCAUUCAUAUAUGUAAGUAGUAUGGCAGCAGCGAAAUAUCAUGCGUAAUAAUUAGGCUAUUAGUUCUGGGUCCAGGAAUUGAGAUAAUCAGAUUAGGUGCAAAAGCUAUAUGUACCAAUUUAUGUAGCCAUGCAUAAUAUAUUCAUUUUUGACUUGCAAAUUCUUCCUUUUCACAACUUUAGGUACAACUUUUCCUUUCCUUUUGAAGGCCCACUCCAGUAGGGGUGGGCAUUUGGUUCGGUUCAGUCUGAACCGAACCGAACCGAACCGUAUUAUGAUAAUUUAGUUCGGUUUGGUUCGCAGCAAAAAAUUAAAUGGUUCAGAAGCAUACAGAGUAGGGGUGGGCAUUUGGUUCGGUUCAGUCUGAACCGAACCGAGCCGAAUCGUAUUAUGACAAUUUGGUUCGGAGCAAAAAACCAAAUGGUUCAGAAAGCAUACAGAGUAGGGGUGGGCAUUUGGUUCGGUUCAGUCUGAACCGAACCGAGCCGAAUCGUAUUAUGACAAUUUGGUUCGGAGCAAAAAACUAAAUGGUUCAGAAAUUCUGAACCAUUUGGUUUUUUAUUUGGUUCGGUUUUACCGAACCAAAUGGUUCAAGAAAAAAUUAAAAUUAAAAAAUAGUUCAGAAUUUAUCUUUUUUUUUAAUUUCUGUUUGUUAGUUAAUACAUGAUAUUAUAUAUGUCAUAGCAUACACUUUAUUUUAUUGUUGAACUUUAUUAUUUUAAUUUAUUAUUGUUAAAUUUUAUUACAUUGGUUAUUAUUUAUGGAUUUCUAGAUUAUUUUUGGAAUUUAUUAUGUUAAUUUACAAUUGUUAGAUUUUAUUAUGUUGUUUAUUGUUUGCUAAUUUAUAGACUCAAGAUUAUUGUUGUAUUAAUAGCGUAUUAUUAUAUUAUAUUUUUUUUAUUAAAUAAUGAAUAUAUAGGAUAAAAUCAAAUCAAACCGAACCGAACCGAACUGAACCAAAUUAAUUUGGUUCGGUUCUAUAAUUUGGUUCAUAAAUUCAUGAACCAUUUGGUUUUAGGAGGAUGGUUCUGCCACGACAGGUAAUACCAUAAACAAAUGAUUUCACCACAUUUCAAGAAAGCAUUUAACUUAUGCCUCAUUUUCAUUCUAGCAAUUUGCUUGCCAUUGGCUGAUUGGAAAAAGUGCAUUUUAGUGAUAGAAUACUGUCAACCUAUAGCACGAAUAGGGGUUAAACAAAGUAAAUCCCUACCUUUACAUGUCAAAUAAAAGACUUUCGUAAUAUCAAAUAUCAAAACUCAUGUCUAGUAAAGGAUUCCCCAAUGCUGGCUCUCAAAAUUGCUUUUGUUUCAUGGAUGAGAUGAUGGUUUUUGUGGAUAUUCUGCUCAACUUGGAUCAUGCCUUGGGUCAGAUCCCAACUUGCUGCAAAGCUCACCUGACUAAAUCUUAGUUGAUUUGCUUUUCCAAACUAAAUCCAAGCAAGUAAGUACAAGAGAUAAAAGCAAAAGUUCAAGCAUCUCUUUUGAGCCUGUCACUAACAAAUGGUCAAUGAGCAAUGUCUACCUAUGACUGAGCAACAGAAUCAAUAAACAGACAGACAAAAAAUAAUAAUCAAGUCAUCUGUCAAAUGCUAGUCCAUGAAAAUCAUAUAUAGAUAUAUAUAUAUAUAUAUAUGUAUGUAUGUAUGUAUGUAUAUGUAUAUGUAUAUGUAUGAUCAUUCAUUUCUCAAUCAACCACCAAAUUGAUGUCAACAAAGCCAUGAGGAUUGUCUCACAAGUCUUUCAUUUUCCCUCUCUUUAGGCCAGAGACCAGUAAACCAUUUGAAAUAUGGAUGUGCAAACCAGUAAAUAAAUCAUGAACUUACAUACUAGUCUGCUUUCGCACUCAUUCGGAACUAUCUAUGAUACUUACUGCAGGUACGGUGUAUACAUUAUACUAAAGUGAAGGCUGGAUCAAUAAGAAAUUCAAAAUGUUUCAUCGCAUUUGGGGCUUGAUGAUGCCAAAGAAAGACCAUACCAAUUACGAUGAACAGUAAAAUGUGAACAAGAACAAGCAUACAUUUAAGAAAGCAGAGAAGCAUCAUUAAAAUAAAGUAUUCUUCUUACUAUUCUAUGUUGUUGGAAAAUGGACCAAAAUAAAAAAGAAACCAUAUAUGGUUAACGUCACAACAAGAGUAUUCGUGCAUUUGUACAUCAUAGGAUAUUGGGAAGACAUCAGCAGAGAAGUGCAAAUUUUUUUUUGGGGAAAGGAACAGAGAAGUGCAAGUCAAAAAGGAGAAAAAGUGAAAAGAGAGAGAUCAAAAGGAAUGCAAUCUAAUUAACCGUCUAAGGAGACUACUAUGCUACAUUUAGCCAUUGGUUGAAUAGGCAGCUUGUUUUCUAGUACAACUUUAAAUUUUCCAAGAUUAAAAUUUUCCUACUGAAGAAAACUAAUUUCUAAAGCAGCUAUUACCAUCUUCAUCCCAACGGUAAGCAGCUCCAUACUAAGGAAAGAGUGAAAUAAGUGUGCUUUACUUAUAGAAGCCCAUUCCUGUCCAGAGUGAUUAGUAAGUUGUUUCACCAUGACCCCCAUUAUGGUGACUGAAAAAAGAAAAAUAAAAGAAGAAAAUAUUUGCCGAACACAAUAGUAGCACCUAAGAAGUCCUACUUAAGAGACUUCAUACCCUGCACAAAUCGGAAAGUUUUUUAAAAUUUUCAUGUUUCAAAUGAAGAUUGUCCAUUAAAAAAUUACACACAUAAUGUAUGUAAAGCAAUUAAAACAAUAAAAAAAAAAAAAAGCAAGACAAGAACAAUGGCUGAUAACAGUCAAAUAAGGAGAGACCAGACCAUAGUUUUCUUUCAGUUAAUUUCUUCUAGUUGUUAGACUCUAACGCACUGUUGGGAGUAUCGGUAAACUUUUAUAAUUAGAAAUUUAGGUACUUAGGAUAAAUUAUACAGUUGCCUCGACCAUGAGCAGCCCCAAUCUUCAAUAUAAUUUCACUUUUUUACUGCAUUAGUGUCUCUUUUUGUUAGGUGCUUACUUUUGGUCUAAAAUUUUAAAAUUUCUCCGGCCGACUUGCAUUAGCAUUUGUAAUAAUAUAUAAUUUUUUUUUUUUCAAACGGAUGUGACAAUAUAUAGUUGAUGGGGUAAUAACUACUUUUAAUAUCUUGGUAUGUAUGAGUUUCAUUAAAUUUUCAGUCAGCUAGCUCCUCAUUAUCUAUUAUAAAUAACUGCAGUCCCUAAUACAAUGUCAUGAUAUUUAUAAAUGAAAGAAUUGGAGAACAAGAAAAUUUGAAACUGCUCUUUUAUCUACCAGCAACAACUAUUAGAAUAUGACAAUUAUCAUUAAUUGACUUUCAUUAGAGUUUAGCACAGAUUGAAUUCUUAAUAAGGCAGCUGACAAAAUAUUUGUUUAUUAAACGAUUGACUGGCCUCCCUCAAUUGGGGACGCGGGCAUUUAUUUAAUUUCUUUUAAUCAAGAUUGGAUGUACCUGUACAUAACCAAUAAUAUUAUGCAAAUAUCCAGAGAAGAGGCACCGAUGACUUUAUUUAUUUAUUUAUUUUGUCGAUAAGCUUCUUUGGAUGGUUGAGAAAAUAAUUUGUUAUUUUUUUAAUCAUAAUCCCCUGCGUAAUGAAAGCCUCCAUUUACUCGUUAUAUGGUAAAACUAAUAAUUUCUCUCAAUUUUUAACGAUAAUUUAUAUAUAAUUCUAGAGAGUCACGCACAUUUGGUUCAAUAAUUGGUUUCAUCCGAAUCAAAAUCUCUCUCUAAUCAAUUCAACUGUUUCUGUUGAUUAUGGCUUCUUCUUCUCGAAACAACAAGCAGUAUGAUGUUUUUGUUAGUUUCAGAGGAGAGGACACCCGCGACAACUUUACUAGCCAUCUCUAUUCUGCUCUGUGUCGACAAAAUAUCCAAACUUUCAUUGAUGACCAACUUAACAGAGGAGGCGAAAUUUCGGAGUCACUGGUGAAUGCAAUUGAAGCAUCAGCCAUUUCUGUUAUCGUCUUCUCAGAAGGGUAUGCAUCUUCCAGAUGGUGUCUCGAUGAACUUGUAAAGAUCCUCGAGUGCAAGAAGGAGUAUGCACAGAUUGUGAUUCCGGUUUUCUAUCGGGUUGAUCCAUCAGACGUGAGAAACCAAACUGGGAGUUUUGGGGAUUCAUUUUCGAAGCUUGAAGAAAGAUUUAAGGAAAAUUCAAAGAAGCUGCUGACUUGGAGGAAUGCUUUGAAGGAGGCAGCCACUUUGUCUGGCUUUAAUUCUCUUAACAUCAGGUGAAAAGUUACUUUUAAUUUCGCAUACUAAUAUUCAACACUGUAAAUAAAAUUCACGCAGCACUCUUAGUUAAAUUUUCCAGAUGAUAAACUACACUUUUAAAUUUUUUCAUGCAUUAAAUUCUAGACUUCUUGAACUUCCCCACUUUUGAACUCCUAUAAAAGAAUUUUUGCAGAAUUAAUAAUAAAAGCUCCAGAGGUUUACAAUAUAUUUUAACAAAAUUAAUGGUUUUCUGUCGUUUUUUAAUCAAUUUCAAUCUCUUACUCAUAUACCAUUAGGAAAAAAAAAUCUCUUCCACAUAUAACAUAUUCCUGUAAUUAAAGAGUUAUUAAUUUAUAGGGAGAUUGUAAAUUCCCUUACUCAAAUCAAUAUAUACUACUUAUUCUGACUCUUUUUACAAUAUUUAAUAACUCUUCUGGUACCAUCACUUUACAAUAUUAUCCUUAUAAAAAAAAAUAAGUGGUAUAUAUUAUUUUCAAUUGGAAAACUAGCAAUCUCCCUUAUUUGAAGUUACUGCUGCUAAUUUUAUGUAUUUGGUAGGCCUGAAUCGGAACUUAUAAACGAAGCUGUUAAUCACAUUUCAAAGAGACUGCUGGAUCAAGUUUUUCGGCCGAAUGAUAACAAAAACCAGCUGGUUGGAGUAGAAUCAAGAAUUGAGGAAAUUGAAUCCUUAUUAGGUGUUCAGUCGAAAGAUGUUUAUGCUUUAGGGAUUUGGGGCAUUGGUGGUAUAGGCAAAACAACAGUCGCUAGAGCUACUUUCGACAAAAUCUCUAGAUAUUUUGAAGGUUCUUGCUUCCUUGAAAAUGUUAGAGGAGAGUCACAAAGACCGGGAGGAUUAGCUUGCCUGCGACAAAAACUUGUUGCAAAUUUAUUGAAGGAUAAAAAUAUGAUUCCUGAUAUUGAGCUCAAUUUUAGAAGGCUCAGCCGCAUGAAGGUUCUGAUUGUUUUUGAUGAUGUGAGUUGCUUUAGCCAGUUAGAAUCCUUAAUCGGAAGUCUUGAUUGGUUGACGCCUGUGAGUCGAAUCAUAAUAACCAGCAGAAAUAAACAAGUGCUUAGAAAUUGGGGGGUGAGGAAAAUAUAUGAGAUGGAGGCAUUAGAAUAUCAUCACGCUCUUGAGCUUUUCAGUCGACAUGCCUUCAAACAAAACCAUCCUGAUGUUGGUUAUGAGGAACUUUCAAGCAAAGUAAUGAAAUAUGCUCAAGGUGUUCCUUUAGCUCUUAAAGUUUUGGGUUGCUUUCUGCAUAAAAGGGAAAAAGAAGUCUGGGAAAGUGCAAUAGAUAAAUUGCAAAGAAUCCUCCAUCCAAGUAUUCUUGAGGUAUUAAAAAUAAGUUAUGAUAGUUUGGACGAUAAGGAGAAAAAUAUUUUCCUUGAUGUUGCUUGUUUCUUUCAAGGUGAGGAUGCAGAUCUAGUAAUGAAAUUUUUUAAUGCAAGUGGCUUCUACCCAUAAAUAGGAAUGAGUGUUCUUGUUGAUAAAUCUCUCAUUGCUAUUGAUUCACACAAAAAGAUAACAAUGCAUGAUUUACUACAAGAAUUGGGUAGGGAAAUUGUUCGACAAGAAUCAAUUGAUCCUGGAAACCGCAGUCAGCUGUGGCAUCAUGAGGAUAUCUAUGAAGUUCUUACAUAUAAUACGGUAAGCAGUUUGUUGUGGAUUAUUAAUUUGGAAUAAUGUAGUGUUUAAAAACUUGAUGUGCAUAUAUUUACAUACGCUCGAACUGAUGAGUCUUAGAAUUAAUAGAAGAGUGGCAAUGAUUAGAAAAAACAAUAGUGGUUAGAUGAUGUAGCAAUGAAUUAUAUAUGCGAUGACAGGUUGCAUAACCGUUUGUAAGCAUAAUUGAUAUGUAAAUUUGUGUAGUACACAUAUAUAAUUUUUAUGUUAAGUAUUACCUGUGUUAUUAUGUCUCUUUGUGCAUUUGCAAUUAAGUGUUUAACUGCCUAGCAAUAACUAUAAACAUGAAUUAUUGAAAUUUGAUACGAGUAAUGAAAGAGAGCCCCACUCCAUUCCCACAUAUAAAUUGAAUUAAUAACUAAGCUACCUCUAAUUGUGAAUUAGUGACAAAAUUGCCCCAGAAAUUUGUCUUGGUGAGAUUGAAGUGCGAUUCAUUAGUGGAAUAUACGUAUCUUUCAUUUGAUUUUAACUUUAUUGUUUUUUAUUUAUUUUUAGGGGACAGAAAAAAUUGAGGGCAUCUGUUUGGAUAUGUCAACAGUAAAAGAGAUCUAUCUAAAUCUCAGUACUUUCACAAAGAUGCCUAAACUGAGAUUUUUAAAGUUCUAUAGUUCAUCAUUCAAUGGAGAGAACAAAUGUAAGGUGUCUUAUUUGCAAGACCCUAGAUUUGCUGAAGUGAAAUAUUUUCACUGGCAUGGAUACCCGUUGAAGUCAUUGCCUUCAAACCUUGGUGCAGAGAAGCUUGUGUUUCUUGAAGUGCCUAAUAGCGACAUUGAACAACUUUGGAAUGGUGAGAAGGUAUGUUUAUCUUACUAUAUAUGUGCAAUCUUUCAAUAAGAACAUUAAAUUAUCAUACAUAGUAAUGAUUUAACAUUGAACAACUUUGGGAUUGUGUGAAGGUAUGCAUAUCUUAUUAUAUAUGUGCAAUCUUUCAAUAACAUUAAAUUAUUACACGUGGUAACGAUUUUGUCUUGGGCUCUUUUUUGACCGAGCAGCAUUAUAGUAAGUUAAACCAGAUAAUCAAUGCUGCUUGCAAUAAGCUAAUUGCCAAAACUCCAAAUCCCACGUUGAUGCCACAUCUGAACAAGCUAGUUAUCUUGAAUCUAAGAGGUAGCAAAAGCCUGAAAAGUCUUCCAUCUGGAAUAUUUAACUUGGAAUUUCUUACCAAACUUGAUCUUUCGGGCUGCUCAAAACUGAAAAGGCUGCCAGAGAUCUCAUCAGGUAAUAUAAACUGGUUAUUUUUAAGGGAGACUGCAAUUGAAGAACUGCCUUCAUCAAUUGAGAGUCUACUUAGGCUCGGGCACUUGGACCUUUCAGAUUGUAAAAGGCUUAAGAGUCUCCCAAGCAGCCUAUUUAAAUUGAAAUCUCUUGGAGUUCUUAAUCUCGAUGGUUGCACAAAUCUUCAGAGAUUGCCCGAAUGUCUUGGCCAAUUAUCCUCGCCAAUAAUAUUGAAUCUAGCGAAAACCAAUGUUGAGAGAAUACCAGAAAGCAUUAUUCAACUUUUCGUGUUGCGAUACCUCCUCUUAAGUUAUAGUGAGAGGAUUCAAUCCGCAUCAUUGCCUCUUGCACGAGGUUGCCUGGCACUGCAACCAUUCUUAGGUUUGUUCUCUAAGUUAUGAAUCUUAUAGGUAGUGUUUUUUGACCGGAGCAAUAAUUUUAAAUUGGAAGGUAAUUUUACUGCAGGAAUUCUUGAAGAUACCCAGAGAAGUCCGCAUAUGGACCAUAAGCUAGCUGUCCGUUGGCAAGAAGUACAGGAAAAUGUGUGUCUUUAACUCUCUCUGCUUACAAUUUCUACAAUUUUUUUUUUUGGGUUUAAAAUUAUGAUUUUUUGGUACAGAGAGGGUUUUCUAUGGGCAAAGUUCAUAUGGUACGGCCUGGGAAUGAAAUUCCAAAGUGGUUUAAGUUUCAAAGUGCGAGAUCUUUUGUAACCUUGGAGAUGCCACCAGAUUUCUUCCGUAAUAGCAGAGUGCUGGGCAUUGCAUUUAGUGCUAUUUUAGCAUUUUCAAACCGUCAUGUAGAUUGUGGCAGAUGGUUUUCAUUUUCUUUUGAGCUCAAAGUGAAAACCACCAAAGAUUGUGGUCCCCAUGACACACAGUUAUUUCAGAGCAGAGUUAAUUAUAUAGAAUCAGAUCACUUACAUUUGGGGUACUAUCUGUUCUGUGAAGAGGAUUUUAAAGGUUUUUGGAAUUGCAAUUGCAUUCCUGAGGCAGUCCAAUUUAAUGUUUUUCCAUCUUUGGAGUGUGAGUGCUGUGGGGUGAAAAAAUGUGGGAUCGAUUUAUUUCGCUUCCCAAAUUCUGCGAGUCCAAUGGAAGAUCCGAGCACAUGUUUCAACUAUAACGAAGAAGGCUGAGAUUUUCAUGAAUGUAUUUUUAUUUCUUUCCUUUUUCUAAUCACUAUUAAUAGUAGGAGAAGAUGUCAAAAUCAGUUAUUGGAACAAAACAUUCAUGUAAUAACUUUUGAGGGAUCUGGUGCAUGUAACACACAUUCACACUAGAGUAUUGAACUUUACCUCAUUAGAUGAAGAGUAUAAUGUAUGAAAAGCACAUGAUGUGUAUUGUAAAAGUAAAAUUAUUGGCCUUGUUUCCUGCAUUGCGCACACAACAAUCCAAAACACAUCUAUCUAAUUAGGAGAGCACGUGACUUAUAAAGCAGUAAAAAAACUCACUCACUAGUGAUAUGGGAUAUUGUAAGAUGCGCAGCAAGUUGUUAUUGGGGGAGUAAUGUUGUGGGCCCAUAUAAGGCCUGACAAGAUAUUGUCCGCUUUGGACCUUAAUGAGGCUCUCAUAGUUUUGUUUCUAGAGCGUCCAUACACCCCAAAACGCGUUUUGUCAAUUAAGGUGUGGAUUACUCCUUAUAAACCCAGAAUCUCUCCCUUACUUGUUGAUGUGAGAUUUGCUUAGGGUGUUACACUCAUCCUGUUGCGCACUAUAUCAAGUCUCAUGUAUAUAAUACAAUCACAUUUGAAAAUUUUCUACUUUCUUAAAUCUAAAUUGUUGUACAUGGGAAAGUUUCAUCAUGUGCAAGCAAAAGCCAUUAAGAGGGAACAGUUAAAACACCAUCAAAUCUAUAUAUUUUAAAAAAUAUAUUUGUAUGUUGAUUAAAAAAAAAAAAGAACAAGAUAGGUGUCAUUUUCACUCAACUCAUUUGUGUUGUGAAUCCAUUUGCUUAAACAUGUAUGCACUUUUUCAAGUAUCUAUACUAAUUUCAUAUUCGGAAUGGUACAUUUGAUUCCAUAGUUGAUGUGGGAGUCUAUGGCUAGAAUUUACCUUUAAAAUAUCAGCUUGGAAGGAAAGGAUUAAAGAUGCCCAUGAACUUAUAUUUCUAUUUAGAAUACUGUAUCUUUUUCAUGCAAAAAAUGGAAUCUUAUCAUUCACAUAUCAUUAACAUAAGCAAUAUAGAUCGCAUAUCUUUAUGAUUGUGCUAAAUUUGACUUUUUAUAGAAUAAUUUGAUACAUUUCUUGAAUCCAUUUGGAGCUUCUACAACUUGUUAGGGAUCAGUUUCUCCUACAUUCAUUUCGGCGCCAAAAGAUAUUCAAGCGGUUGAAUAAGAAUUGAUAUAUACAACAUAAAUAUAAGAGUUGUUUGCCUUUUUACAAUCGCAAUAAUAUAUAAUGCACAUAUAAAUGCAUUCAUGUAAUUCACAGAGUCAGAGAUAUUACAUACAAAAGUUAAAUACAUGCUUUGAACCUAUACAAAAAAAAUUAUAGUCGAAAUUACGUAGAAGAUGAAUUGAAUUCACAAUAAGGAGCUAAAUUUUUAUUUACCCAACAAUCAUCUCGCUACACAAUUCACAACAAGAAAGAGCAAUCUUGUUUAGCUAACCUGCGCCCGUGAGGAAUGGAGGCACUAAAGCCAUGGAUAUGGAGCAGAGGUGGAGAAUUGGGAUGUGAAUUUGGAAUUGAAGAAACCAAGUAAUUGAUGGAGUAUUGGCCCUUCCAUUUCCACAUUUUGCAACUCUUCCUUACCUCAUUAACCUCCAAUUCCAGCGCAGCUGAAGCAGAAUCCCUCCACUGCUACUGUUAGUAUAACUGAUGGUAACAUUUUGUCUCUUCUUUUUGUCCUUAUUCCUCUGCUGCAACUGCAACUUAAACUGCCAACUCUUAUUGCUCAAUACGGGCAUGAGCAGGCCCUUUCGAUUUCCAUCCCCAAUUCCGAGUGUUUUUAACUUGUUAUUGGAAUAAUGGGAGAGGGAGCCCGAGCACAUACUCAUUCUUUUCUUGCUUUUUCAAUUGAAUAUUUUCCGUGGCCUAGACGGGCCUGCCCUUUCCCUGCUUCUACCUCUAUGAGACUGACUACAACAGAACUUUUUAUUUAUUUAUUUAUGAGGCUUAUUCCACUNNNNNNNNNNNNNNNNNNNNNNNNNNNNNNNNNNNNNNNNNNNNNNNNNNNNNNNNNNNNNNNNNNNNNNNNNNNNNNNNNNNNNNNNNNNNNNNNNNNNNNNNNNNNNNNNNNNNNNNNNNNNNNNNNNNNNNNNNNNNNNNNNNNNNNNNNNNNNNNNNNNNNNNNNNNNNNNNNNNNNNNNNNNNNNNNNNNNNNNNNNNNNNNNNNNNNNNNNNNNNNNNNNNNNNNNNNNNNNNNNNNNNNNNNNNNNNNNNNNNNNNNNNNNNNNNNNNNNNNNNNNNNNNNNNNNNNNNNNNNNNNNNNNNNNNNNNNNNNNNNNNNNNNNNNNNNNNNNNNNNNNNNNNNNNNNNNNNNNNNNNNNNNNNNNNNNNNNNNNNNNNNNNNNNNNNNNNNNNNNNNNNNNNNNNNNNNNNNNNNNNNNNNNNNNNNNNNNNNNNNNNNNNNNNNNNNNNNNNNNNNNNNNNNNNNNNNNNNNNNNNNNNNNNNNNNNNNNNNNNNNNNNNNNNNNNNNNNNNNNNNNNNNNNNNNNNNNNNNNNNNNNNNNNNNNNNNNNNNNNNNNNNNNNNNNNNNNNNNNNNNNNNNNNNNNNNNNNNNNNNNNNNNNNNNNNNNNNNNNNNNNNNNNNNNNNNNNNNNNNNNNNNNNNNNNNNNNNNNNNNNNNNNNNNNNNNNNNNNNNNNNNNNNNNNNNNNNNNNNNNNNNNNNNNNNNNNNNNNNNNNNNNNNNNNNNNNNNNNNNNNNNNNNNNNNNNNNNNNNNNNNNNNNNNNNNNNNNNNNNNNNNNNNNNNNNNNNNNNNNNNNNNNNNNNNNNNNNNNNNNNNNNNNNNNNNNNNNNNNNNNNNNNNNNNNNNNNNNNNNNNNNNNNNNNNNNNNNNNNNNNNNNNNNNNNNNNNNNNNNNNNNNNNNNNNNNNNNNNNNNNNNNNNNNNNNNNNNNNNNNNNNNNNNNNNNNNNNNNNNNNNNNNNNNNNNNNNNNNNNNNNNNNNNNNNNNNNNNNNNNNNNNNNNNNNNNNNNNNNNNNNNNNNNNNNNNNNNNNNNNNNNNNNNNNNNNNNNNNNNNNNNNNNNNNNNNNNNNNNNNNNNNNNNNNNNNNNNNNNNNNNNNNNNNNNNNNNNNNNNNNNNNNNNNNNNNNNNNNNNNNNNNNNNNNNNNNNNNNNNNNNNNNNNNNNNNNNNNNNNNNNNNNNNNNNNNNNNNNNNNNNNNNNNNNNNNNNNNNNNNNNNNNNNNNNNNNNNNNNNNNNNNNNNNNNNNNNNNNNNNNNNNNNNNNNNNNNNNNNNNNNNNNNNNNNNNNNNNNNNNNNNNNNNNNNNNNNNNNNNNNNNNNNNNNNNNNNNNNNNNNNNNNNNNNNNNNNNNNNNNNNNNNNNNNNNNNNNNNNNNNNNNNNNNNNNNNNNNNNNNNNNNNNNNNNNNNNNNNNNNNNNNNNNNNNNNNNNNNNNNNNNNNNNNNNNNNNNNNNNNNNNNNNNNNNNNNNNNNNNNNNNNNNNNNNNNNNNNNNNNNNNNNNNNNNNNNNNNNNNNNNNNNNNNNNNNNNNNNNNNNNNNNNNNNNNNNNNNNNNNNNNNNNNNNNNNNNNNNNNNNNNNNNNNNNNNNNNNNNNNNNNNNNNNNNNNNNNNNNNNNNNNNNNNNNNNNNNNNNNNNNNNNNNNNNNNNNNNNNNNNNNNNNNNNNNNNNNNNNNNNNNNNNNNNNNNNNNNNNNNNNNNNNNNNNNNNNNNNNNNNNNNNNNNNNNNNNNNNNNNNNNNNNNNNNNNNNNNNNNNNNNNNNNNNNNNNNNNNNNNNNNNNNNNNNNNNNNNNNNNNNNNNNNNNNNNNNNNNNNNNNNNNNNUUAAGCGCUUACUAAAAUACUCUAUGUGAUGGAACCUCCACCCAAUAAUUGUUGCAUACCCAUCUCAUUUUAAAAAAAUAAUUAUAAAAAGUAUAGACUAUUUUUAAAAAUCUUCAAAUAAAAGAAGAACUUUAGAGGAUUAAUUAAUUUAAUUUAUUUUUUUGUGACUCAAUUUUUUUAUUAUAUUUGACUACAAAGAUUACUUUGGCAUAAGUUUAAAUUGACAAUUUUACUCUUACAAGGUAAAACUAACAAGAAUUUACUUUAAUAUUUUUCUAAUUUUAUACCAGGCUCAAGGUUUCUAAUACUACUUUAUUAGUAUGAGUAUUAAUCCUUAAUUAAACUAACAUAGUGUCUUUAUGGCAUAUACUAAUGUAAAUUGUUGAGAUGUCAAAUUUAUGCCAUUUACACGUAAGGGUAGUAAAAGUAAUAAUUAGAUUUCAUUUAAAAAUAUUAGAUUAUAAAUCACAAAAUUGAAUACGUAAAUUAUUGGAUACAAUAACACAUGUUUAUUGAGGCAAUUUAGUCGUUAUAUAUCAUAAUAAUAAUGAAGUAAAAUAAAACUUAUAUUAAAGAUUAUGAUCAAAGAUGGUCAAAGAACUUAAGAUCGAGCAAAUCCCUUGACUGCAAAAAUUAGAUCAAGCAAAGCUUGCAUUCCCUAUAGUUAAAAAAGGAAAAAAAAAUCAUUACUAUUACCCUUAAAUUUUAAUUAAACAAACUUAAAUUUUAAUUAAACAAAAAACGAAGCAAGAGUGAAUAGAGUAAUACCAAAGCAAAUUUAGGAUUGUUAGGUCCAAUUGUGGACAAACUUCUGAACUUCUAAUAGUAGACUUAGGAGGAAGGAUUUGAAGAGGCUGCAGUGGCGGCGAAUACGCAUCAAGAUUCACAUUGCUCCUCACUUUGAGGGCCAAAAGAGUGCGGAGGCGAGACAAAGCUGACGUGCGAUUCUUGUGCUACGAUCGGUCUUCGGCGGCCUGCGCUAUGAAGCCGGUCGGUAUGUGCUUGAGACGUACGGCGGAUUCGUGCUUGUUGUGGUGCUGACCGCCUGGUCCCAACGAUUUGUACGUGUCCAUUUCGCAUUCGCGAAACAGCUCAUCGUCCGUCAAUUCUAAGUAAUUCUUCUUCUUUGAAGAAGAAGAUGAAGAACAAUUGUCAUUGGUGUUCUAAUUGCAAGACAAGAACAAUGGCUGAUAAUUCCAGCAACACAUUCUUAUAGUAGGCCCAGCCUAAUCCAGCCCAGUUGCGCUAGUGAGCGACUUCUCGCCUAUCUUAUAUGCAAUGAUUAUGUGUUGGUUGGAUGUAGUUUAUCUAAUAAGUCUUUAUUUAGGGCCAAUUUGGGAUUGCGAAGUUGAUGAAAUAAACUACUUGUACUGCAUAGAUAAAUAAGCCGCUAAUUAAAAAGGUAGCUAAGUAUUUGGUAAAUUGCAUUGUUGCAGUUGUUGUAAGUUUGAAAAGUAGAGUACAUGCGUUUGGUAAAUUUUAUUACGAAAGUGAUGUUUUAUUAUAUGAUGACCAAAAUAGAAAUAAGUUUAAAUUAUCUUUUACUUUUAGAGUAUAUUUAAUAAAUCAUUUAGACAUACCUUUUCUUCUUAAACGUGUAAAAUUACAUUAAAAAACUCAAUUAACAACAUGGAUAUAAAAUAAAACAUGGAUAAAGAAAAAAAUAUAGGAAAAAGGACAUUUACACCCCCAAGGUUUGGGGAUCACCAACACCCCCAAUUGUUUAAAGAGGGACAUCCACACCCCCUUUUGACCAUUAUACACUUUACCUCUAUUAUUCUAGAAAAAUUGACUCUAAUAUUUUACAAUAAAUAUAAAUUUAAUAUUAAAAUAAAUUUAAUAAUAUAUACAUUUUAAAAUAAUUUUAAUAUUUAAAAAAUAUUUUAAUAUUAUAUAAUCUAUUAGAUAUAUUUUAUUAUAUUAAAGUAAAUUUUAUGAUAAAUAGAAUCAAAAUAUUAAAAUAAAGGUAUUAAAAAUUUAAAUUAUUUUGAAUAUUAUGUAAAAUAAUUAUUUUAGCAAUAUUAGUAUGUAAGAAUGUUUUUAAUUGUAGAAUGUAUUUAAUGCAAAUAUUUAUUUAAAAUCUCUACAAUAAAUAAAAAUAUAUUAUUAAAAUAAAUAUAAUAAUUUAAAUAUUAAAAUUUAUUAAAAUAUUAAAAUAUUUUAAUAUUGUUAGCUACUACAUAGAUUGCAUUAUUUAUAUGGUAUUUGUAUUUAAUAAAAAUUUUAAAGUCAAUUUUUUAGAAUAAUAGAGGUAAAUGGUAUGAUGGUCAAAAGACGAUCUUGGUGUCCCUCUUUGAAAACUUGGGGGUGUUGGUGAUCAUUUCCCCAAACUUGAGGGUGUAGUUGUCCUUUUUCCAAAACUAUUUAGAAAAAAACAUGAACCUACUGGAUAAAAAUUAGAUAUAAAAAAAUAUAAAUAUAUAUAGAUUAAAUUUUAAAAGCCAUAGUUAUGGAAUUACAAUAUGAACUUAUUAGAUAAAAAAUGGAGAAAACGUACAUGGUUAUAGCGGUUAGGGAUGGCAAAACCUCGGGCCAGGUCCUGGUAUUGCAAUGACCGGACCCUGCCCGGAUGCAACCGGUCUGGGUCCGGGCCGGGUUUUAAUCCAGGUACGCAAAUUUUAUAUUUUUUUAAUAUUAUAUGUGUAUAUAUUUUUUAUUUUUUGGUAAUUUUAUAAGUUUUAAAUUUAUUUCAAUAAAAUUUGACAUGAAAAUAUAAACUUUAAGUGUUUAAAACUUUAUAUAUGUAUAAUAAAUGAGUCAAAUAAAUAUAAAUAUUUAAAAUAAUAUAUAUUUUAUAAUAUUUUUUUAAUAAAAUUCGGAUUCCGGGUUUAUCAAGUGAUGCCCAAUACUGACCCGGCUUCAUACCUAGACCGGGUAAUACCCGACCCACAAUGCCCGGGUAUGGUCCGAGUCCGGACCGGGCUGGUAUUUUUGCCACCUCUAAUAGCGGUAACUAAAUUAUAGUGGUAAUAUGAUAUCUAAUUAUUUAUAUAUUAGGGUUUAUAAAUAAGUAAGAUAUAAUUGUCUUUUUAUUAAAAUACUAGGGUUAUAAUAGGAAUUUUUAAAAAGUGUUGUAGCUUAUUGAAUAAGUUGCUUAUGAUAUCUAAUGAUUUAUAUAUUAGGGUUUAUAAAUAAGCAAUGAGAAAUUCUAGAAUACAUCUGAGGUACCAUGUCAUCCAUACAACAAGCAAUAAUAUCAUGACAUGUGUGCAUUUAUUUUGAACUAUUAUCAUGCAAGUGGUGGUUGUAUUAAAUUCAAUUACACUGGUCAUGCAUGCAUCAAUUGGUUGUAGUACCUCAGAUGUAUUCUAGAAUUUCUAAAUAAGCAAGAUAUAAUUGUCUUUUUAUUAAAAUAUCAGGGUUGUAAUAGGAAUUUUCAAAAAGUUAUGUAGCUUAUUGAAUAAGCUGCUUAUGAAAAGCAAACACCUACCUGCUUUUAAAAGCUGCUGAUAAAAUGGAAAAAAUUAUGAAAUAAGUUACUUUUACAAAAUUUAGCAAACACUAUUUUUGUCAAAAAUUAUGAAAUAAACAGUUUAUUGAAUUUCAACCUCAAUACCAAAUAGGGCCUUAAUCUUAUAAGUUCUUUUCAAAUUUUUUAUUGUUAUUUAGUUAUUUUUUUAGUAGCACUUUUAAAGACUAAAUAAGAUAUUUUGCAUCUACUAAUAAAACUCAAAUUUUAGGCUUUUGUGAGUACAUGUUGAAAAGCUUAUUUAAAAUGUUAAAAUGCCUAAAAUAUUCUUUAUUUAUUUGACAAUCUUAUUUUAUUUUUUUAUAACAUAACUUUAAAAAACUUGUCUAUUAAAUUAAUUUUAUAAUUUGUAAUAAAAGUUUUCAUUGACAACCAAACAAUUAAAUUUCUUUUUAGUAACUCUAUUUAUAAAAGUUCUACUGACAAAAGGUCUAUUUAAAUAAGCUCUAUUUAAAAGUUACACCAAACAGAUCCAACAGUAUCAUUGACGCAAGCAAUGUAAUUAUUCUAUUAUUUUUUAACUUAUGUGGCUCUGUAUCAUUUGAAAAAUCCUAUUAUAAGAGAGAGGGAUAUAAUUUAUGCUGGAAUAUUCUCAAAAUAAAUGGCGUGCCUUAAAAGGUGUCUUAUAGUAAAAUACAUCUAACUAAAUAUUGUCAUAUACAAGAAAAAUGUAUCCUUUUUUUUUUAAAAAAAGAUGUAUCUAUUCAUGGUGCCAUAUUUUUAUUUGAAAUGAUGGUGGUUUAUCUUGGACCAGUGAUGAUUUAAUUCAAAUUUUAAUCCAAUAACCAUGGAUAGAAGGUGUCAUAAAAGGUAACAGCCCAAAUGAAGGGGCACAUGAUUAUCUAUAAAUAGAAGUCACAACAUUUUCUAUAAAUAGAAGUUACGCCAUUUUGUGAUCCAUAUAAUCUUCUUGCACCUCUCUUUUUUUCUUUUUUUAUUUAACCCCUCUUUCCUAAAUCGAAUUUAUGCAUAAUACAUCUAUAUUUUAUGCAUCAAAUCUCUAAAAUAUUAUUUUUUACAGGAACAAUAUAUUGAUUUUUCGUAGGCUUGCAACACACAAGGGUAUUUAGGUUUGCUUUUAUUAGUGCAUAAUACAAGCAAAUAAAACAAACACUUCAUUAUAUCAUGGAGACAUAUUUGCUUAACUCAUAUAUAUCACGCAAAUGCAGGAGGGAGUAACUAACUUCUUGAGGAAUGCAACAUUGUGUCUUGCAGCACUGUCAAUUAUUACAGUGUACUAUUCUUAUUAUUAUUAUGAUUAUUAUUCUUUGUACCUAUAAAAUUUCAUCUAUUUUUCUCCAAUUUUCCACAGUUAUUACUCCCCACGAAUAUAUUUCCAAUAAAACAAACACUUCAUUAUAUCAUGGAGACAUAUUUGCUUAACUCAUAUAUCACGCAAAUGCAGGAGGGAGUAACUAACUUCUUGAGGAAUGCAACAUUGUGUCUUGCAGCACUGUCAAUUAUUACAGUGUACUAUUCUUAUUAUUAUUAUGAUUAUUAUUCUUUGUACCUAUAAAAUUUCAUCUAUUUUUCUCCAAAUUUCCACAAUUAUUACUCCCCACGAAUAUAUUUCCAAUAUUUUAUUUCAUAUAUUUACUUCUGCUACUAGUACGAUAACAAAAUAUGCCUUUUUGAACCACAUCAAUUUCUAGAUCCAUUUUAUUGAUAAAUUAACCGAACGCACCAUCCAUUAUUUAAUUUAUGGGUCAAAUAAGUCAUAAGUAGUUGAAAUAAAAUGUUUGUUUGGUAGAUAACAUCGGUUUUUAAAAUACUUUAAAAGAUUUUAUUUCUAUGAAGCCUAGUCCAACAUAGAAAAUCAAAUAAAAUUAAUUUUCAUCACUACUCAAGAGACUCAAAGAGUACUAAUGUAGCGUUUAUUUUUUUAUAUAAAAUUUGAAUAGGCCUGAAUUUGGGUGAAGUCUGAAUAUAAAUGUCUAAAUAAUAUGUUUAUUUUUUUAAUAUCUGAAAAUUGAGUGACGUCUUAUUUAUUUUUAUAAUUUAAAAAAAUCGAACAUAGUUAUUUGACAUUUUUGUCCUUAUAAGUCAAAAUGAAUAAAAGAAUUAUGUUUUAUAGUUUAGGAAAUAACUAUAUUUAAUAGAAAUAUCUUUAGGGUAUAGUAUUUACUUUCCAUUUCGAUAAAAAUAACAAAAAUUCACUUUUUGUAUUCAAAUGUAAAUAUGUAAAACUCACACAUAAGUUCCUAAAAAGUAAACAAGCAACUUUAAGAAAAAAAAAAGUUACGUAGCUUUUGUUUUAAACAAAAAUAAUAAAUAAGAAUAAUUUUCAAAAUUAAAUACAGUAUCACCCUGCUCAUUGCUGAUAGUUAUGACUUAUGAGUAUGAAAGCACAAAAGCCGUGUGUUGAAAGUAUGGUGUUCAUGUGGAAAUUUCAGCUAAAAGUCCACAAAGUAAUUUCAGUCAUCUUACAGUCUCCAAGGUGCUUGGACAAUGAGAUGACAUUGAAAAAUUAUCACGGAACUUCGAGGGAGGUUCAUAGCAUCGAUUUAUUCUACAGAGUCACGCUCAUUUUGGCUUAGUAAUUGUUUUCAUCUGAUCAAAAUCUCUCCCAAAUCAAUCCAACUGUUUCUGUUAAUUAUGGCAACACGAAAUAUGAUGUUUUUUUUUCAGUUUUUUGGGUAGAUAAUCUCAAUUUUAAAAUACUUUAAUAGAUUUUGAAAGAUAAGAUACAAUGGUAUACAACUAAAGCCUAAUCCAACAUAGAAAAAUUAAAUAAAAUUAAUUUUCAUCACUACUCAGAGAGAAUUGAAAGGACAUUAAAGUAGUGUUUUUUUUUUAUCUAAAAUUUGAAUAGCCUGAAUUUGACUGAAAUCUAAAUGGGUUUGAAUAUAAAUGUCUCAAUAACAUUUUUCUUAAUACCUAAAAAUUAAGUGGCAUCUUAUUCGUUUCUAUAAUAAAAAAAAUACAUCAAACGCUGUUAUUUGACAUUUAUGCCCUUAUAAGUCAAAUUGAGUAAAAGGGAUUAGGCUUCGUAGUUUAGGAAGUAACUUUAUUGAAUAGAAAUAUUUUUCGGAUAUAGUAUUUAUUUUGCAUUCAAACAUUUUCUCAUUUUGUCAAAGGUCACAAAAAUUUACUUUUUUAAUUUAAAUGUAAAUGUCUAAAAAUCAGACAUAAGUUAAAAAAAAAAUAAUUAUUAUUUUUUUAAAGUUAGACUUCAUAUGUUUAACAAUCAACUGUAAGGAACAUGAAAAAGAGCUAUUAAAACAAAAAAAAAAUUUUGAAACUAAAUACAAUUAGUUGAGAGAUGAGGACCGAUAAGAUAAAUUGAGAGAUAAAAACUAAAAUAUCAGCCCCUCAUUGCUGAUAGUUAUGAGUAUGAAAGCACAAAAGCCAUGUGUUGAAAACUAUGGUGUUCAUGUGGAAUUUUCAGCUAAAAGUCUACAAAGUAGUGGAAUUAAUCAAUCAUCGUGGAGUGCACGGUGGUUGGACAAUGAGAUGAAAUUGAAAAAUUAUCACGGAACGUGAAGGAAGGUUCAUGGCAUCGAUUUAUUGUACAGAGUCGCGCACAUUUGGUUCAAUAAUUGUUUUCAUCCGAAUCAAAAUCUCUUUCUAAUCAAUUCAAUUGUUUAUGUUGCUUAUGGCUUCUUCUUCUCGAAACAACAAGAAGUAUGAUGUUUUUGUUAGUUUCAGACGAGAGGACACCCGCGACAACUUUACUAGCCAUCUCUGUUCUGCUCUGUGUCAACAAAAUAUCCAAACUUUCAUUGAUGACCAACUUAACAGAGGAGAUGAAAUUUUGGAGUCACUUGCGAAUGCAAUUGAAGUAUUAGCCAUUUCAGUUAUUGUCUUCUCAGAAGGGUAUGCAUCUUCCAGAUAGUGUCUCGAUGAACUUGUAAAGAUCCUUAAGUGCAAGAAAGAGUAUUCACAAAUUGUGAUUGUUGGGAAAUUAAUGGGUGAAGUAGGGCCACAGAUAAAAUGAAAUUGGAAGAAAAUAAAGAACAACCUCAAAAGAGGACACUAGAAAUUACGUGGUUCGGCUUUUAACCUACGUCCACGGGUGAAGACAGAAAGAAAAUAUUUUACUAGUGAAAAGGAAUUACAAGUAUUGUGGUAUUUUAACUCACUACCCAAAAUCUCAAUACACCCAAACUCUCAAAUCACAAAUCAUUCAAGAGUUUGUUAAAACUUUUAAAAUACUCUCACUUUCUCUCUAAAGAAGAAGAAAUAAAACUGAAAAAAUUGGAUGCUCUAAGCCGAUGGGAAACUCCUCUUUUUAUAGCCAAAAUUGGCUAUUAAAAUAAUAAUUUUUUUUCUUGGGCGGCACCCUUUCUUCUUCUUUCAUUUUCUUCUUUCUUCUUUUUCUUCAUUCCAAAUUUGAUGCUGCCAAAUUCUUCUUUUUUUCUUGAACAAUUUCAGCAUUCAAAAUGGGCUGCAUCUAGAACGGUUGGCUUCUAGAUUUGCAGCAUCCAUUUUUUACAGUGAUUACGGUUUUCUAUCGAGUUGAUUCAUCAGACGUGAGAAACCAAACAGGGUGUUUUGGCAUUUCAUUUUCGAAGCUUGAAGAAAGAUUUAAGGAGAAUUCAGAGAAGCUGUAGACUUAGAGGAAUGCUUUGAAGGAAGCAGCAAGUCUGUCUGGCUUUCAUUCUCAGAACAUCAGGCGAAAAGUUACUUUUAAUUUCGCAUACUAAUAUUUAACACUGUAAAUAAAAUUCACGCAGCACUUUUAGUUAAAAUUUCCAGAUACUAAACGACACUUUUAAAUUUUUUUAGGCAUCAAAUUCUAGGCUUCCCGACUUCCCGACUUUUGUGCUCUCAUAAUUAUAAAAUAAUUUUGACAAAAUUAAUAAUAAAAGUUGGAGAAUUUUAUAAUAUAUAUCUAACAAAAUUAGUGGUGGGCUGUCGUUUUGUAGGCAAUUUCAACCGCUCACUCAUAUACCAACACUAGGAAAUAGAACCGCACUUCGUGCGGCUUUAAAAAAGAAAUUAGUAUUAUUUUUUUAUUACUUUACACUUGAUAAAACUGAUAAAAAAUAUGAAUUGAUUUUUUUUUAAAGAUGACGCAGCCUUAUAAAACUAAUGUUAUUUAUGAAAGUUAUUUUUUUUUUUAACUUUAAAAAUAUAUAUUAAUGUGUAUAGUUAAGUGUACACAACCUUUUCAUCAAUAAAAAUUAUGUUCACACUAAUCAACUCUCCAUUCUUCUUAGUAUUAACAAACUCCCACAUUUUACAAAGCCUAACCCUUAUCAUCCAACUAUCUUUAUUAUUGUUUAACUCAUGAAGAAAAGAAUACUACAUGAAGCACACAAUGCAAAAAAUUUAAAUAAGUCAAAAAAUAAAAACACAAGAACAUUUCUAAAGAGGAUGUUGGUUAAAUAAUAAAAAAAAACCCAAACAUAACAAAUCUUAAAUACUUAAUAUUUAUAUAGUUUGAAGAAGCCAAAAGACGCUAAAUAAAAGGUUGCAUGAUUAAAUAUGAAAUUAUGACAUUAAAAUUCGGUCCUAGUGGUAUUGGUGAGGGAAGAUGAAAGAACCUUCCUUCCUAUAUUAAUUAAUUGAUGUAUUUUAAACCACUAAAGUUUAGUUGUUGGCUUAAUAAAAUAAAUGAAUGUUUCAAAACUAUAAUUAAUUUAUUAUUAAUAGUUACAUAUUGUUGAAUUUAAAUAGAAAGAAGAAGAGACAUGUAAUCUUUUAUAAUCUACUAAUUAUUUUCUAUUUUUAAUAUUUUGUAAUGUAAUUAUUUUUUAAUCUCAACCAAUAUAUUAGAUUAUAGAGAAUAUAAAAAGAUGAGAAAUAAUAAUGCCACAAAUCUUAACUACUUAAUAUUUAUAGAGUUUGAAGAAGUCAAAAGGCACUAAACAAAAGGUUGCAUAAUUAAAUAUGAGAUUAUAUCAUUAAAAUUAGACCCUAAUGGCAUUAUUGUGGGAAGAUGAAGGAACAUUCCUUCCUAUAUUAAUUAAUUGAUAUAUUUAAGCCACUAAAGUUUAAUUGUUGGCAUAAUAAAAUAAAUUAAUGUUUGAAGACUUAUAAUUAAUUAUUAUUAAUGGUUACAUAUUAUUGAAUUUAAAUAGAAAGAGGAAGAGACAUAUAAUCUAAUAAUUAUUUUUUAUUUUUAAUAUUUUGUAAUGUAAUUAUUUUUUUAAUAUCAACCAAUUUAUUAGAUAAUAGAGAAUACAAGAAGAUGAAAAAUAGUGAUGCCACAUCACCUCAUCUAGUCCCAACUUUAUAUAUAUAUAUAUAUAUAUAUAUAUAUAUAUAUAUAUAUAGAUUGUUAAUAUUUUGUAAUGUAAUUAUUUUUUAAUCUCAACCAAUAUAUUAGAUAAUAGAGAAUAUAAAAAGAUGAGAAAUAAUGAUGCCACAAAUCUUAAAUAUUUAAUGUUUAUGGAGUUUGAAGAAGCCAAAAUGCACUAAACAAAAGAUUGAAUAAUUAAAUAUGAGAUCAUGACAUUAAAAUUAGGCUCUAAUGGCAUUAUUGAGGGAAGAUGAAGGAACCUUCCUUCAUAUAUUAAUAUUAAUUAAUUGAUGUAUUUUAAGCCACUAAAAUUUAAUUGUUGGUAUAAUAAAAUAAAUGAAUGUUUCAAGACUUAUAAUUAAUUAUUAUUAAUGGUUAUAUAUUGUUGAAUUUAAAUAGAAAGAGGAAAAGACAUGUAAUCAUUUAUAAUCUAAUAAUUAUUUUCUAUUUUAAUAUUUUGUAAUGUAAUUAUUUUUUAAUUUCAACCAAUUUAUUAGAUAGUAGAGAAUAUGAGAUGAUGAGAAAUGGUGAUGCCACAUCACCUCCUCAAGUCCCAACUUUAUAUAUAUAUAUAGAAGAUUAGGGAAAAAAAACAUAAAAAAAAACUCACACAUAUUCCUGUAAUUUAAGAGUUAUUAAUUUACUGGGAGAUUGUAGAUUAGUAGUGGUGUAUAUUGUAGACUAGUAGUGGUAUAUAUUAAUCUCCCUUAUUUCAUAUUCAAUGCAAAUUCCUCCUAUUAAUUUGAAGUUAUUGCGGCUAAUUUUAAGCAUUUACUAGGCGUGAGUCAGAACUUAUAAAUGAAGUUGUCAUUUUGAAGAGAUUGGAUGAAGUGUUUCGGCCGCGUGAUAACAAAAACCAGCUGGUUGGAGUGGAAUCAACAGUUGAGGAAAUUAAAUCUCUAUUAGGUGUUGAGUCGAAAGAUAUUUACGCUUUAGGGAUUUGGGACAUUGGUGGUAUAGGCAAAACAACAAUUGCUAGAGCUAUUUUCAACAAAAUCUUGAAUGAUUUUGAAGGUACUUGUUUCCUUGAAAAUGUUAGAAAAGAGUCACAAAGAAUGGGAGGAUUAGCUUGCUUGCGACAAAAACUUCUUUUAAAUUUGUUGAAGGAUGAAAAUAUGAUUCCUCAUAUUGACCUUAAUUUUAGAAGGCUCAGCUGCAUGAAGGUUUUGAUUAUUUUUGAUGAUGUGACUUGCUUCACCCAAUUAGAAUCCUUAAUAGGAAGUCUUGAUUGGUUGACGCCCGUGAGUCGAAUCAUAAUAACCACCAGAAAUAAACAAGUGCUUAGAAACUGGGAGGUGAGGAAAAUAUAUGAGAUAGAGGCUUUAGAAUAUCAUCAUGCUCUUGAUCUUUUCAGUCGACAUGCCUUCAAACGAAACCAUCUUGAUGUUGGUUACGAGAAACUUUCAAGCAACGUAAUGAAAUGUGCUCAAGGAGUCCUUUUAGCUCUUAAAGUUUAGGGUUGGUUUCUAUGUAAAAGGGAAAAAAAGUCUGGGAAAGUGCAAUAAAUAAAUUCCAAAGAAUCCUCCAUCCAAGUAUUUGAGAGGUAUUAAAAAUAAGUUAUGAUGGUUUAGAUGAUAAAGAGAAAAAUAUUUUCCUUGAUGUUGCUUGUUUCUUUCAAGGUGAGGAUGUAAAUCUAGUAAUGAACUUCCUUAAUGCAAGUGGCUUCUACCCAGAAAUAGGAAUAAGUGUUCUUGUUGAUAAGUCUCUUAUUCUCAUAUCAAAUAACAACAAGAUAACUAUGCAUGAUUUGAAACAAGAAUUUGGUCAGGAAAUUAUUCGAGAAGAAUCAAUUAAUCCUGAAAACCGCAGUAGGCUGUGGCAUCAUAAAGAUACCUAUGAAGUUCUUACAUAUAAUACAGUAAGCAUUUUGUUGUGGAUUAUAUUUUGGAAUAUUAUAGCAUUUACAAACUUGAUAUGAAUAUACUUAUAUACACUCGAACUGAUGAGUCUUAGAAUUAAUAGAAGUGUGACAAUGAUUAGAAAAAAAAAUAGUGGUUAAAUGAUGUAACAAUAAAUUAUAUAUGCCAUGACAAAUUGUGUGAUCGUUUGUAUGUUAGUAAUAUGCCCUAAAGGCCAAUCAAAUGGUGUUUGUUUGUUUAGGGAAUUAUUGUAUUUGAAUAGCAUUUUGACAUUUAUAAAAUGGCAAAGUUAUCAACAUUCAUAAAUUAAUUUAAUGAAUAUAGUCCAAGAAGUAAAAUAGUUAAGGAACACAUUCUCGAGUUUGUCGAGAAUAUGAAACGUGCAUUCUUUGUACUAUACUUCCAAAAUAGUUCCUAGUGGUGGAUUUAUGAUUGGACAUUAUAAAUUCCUAUAAACACUGGUAUGUGUUAUGACUCCUUAUGGUAUGUGAUACUAAAAUGGAUGGUGAGUUUCAUAUCAUUGACAUGAGAUGUCAAGUCAAACACAUAGGUACUUGUUGAGAGAACGAGUUUACUGAACUUGACCAAAUAUAGUAAGCCAUAUGGUUUUGAGUGUUAAUGGCUUAUUAUACAUUGUGAUAGACACUAUGUUUAGUAAUGGUCUUUAGACCUGAGGCACAACAGAUGUCUUAUACAUAGACAUCUCUGAUAUGUGAAAGCAUAAUGAUUGAUUCCUAAUCAAGGAAGAGAUCUAGCAAUAACUGUCAUGGUUGGCUAUGUAUGGAGACAAGUGUAUGGCCAAUAUGGAAUUCAUCACUUUGUAAUAUACAAAAAGGAUGUCCCUGUGAGAUAAUAUGAAUUGGCAUGAGAAAUCCUUGGCCAAGGUGAAAUGUGUUUGAAGGAGUUCAUAUUAUAUUUUCAUGCCAAGUUCAUUUAGAUUUAUUUUGAGAUAAAGCAUAAUUGCUUAACAUAAUAAACCAUAAGCCGUGUUUUUCUCUGGACAUGGAUGAUGAAGAGACCAAGACAUAGAGAUACAAUGGAAUAGGUUUUAUAGAUCCAACAAUUCUUGUUAUUUGGAUGGUUGUGAAAUACUGCUAGGUGUCACUCAUAACUUGUAGAAACCUUAAGAUUAAUAUUGGUAAAGCGUAUUAGCAAUGCAUCUUAAGGUCAUUAGAAAAGUUCUACUUGAUGACUAAAGAGUUUAGCAUCAUUUAAUGAAUAAAGAGUUAUCAUUAAAAUAGUUCUACUACCUUAUAACAAAGAACCUAAAAGGUCACACACCAAAUAGAAAUGAAAAAGGAGUUACUAGAAAAUGAGAAGUUAAAUUUCUUAAUUUUAGAAAAAUCGAUAUUUAUAUUAUAAUUAAUUAAGAAUGAAUAUAUAUAUAUAAAUAUAUCUUAAAUAUGAUUUAAGAUAGAAAUUUAGAUGUUCCAUAAAUAGUUUAAGGAACAAAAUAAAUUUCAUAAAUCCUUAAUUAAACAUUAUGUAUAAUAUCAAACACGUAAAAUGACCAUUUUAGACAUGUUCCGAUUCAUAUAUGAUUAUGGACUUCUAGACCAAUUUUGGGUUUAGAAUUUUGGGCUUUUAUUGGACCUAAUAUGGAUUAAGAGAAAGCAUUAGAACAUGUCACAAAAGAAGCCCACAUUGAACCAUUUGAUUUGAUCAAAAUGGGAUUAAUUAAUUAAAGACAAAAUUAAUUAAUUUAGCUAUUUAUUUAUUUGAUUAAAUAAAUUAUUGAAGUGAUAAGAUCACAUUCAAUAAAUAAUGGCUUAGUGGGUGGGUCUAGACAUGAUAAUGUUUGGUGCCAUUAUUGAAGAUAAUGGUGGCUUUAUUUGGUGGAAUGAAUUAUCAUGAACUAGCAUUCAUGUUUCUUCAUUAUCUCUCUCAUUUCUAAACGAAAUUUCGUGAUUCCAAAUCCUAUGAACUCCUAGAAAAUUUCUAAGUGUGUACUAACUAGAGGCAUCACAAUUGGGGUGCCUUAAGGAUCUCAAAUCGUGGAAAAACAGAAGCUGUUCGUGCAGAGGUUUAUUUUCUGGACAGUGUUCAUAGCUUGCUGUUUUCAGUCAUUUUCUCCUACUUCACGAAGUCUUUUUUGAAACUAAAAGUGAGGUAAUUAAACUUCAAUCUUUCCUCUUGAUUUUCGUUUUUGAAUGAAGCCGAUCCGAGGUUUCUAGAGCUUCCGCCAUGCGUUUUAAUUUUACUGCACAAAAGUUGCGUUUUUAAGAACCUCAUGGACAAAUGUUGUCUUUCAUUGUAAGCAUAAUUUAUAUGUCAACUUGUAGACUAUACAUACAGAAUUUUUAUGUUAAAUAUUACGUGUAUUAUUAUGUUUCUUUGUGCAUUUGCAAUUAAGAGUUUAGCUGCCUAGCAAUAACCAUAAACAUGAAUUAUUGAAAUUUGAUUGGUGUAAUGUCAGAGAGCCGCACUCCAACCCACCUCAACUCUGCACAAGAAUAAUUAAAACUUGAAUUAAUAACUAAGCUACCUCUAAUUGUGAAUUAAUGACAUGCUUGCCCCAAAAAAUUGUCUUGGUUGGGUUAUCAUUUUUCUUUGAUUUUAACUUUAUUUUUUUAAUUGAAUUUUAGGGGACAGAAAAAAUUGAGGGCAUUUGUUUGGAUAUGUCAAAAGUAAAAGACAUCUAUCCAAAUCCUAGUACUUUCACAAAGAUGCGUAAGUUGAGAUUUUUAAAAUUCUAUAGCUCAUCAUUCAAUGGAGAGAACAAAUGUAAGGUGUCUUAUUUGCAAGACCCUGGAUUUGCUGAAGAGAAGUAUUUUCACUGGCAUGGAUAUCCGUUGAAGUCAUUGCCUUCAAAGCUUAGUGCAGAGAAGCUUAUAUUUCUUGAAAUGCCUGGUAGCGACAUUGAACAACUUUGGGAUGGUGUGAAGGUAUGUAUAUCUUGAUAUAUAUGUGCAAUCAUGGUAAGUUAAACCGGAUAAUCCAUGAUUCCUGCAGGAAGCUAAUUGCCAAAAUUCCAAACCCCACGUUGAUUCCACAUCCGAACAAGCUAGUUAUCUUGAAUCGAAGAGAUAGCAAAAGCCUGAAAAGUCUUCCAGCUAGAAUAUUUAAUUUGGAAUUUCUUACCAAACUUGAUCUUUCUGGUUGUUCAAAACUGAAGAAGCUUCCAGAGAUCUCAUCUAGUAACAUAAGCCGGCUAUAUUUAAGUGGAACUGCAAUUAAAGAACUUCCCUCAUCAUUUGAGCUUCUACUUAGGCUUUGGUGGCUGGACCUUUCAGAUUGUAAAAUGCUUAAGAGUCUCCCAAGCAUCCUAUGCAAGCUGAAAUCUCUUGGAGUUCUUAAUCUCCGUGGUUGCUCAAAUCUUCAGUGAUUGCCCGAACGUCUUGGCCAAUUAUCGUCGCCAAUAAUAUUGAAUCUAGUGAAAACCAAUAUUGAGAAGAUACCAAAAAGCAUUAUUCAACUUUUUGUGUUGCGAUACCUCCUCUUAAAUUGUUGUGAGGGGCAUGAAUCCUUACCAAAGCAUCCAUUCCUUGUACGAUGGUUAGAUGGCGAUCGUUGCCCGGCAGGGCAACCAUUGAUAGGUUUAUUCUCUAAGUUCUGAAUCUUAUAGGUAGUCUUUUUUUUACCAGAGCAAUAAUUUGAAAUCGCAAGGUAAUUCUACUGCAGGAAUUAUUGAAGAUGCCAUGAGAAUUGAGCAUAUGGGCCAUGUGGUAGCUGCCCGUUGGAAACAAGUACGGGAAAAGGUGUGUCUUAACUCUCUCUCCUUACAAUUUAUAGUUUUUUUUUUUUGGUUUAAAAUUAUGAUUUUUUGGUACAGAGAGGUUUUCCCAUGGAAAAAAGUCAUGUCGUACUAGCUAGGAAUGAAAUUCCAAGGUGGUUUAAUUUUCAAAGUGAGGGAUCUUUUAUAACCUUGGAGAUGCCCCCAGAUUUCUUCAAUAACAACAGAGUACUGGGCUUUGCAUUUAGUGCUAUUUUAGCAUUUUCAGACCGUCAUGUAGAUUGUGGCAGAUGGUUUUCAUUUUCUUGUGAGCUAAAAGUGAAGACCACCAAAGAUUGUGAUCUGCAUGACACACGGUUAUUUCAGAGCAGCGUUAAUUAUGUAGAAUCAGAUCACUUACAUUUUGGGUACUAUUUGUUUUGUGAAGAGGAUUUUAAUGGUUUUUGGAAAUGCAAUUCCAUUCCUGAGGCAGUCCACUUUAAUGUUUUUCCGCCUUUGAAGUGUGAGUGCUGCGGGGUGAAAAAAUGUGGGAUCCAUUUAGUUUGCUUCCCCGACUCUACGAAUUCAAUGAAAGAUCCAAGCACAUGUUUCAACUAUAACGAAGAAGACUGAGAUUUUCAUGAAUGUAUUUUUUUUGCUUUCCUUUUUCUAAUCACUAUUAAUAAUAGGAGAAAAUGUCAAAAUUAGUUCUUGGAACAAAACAUUCAUGUAAUAACUUUCGAGGGAUCUGGUGCAUGUAACACAAAUUCACACUAGAGCAUUGAACUUUACCUUAUUAGAUGAAGAGUAUGUUGUAUGAAAAGCACAUGGUGUAUAUUGUAAAAUUAAAAUUAUUGGCCUAUUUCCUGCUUUGCACACGCAACCCAUGAUGAUUUUGUUAUUAAGUUUUGUAACCCAAAACACAUCUACUUAGUUAGAAGAGUACGUGACUUAUAAACUAGUAAAAAAAUUCACUUGCUAGUGAUGUGAGAUAUUUCAUGACGUGCAGCAAGUUCUUAUUUGCAGAGCUAUGUUGUGGGCCCAUAUCUCUAUCAAUGAAAACAUGUCACUCACCCCGUUGGCGCACUAUAUCAACUCUCAUGUAUAUAACACAAUCACAUUUGAAAAUUUUCUACUUUCAUCAUUGGGAAGCAAAAGCCAUAAAGAGGGAACAGUUAAAACACCAUCAAAUCUUAUAUAUUUUAAAAAAUAUAUUUGUAUACUGAUUAAAAAAAGAAGAAAGAACAGGAUAGGUGUCAUUUUGACUCAACUCAUUUGUGUUGUGAAUCCAUUUGCUUAAACAUGUAUACUUUUUCAAGUAUCUAUGCCAAUUCCAUAAUCGGAAUGGUGCAUUUGAUUCCAUAGUUGACAUUGUAUCGUCUAUGGCUAGAAUUUACCUUUACAAAACUGACCUGCAAGGAAAGGAUUAAAGAUACCCGUGAACUUAUAUUUUUAUUUAGAUUAUUUUAUUUUUUCCAGGUGAAAAAUUGAUUCCGAUUAACAAGAGCAAUAUAAAUUACUAAAUCAACGUUCUCUAUUCUUUAGAUUGCUGUAUCUUUUUCAUGUAAAAAAUUGAAUCCAUUCAUUCACAUAUCAUUAACAUGAGCAAUAUAGAUCACUAAAUCAUUGUUCAUUACUAUUUUGCUGAAUUUGACUUUUUGAAACGAGUUAGACUUUUUAUUGAAUAAUUUGGUAUAUUUCUUGAAUCAAUUUGGAGCUUCUGCAACACGUCAGGGAUUAGUAUCUCCUACAUUCCUUUCAGUGCCAAAAGAUAUUCAAGCAGUUGAAUAAGAAUUGAUAUGUACAAUGUAAAUACUAGUUUGUCAUUUUACAAUAGGAAUGAUAUAUAAUGCUUAUCAAAACUUGUUGAUAAGAAAGUAAAUUCCUCAGCAAUGAGAUGUUUCAGCCAACCAAUUAAGGAAGCAGCUUUCCAUGGACCAAGUCAGGUCUGUCGUCAUCAGGACAAUGUCCUACUUCUUCCAAUACAAUUAACUUCACAUUUGAGAGUUGAGAAGGCAGAGAUGAGAAGUAUUUACCAACAGGUCCAUCGACGGGUGUGAAUGGAUCCUCAUCACCCCAUAAAACUAGCACAGGUAUAGAGAUUGAUGGCAUCAAUUGCACUGGGUUCAGCCCCGAUGGGCCUGUCACGAUCAAAACAAAUGCAUCAAGUGCCCCUUCAUUAGUGGCGGCUUCUCGUAUGAUCUGUAGUUUUGAUGUCAAUUCAUGAAUUAUGAGUGGCCAUUUUUGUAAGAAAUUUAAAUGGCACAUAAGUGCAGAAUAUUAAUGCCUACUAGCCUUUCAUCCACAGAUUCAUUAUUUGCAUAGACAGUAAAUUGCUCCUCAGUCUUUACCAGCAGCACCAAUAUAUACACAUCAUAGUGUUUUUUAGUUUUGACUCUAAGUGUUUUAGGAUAAUGAACAACGGACUGAAUAGAAACAAGAGAAAGUACCUUUGCCUUGCACGCUCAAAGAACGUAAAGGUAACUGGCCUUUGCUUCAACCAAAAAUCAAUGAACCAAAGCAAUGGUAACAGUAGCUUGAUUCUCCAAUCAUCAACAAUUGCCUUGUUGUUCGUGCAGCCACCAGCACAAUUCAACAAAACAAGCCCUCGAACAAGUGUUUGACUGGAUUCUUAUGGUAGAAAAUAUAGCAGGUUUGUCGCAAACCAUAGUUACCGAAAAGGCUAAUUAAGUGCGAGUGUUUCUUUGCAAGCAAGAUGACUAAUAUCUGAUGCCCAAGAGGAAGUUAAAUUAAUAUACCUGAGGCAGCAAUAACACAAGUAGAGAUGGCCAAUACAAGGCUCAUGCGUGCUUGUGCCCGUGCCCGUGCCGUGCCGUGCCCAGUAUGUGUUUCGUGUCAUGCCGUGCCGUGCUUAAAUUUUUUUUGCUUAGGGCCGGUCUGGCAAAUGUGUCGUGCUUAUUUGUGCGGUGCCGUGCUUAAGAAAAAAAACCAAAUAAGCUUUUUUCUUUUUUAAAUUUUUAAGAGCGCAUGCUAAGCUGUUGGCGUACUUUUUUCAAGUAUAUGUACGUUUCUUGGGUCUAUGCCUUUAUUCAAAUCUAAUAGAAUUGAAAAUUCAAAAUUCAAGUCCAUAUUUAAUAAUAAUAAACUAAUAAUAGUAAGAAAAUAUAAUAUUAAUUACUAAGUUUGACCUUAUAGUAUUAGAAUUUUUUUAAUACUUAACAACAAUAAUAAUAAGAAAAAAAAUUUCUUAAAGGUUAACUUAAUUGUUAACUUGAACUUACAUAGAGUUAUAAAUUAUAGUUCACAAUAAUAUUAAUGCAUAUUUAUAAAAUCAUGAUAUUUAUAAUUUUAUUCAUUAAAAUCAUGAUAUCAAUUAUUUAUUUAAUAAAUUAUAAAUAUAAAUCAAUUAUAGUAUUUUUUAAAACUAAGAAUUAAAUGAAUUUAAAAAAUUCAAUUUCAAGUUAUUUGUAAAAUCAUAAAAUUUUAAGUUUACCUUCAUUAAAAAAUAAAACGUGUUUAUUGCAGGUUUUUUUAUUUUGCCGUGCUUAGCCCAUCUCUAAUCGUGCUGUACUUUUUAGGCUCGUGUGCCUAAAAUUCUAAACUCGGCCCAGCCCACAUGUGUGUCGUGCCCGUGCCCUACCGAAACGUGCUUGUGUCGUGCCGUGCCCGUGCCGUGCCACGUGCCGUUCGGCCCAUUGGCCAUCUCUAAACACAAGCUACGCUUCGAACCGAAUUACGUAUAAGCACAACUGGCUUCUGAGCAACUUCAUCCAAGAAAUCCAACAUUAGCUGUAUCGAUGAGUCUCACUCAAGUUAGCAAGGAAAAUAACCUAAGGUUGAGCGAUUGAUGAUAUAAGUAUAGGAGUUGUCAUAUUUGACCCUCAUUAUAUCUUAUCAGCCCCAUUAAUCACUUUUAUAUGAAUGCUUUUUACUCUUUAUCUUUAUAUGAAAUAACUUAAAAGGAAAAUAAGUAAUGAUCCUUAACGUUUGUGGAUGCCAACUAUAUGUACACAAAAGUAAAUACUAUAAAAAAAAUAGUACAUUAUAAAAAACAAUUCACUACAAAAUAAAAAUUACUUUUUGUCAUUUGUGCCUGUGUUAUUUUUACUACAUGUAAUAUUAUUGCACGGAUGCGGGAAGAAAAAAUUUGGGGUCGAUUUGUUGUAAGCCCCAAAUGCAACCGAAGAUCCAAGCACAAGUUUCAAACCAAACCAACCCAAAGUUUGCGCGGCAAUCCAACUCAACCCAACUAAAAUCAUUUUAAUUUGAUUAUAGUUUGGGUUGACUUAGGCUUUGAUAAAUUCGCAUGUUAUAUAACACAAUUAAAAUAAAAUAUCAUUUGUCAUACAUUUUAUUCAUUAAAAACAUAGUAAAAAAAAUUCAAAAAUUCAGUGGCGGCAAACGUCCUCUCUGGAAUCUUUGUGGGCAACACGUACGUGGUGUCUUCACUAAGUGUUGAAUCUUUAGCUUCAAAGGAAAGAAACAAAAAAAGGGUAGGGAUAUUUCCACCCCAUUAUUUUUGUAAAUUCACACCACUUUUACAAAAUAAUUAUAAUGAAUUCACAAUAUUUUUAAAAAAUACAAAUUAAUAAAAAAUUUGUAUAGUUAAUCAAUUAAAUCCUUCUAUUACCUUUCUUCUUAGAUUUCUUUGACUCUAUUUGAUCAUAAACUCUUAUAGAAAUGUUAUUUUUCUAUUUUAUUAUUAUGAUAUAAAACGAACAAAUUGCCUAACAAACAUGAGUUAUUGUAUCUAAUAAUUUAUGUAUUUAAUUAUGUGAACUAAGAUUUUUAAAUGAAAUCUAAUUAUUAUUUUCACUACCUUACAAAUAAAUUAUAUAAAUUUGACAAGCUAAUAAUUUACAUGAGUAUUGUGCCAUACAGACAUUAUGUUUGUUUAAUUAAUGUUUUAUAAUCAUACUAAUAAAGUAGUAUUAGAAAUAAUGAAUUGCUAUAAAAUUAGAAAAUAUUGAAGUUAAAGAAUUAGUUUUACCUUAUAAGGAUAAAAUAAUCAAUUUAGACUUAUGUCAAAGCAAUCUUUAUGAUCAAACAUAAAAAAAAAAAAAAAUUAAGUCACAAAAAGUAAAUUAAGAUAGAUUUGUUAAUUUGUUCUCCAAAGUUCUUUUUUAUUUAUUUUUUUAAAAUAAUGUGUACUUUUUGUAAUUAUUUUUUAAAAAUGGGGUGGAUUUGGAGAUAUCAUUAGCCAACAAAAAAUUUAGUCAGGAUUAAUUUGAUAAUUGCCCAUAAAAAGAAGGCAUAUGUGCAGGUGGUGAUAGGGAAGCCUUUUUCCAUUCUAAAAUUACAUGUAAGAAUCUAUUAUAAAAAAGAUAAAUGUGUAACAGGAUGUGGAUAGAAAAAUUGAUCUUCAUUUGGGGAUUCUUGAUCUUCAGUUCUUCACUCCACUAAAAUUUCCACUAAAAUUUACCAGAGAAUGAGGUGAAAAACAUGGGCCAAAUAAAAUUAUUAAAAUAUAAAAAAAUUUAAAUUAUUAAAAAUAAUAACUAAAAAAAUACAUAUUUGUUAAGAAUUUUGGAAUUAUUUUUCUUUGAGUAAUGACACUAUAAUUCAAAAGACGCUUUUUGAAUUAAAUCAGAUUUUUUAUUCAAAACGAACAAAGGGAUUAUAUUUUACAAUUGGGUAAUUUUUAGGGACCUCCCCUGAGGUUUACCGUAUUGACACAUAGAGAGAAUGUAUCCACAUAAUUACAACCACCUCCCCUCCCGUUAGUAUCCGGUUACGUAUGGCACAUAUAGGCAAAUUUUAAGCUGAAAUUUCUAGGAAUCUUGCUUAGAAAGGAAUUUUGGGCAGCAUGUAGAAGUGGAAACCAAGUAGAGUUCAACAACCAUAUGGCUGAAAUUAAUAGCAUCAGCCCUGCUGCUCAUAAGUGGCUGUUACAAAUUCCUGUGACAUGUUGGGCCAAACAUUGCUUCCCCACUCAAACCAAGUGCUCACAUGUCACAAACAAUAUGACUGAGUCCUUCAAUAAUUGGAUAGGUAGUGUCAGAGGCAUGCCGAUAGUAAGAAUGUUGGAGGAGAUUAGGACGAAGAUUAUGAUUCUUAUACACAAAAGACAUGAGCUAGGCAAAACUUGGCAUGAUGAACUGCCGCCACUUGUUAGGAGGAGGUUAAUGGAUGCAAGGGCUGAAUCUAGAUCAUUAUCUAUUAUAUUUGGGCACAAUAAUUCAUUUGAAGUCAUGGAAGAUGUCUCUAGGAGGUGUGUUGUGAAUCUAGGCAGCAAGCAUUGUGAUUGUGGGGAGUGGGCUGUUUCAGGCUAGCCUUGCAAGCAUGCUAUAUGCUGUAUUGAUGCAAUGAGAUAUAAUGUGAAUGAAUAUGUCCAUCAUCUCUUGAAAAAAAAAGCAUUCAUGAAGACCUAUCAGCACAAGUUACAUCCAGUGCCAGAUGAAAGCAGAUGGCCAUUACUCUUGCAUGAUAACUUGCUGCCACCGACUGUGACAAGAGCUGCUGGCAGGCCCCAAACUAAAAGAAAAAGAGAGGAUGGUGAAAGACAACCAUUUAAGAGGAGUUCAAGUGUAAGAUGUUCUAAUUGUGAUGAGUGGGGCCAUAAUGUAAGGAGUUGCAAAUCUGUUAUCAAAGGUGGAAAACACAAAAAAAUUAUGAAGAAGAAAUUCCAUCAGGUCUUAAUUACUUGCUUCUAUUAUAAUUUUUUCAUUGUUGUCUUCAAUCUUAGUAUGUUUUGAUUAAAAAUUAUUGUAUAAUCUAAUUAUUUAUGUGUAGGAUCAAAGAGAGACAGGAGCUUGUGCUGGAGAUGCUGCAGUAGCUAAUGAUGUUGUGAGUACUCAGAACAGUGUCCAUGAAAAUGGCAAACAUUUCAUGUAUCAUUUUUUUUAAAGUUAAUAUGUACGCAAAAAUUUAAAUGCACCAACAGUUUGUUUCUCUCAUGCCGUAAUUUCAAAUAAUAGAUAACAUUAAUUUUUUUUUAGAUUAUUAAGGACAACUUACUCAAGAAUGAGCACUGCCAAGUUAAAGCAUCCAGCAGCAUUUUGUAAUUAUCAAGUGAAGAUAUCAGGAGCCAAGUUAAUCCCUUCUAACAAAAUUUUUUGAGGGAUUAGAUGAUACAUCACCUUCAACUGUAAGCAUUGAUAUGAAGAAGUUGUCGUAUCAUCUUUUUGUCACUCAGCCGUAGAUAGAGGUUUGAGUUUUUGUACAUUUUGUUGUUGUGUGGUACAUAACGCAGCUGUUGAUGACGCCAUGUAUGCUUUCUUUGUUUUGGUCCUGUCAAGUUAAUACUGUAAUAACUGACUUGCCACUACAAGUUUAAAUACUGGCUGCUGGUAUUUGUAUUGGCUGAUAGGAAUUCAGUCGUUAAUGACAUGUGACACUUUAUUAUUGUUGGAAUGCAUAUGAAUUUAUAAUUUAUAGUCACAAGUAAUGUUUAUGUAGUUUUAUUACAUAGUUCUUUAUUGAUUUUAGUUUAUGUAGUUUCAUUACUUAGUUACUGCCGUGGUUUUUUACUUUGUGUGUUUGUUGUGCUUGCGACUGUCACUUGAAACAAUAGAAUUUACUUUGUUUGUGCUUGAUAUUACAAAGUGAGACCUGCUGUAUGUGUUUAUUGUGGCUGAUACUGUCAGUUUGAGAAUGAAUUUGUAUUGUAUUUCUACUUUUGCUCAGGGAUUUACUGGUUGUCCUAUGUGAUGGGAGUUGUUGUGUGUGCUUCAUAGUGUUAGUUUUAACAAAAGCUUGUUAUGUGCUUGAAAUUGUUAUUAUACUUUUGCUCAGGGAUUUAUUGGUUGUAAUUCUAUUUAAGGACUGAAUUAUGGACAGUAGCUUGUGUUGUGUCAUUGUGUGUGCUUGCUGAAUUAUGGACAGGAGCUUGUAAUUAUGAAUUAUUGUUAUUGUGUGUGCUUGCUGAAUUAUGGAUAGGAGCUUGUGCUGUGUUAUUGUGUGUGCUUGUUGAAUUAUGGACAGGAGCUUGUAACUAUGAAUUAUUGUUAUUGUGUGUGCUUGCUGAAUUAUGGAUAGGAGUUUGUGAUGUGUUAUUCGCUUACUAUGCUAAAUACUAUCAGUUUGUAAAACAAAUUAUUGUCACAUGCAUUAUCUUUUUUAUCCAUUAAUACAUUACACAGAAAAAUCACUAUAUUUUACACUUCACUGCAUUCUGCAAACAUAGGAUAGCUUAGGCAUAUUAGUUCUUAAGCAUAAUUAAAUUCAGCACAAACAUAACUAGGUUCAAGUACAUCAUCAUCUUCACAACACCUUCACCAAAUCCUGACCUUUGAAGCUUCUUCAUAAUAGUCUUCACUUCUUUCAGAUUUGAUUCAAUAGCAUUUAGGGUAUCAUGAUCCACAAUAGCACUUAAAUUCCCCUCAAACACAGCUCCAUUGUUGAAAUCAUCCCUUGCUGGAACCCACCAUUUGAAGUAUCCGCAUGUUGUUCUGUUCGGCAUCUAUAAUAAAGCUUGUGAGGAUUCUCAUCCGAUUCAGAUAUCAUCACCUCGACUCUCAUACGACAUCUACAGAUUCAAUUUGAAAACUUAAUCAGCCUCCCAUUAACAAAGUUCCUCCAAGCUGGCUCAUAAAUUGGUUGUGUAUUUGAUCGGCUGGAUGUGUUUGAGCUUUCAAAAUCCAUGUGGUUGAGAUAAUGUUUGAUCUUGAUUAUGUUGAAUGCUUCUGUUGGUGAGUUGGAUGAAUACUUAUAUUGAUGAGUAAAUGCUUUUGUCAAUGAGCUGAAUGAAUGAUUCUGAUGAUGCUGAUGAUGAAUGCUUAUGUUGUCGUGAACUGAAUGCUUCCCUUGAUGAGUUGAUGAAUGCUUUUGAUGAUGAUGAUGAGUGCUUCUGUUCAAGAGUUGAAUGGAUGAUGACUUAAAAUCGUAAGAAGAAGAUGAAGAUGAAAUUCUGCCAUGAUCAUUUGCUAACUUGCCUAGGCCUUUUUAUAGUUGCUGCUGCUACUCAAAAUAUUACCGUUUACUUACAACGGUAAUAAUGGCAGCUUUAAUUUAUUUUUUCUUUUUUUUUAAUAACAAAUAAUGUAAAUGAAAUCACAUCACAUAGAUGGGUAAUUUGGUCUUUUUUUAGCUUUUGUGAUUCUAGCAAGUUUAUUACCUAUCGGUUCUCAAAGUCUUGUUUUAUAACUUAUAAUUUUGGCGGGAAGGGUAAUUUAGUAAUUUCAACAGUCAACUAACAGUCAAACUAACCGGAUACUAACGGGAGGGGAGGUGGUUGUAAUUACGUGGAUAUAUUCUCUCUAUGUGUCAAUACGGUAAACCUCAGGGGAGGUCCCUAAAAAUUACCCUUUUACAAUUUAAGAAAUAACUAUAUUUAAUAGAGAUAAUUUUGGGAUAUAGUAUUUACUUUCUAUUGAGACAUUUUCAUAUAUUAGACAAAAGUUACAAAAGUUUACUUUAAAAAAAAAUUAGACUUCACACGUUUAACAAAUAACCCGAAGAAUAUGAAUAAGAAUUAUUAAAACAAAAAUGAUAAAUAAGGAUAAUUUUAAAAUUAAAUGCAAUUAAUGGAGAGAUGAUGACUGAUAAGAAAAAUUGGGGGGCAAAAAUUAAAAUAUCAACCUACUACUAAUGGUAUAGUCAUGACCCACUCAAUUUGAGAAUUAAAAGGACAAAAGCCAAGUGUUGAAAACUAUGGUGUUCAUGGGGAAAUUAAAAAGCAGUGAAAUUAUCGUGCAGUGCACGGUGCUCGGACAAUGAGAUGAAAUUGAAAAAUUAUAACGAAAACUUCAAGGAAGAGUGCCAAUAGUCCUACUCAUAACGUCGUGUCUAACUCAUAACAUAGAGUAGGAGUUCUACGAAAGUAACGGAAGAGUGCCAAUAGUCUUAACUCAUAACGCCGUGUCUAUAAUUUUAGCUGAAAAAAUCUGCCAAGUCGAAAAAUUAGGUGGGCAUUUCAAUAACCCUUGAAUAUUCCAUGAAUCAUUGUCCAGAAAGCUUGGAAAAUGAGAUAUCAGGUCAAUAUAUGCUGCAGAGUCACGCUCAUUUUGGCUUAGCAAUGGUUUUCAUCUGAUCACAAUCUCUCUCUAAUCAAUUCAACUGCUUCUGUUGAUUAUGGCUUCUUUUUCUCGAAACAAGAAGAAGUAUGAUGUUUUUGUUAGUUUCAGAGGAGAAGACACCCGCGACAACUUUACUAGCCAUCUCUAUUCAGCCCCGUCUCGACAAAAUAUCCAAACUUUCAUUGAUGACCAACUUAACAGAGGAGAUGAAAUUUCAGAGUCACUUGUGAAUGCAAUUAACGCAUCAGCCAUUUCAGUUAUCAUUUUCACUGAAGACUACGCUUCUUCCAGAUGGUGUCUUGAUGAACUUGCGGAGAUCCUCGAGUGCAAGAAAGAGUAUGCACAGAUUGUGUUACCGGUUUUCUAUCGCGUUGAUCCAUCAGACGUGAGAAACCAAACAGGGAGUUUUGGGGAUUCAUUUUCAAAGCUUGAAGAAAGAUUCGAGCAAAAUUCGGAGAAGCUGCAUACAUGGAGGAAGGGAUUGAGAGAAGCGGCUGGUUUGUCUGGAUUUCAUUAUCGUAGCAUCAGGUGAAAAGUUACUUUUAAUUUCUCAUGCUAAUAUUUAACACUGUAAAUAAAACUCAUGCAGCACUCUUUGAUAAAUUUCCGGAUGCUAAACUACAAUUUUAAAUUUUUUUAGGUAUCAAAUUCUAGGCUUCUUGACUUCCCAACUUUUGAACCCCGAUAAUUAUAUAUGAAAGAAUUUUGACAGAAUUAAUAAUAAAAGCCCGAUAACUUUACAAUAUAUUUAACAAAAUUAAUGGUGGUAUGUCGUUUUUAAGCAAUUUCAACCUCACAUACCUCCAUCAGAAAAACAAAAGUCACACAUAUUCCUAUAAUUUAAGAGUUAUUAAUUUAUAGGGAGAUUGUAGUGGUAUAUAUUAAUUUCAAUUGGAAAACUAGCAAUCUCCCUUAUUUCAUAUUUGAUGCAAAUCCCUCCUAUUUGAAGUUACUGCUGCUAAUUUUAUGUAUUUGGCAGGCCUGAAUCAGAACUUGUAAACGAAGUUGUUAAUCACAUUUUGAAGAGACUGAUGGAAGAAGUGUUUCGGCCGCGUGAUAACAAAAGCCAGCUGGUUGGAGUAGAAUCAAGAGUUGAGGAAAUUGAAUCUCUACUAAGUGUUGAGUCGAAAGAUGUUUACGCUUUAGGAAUUUGGGGCAUUGGUGGUAUAGGCAAAACAACAAUCGCUAGAGCUACUUUCGAAAAAAUCUCUAGAUAUUUUGAAGGUUCUUGCUUCCUUGUAAAUGUUAGAGGAGAGUCACAAAGAACGGGAGGAUUAGCUUGCUUGCGACAAAAACUUCUUUCAAAUUUAUUGAAGGAUGAAAAUGCAAUUCCUGGUAUUGACCUCAAUUUUAGAAGGCUCAACCGCAUGAAGGUUCUUAUUGUUUUUUAUCAUGUGACUUGCUUCAGCCAAUUAGAAUCUAUAAUUGGAAGUCUUGAUUGGUUGAUGCCUGUGAGUCGAAUCAUAAUAACCACCAGAAAUAAACAAGUGCUUAGAAAUUGGGGGGUGAGGAAAAUAUAUGAGAUGGAGGCAUUAGAAUAUCAUCACGCUCUUGAGCUUUUUAGUCGACAUGCCUUCAAACAAAACCAUCCUGAGGUUGGUUAUGAGGAACUUUCAAGUAAGCCAAUGAAAUAUGCUCAAGGUGUUCCUUUAGCUCUUAAAGUUUUUGGUUGCUUUCUAUAUGAAAGGGAAAAAGAAGUCUGGGAAAGUGCAAUAAAUAAAUUGCAAAGAAUUCUCCAUCCAAGUAUUCUAGAGGUAUUAAAAAUAAGUUAUGAUGGUUUGGACAAUAAAGAGAAAAAUAUUUUCCUUGAUGUUGCUUGUUUCUUUCAAGGUGAGGAUGUAAAUCUACUAAUGAAAUUCCUUAAUGCAAGCGGCUUCUACCCAGAAAUAGGAAAAAGUGUUCUCGUUGAUAAGUCUCUUAUUGUCAUAUCAAAUAACAACAAGAUAACUAUGCAUGAUUUGCUACAAGAAUUGGGUAGGGAUAUUGUCAGUAAAGAAUCAAAUGAUCCUGGAAACUGCAGUCGGUUGUGGCAUCACGAGGAUAUCUACGAAGUUCUUACAUAUAAUACGGUAAGCAAUUUGCUGUGGAUUAUUACUUUGGAAUAUUCUAGCAUUUACUGCCACAUAAUGANNNNNNNNNNNNNNNNNNNNNNNNNNNNNNNNNNNNNNNNNNNNNNNNNNNNNNNNNNNNNNNNNNNNNNNNNNNNNNNNNNNNNNNNNNNNNNNNNNNNUAUUUAUAUACUCUCGAAUUGAUGAAUCUAGAAUUAAUCGAAGAGUGACAAUGAUUAGAAAAAAACAAUAAUGUUUAUAUUGUCAAUUUGUAUUGUAUCCCACAUGCGUAAAUUUCAUGUUUAGUAUUACUUGUAUUAUUAUGUUCCUUUGUGCGUUUGCAAUUAAGAGUUUCACUGCCUAGCAAUAACUAUAUAAACAUGAAUUACUGAAAUUUGAUUCGAGCAAUGAUAAAAAAUUCCACUCCAAUCCCACCUCAAUUCCACACAAGAGUGAAAAAAAAGGUUGAAUUAAUAACUAAGUUACCCCUUGUUGUGAAUCAAUGCCAAACAUGCCCCAAAAAUUUGUCUUGGUGGGGUUGAGGUGCAAUUCAUUGGUGGGAUAUAAAUAUCAUUUUUCAUUUUUUUAUUGAUUUUUAGGGGACUGAAAAAGUUGAGGGCAUCUAUUUGAAUAUGUCCAAAGUGAAAGAGAUCCGUCUAAAUCCCAAUACAUUCACAAAGAUGCGGAAAUUCAGAUUUUUAAAAUUCUAUAGCUCGUCAUUCAAUGCAGAGAACAAAUGUAAGGUGUCUUAUUUGCAAGACCCUAGAUUUACUGAAGUGAAGUAUCUCCACUGGCAUGGAUAUCCAUUGAAGUCAUUGCCUUCAAACAUUGGUGCAGAGAAGCUUGUGUUUCUUGAAAUGCCAAAUAGCAGCAUUGAACAACUUUGGGAUGAUAUGAAGGUAUGUAUAACUUAAUACAUUAUGUGUGCAAUCUUUCAAUAAUAACGUUAAAUUAUCAUACAUGGCAAUGAUUCCUCUUGGCCUCUUUUUUGACCAAACAGCAUCGUGGUAAGUUAAACCAGACAAUCCAUGCUGCCUGCAAGAUGCUAAUUGCCAAAACUCCAAACCCCACGUUGAUUCCACAUCUAAACAAGCUAGUUAUCUUGAAUCUAAGAGGUAGCAAAAGCCUGAAAAGUCUUCCAGCUGGAAUAUUUAAUUUGGAAUUUCUUACAACACUUGAUCUUUCGGGGUGCUCAAAACUUAAGAGGCUUCCAGAGAUCUCAUCUAGUAAUACAAGCUGCCUUUUUUUUAGUGGAACUGCAAUUGAAGAACUGCCUUCAUCAAUUGAGCUUCUAAUUAGGCUGGGGUACUUGGACCUUUCGGACUGUAAAAGGCUUAAGAGUCUCCCAAGCAGCCUAUGUAAGUUGAAAUCUCUUGAAAUUCUUGAUCUCAGUGGUUGCUCAAAUCUUCAGAGAUUGUCCGAAUGUCUUGGCCAGUUGUCCUCUCUAGGAACAUUGCUUCUAGAGAAAACCAAUAUUGAGAGAAUACCAGAAAGCAUCAUCCAAAUUUCUGUGUUGACUUACCCCCGCUUAAGCUAUUGUGAGAGGCUUCAAUCCGUACCAAAGCUUCCAUCCCUUAUACGAUGGUUAGAUGCCGAUAAUUGCACAUCGCUGCAAUCAUUAUCAGGUUUAUUCCCAAGUUCUGAAUUUUAUAUAUAAGCAGUGUUUUCUGACUAGAGCAAUAAUUUUAAAUCGGAUGGUAAUUCUACUGCAGGAAUUGUUGAAGAUAUAAUUUUUUUUUGAGUUAUGAUUUUAUUUUUUUACCAGAUUGAUUUUCACAUGAACGGAGGUCAUAUCUUACUACUCGGGAAUGAAAUUCCAAAGUGGUUUGAGUUUCAAAGUGUGGGAUCUUUUAUAACCUUGGAGAUGCCACCAGAUUCCUUCAACAAUAACUGAGUACUACUGGGCUUUGCAUUUAGUGCUAUUGUAGCAUUUUCAGACUGUCAUGUAGAUAAUGACAGAUGGUUUUCAUUUUCUUGUGAAUUCAAAGUGAAAACUGAAGAUUGUGAUCCGCAAGUCACACGGCGUUACGAUAAUUUCACUGCUUACGUAGAAUCAGAUCACUUACUUUUGGGGUGCUAUUUUUUCACUGUGGCAGUCCGCUUCUCUUUUGAUGAUUUUGAUCGUUUUCCACCUUUGAAGUGCGAGUGCUGCGGGUGAAAAAAUGUGGAGUCCAUUUACUUUACAUCCCAGAUUCUACGGAUUCAAUGGAAGUUCCAAGCAGAUGUUUCAACUGUUACUAAGAAGACUAAGAUUUUCAAGAAUGUAAUUUUAUUUUUUUCUCUUUUGCUAAUCACUAUUAAUAAUAAGAGAAAAAGCCAAGAUCAGUCUUGGAACAAAACAUGCAUGCAAUAAUUUUCGAGGGACGUGGUGCAUGUAACACAAAUUCACACUAGACUAUUGAACCAUACCUUAUUAGAUGAAGGGUAUAAUGUACCGAAAGCACGUAUUUAGCAUUGUAAAAUUACUGGCCUUCUUUUCCUGCAGAUUUAAUCUACUUGGCGUGUUAUUUUUUUUCCUUUUUUUUUUUUUUUGAAUGCUAGUGUUUCAUUCAUGAUAUUUCUGAAUUUUUAUCCAUGAUAUAUUUUAACCUUAUUUUUAUUGAUUCAUGAUAUAUUUUAAAAAAUAUAUUUGUAUAUUGAUUUGUCAACUAAAAUAUUUGUUCUGACUAGCCUUGUCAUUUGUGUUGUGAAUCCAUUCGCUUAAACAUGUAUGCACUUGUAAGGAAAACUGACUUGUAAGGAAACUAAUAUUAGUUUAUGAAGUGAAUAUUGCGCCGAAAUAUAUGGAAAAUACAAACAGAUAGUAAUCAAUUAAUUUUGCGCGAGAGAGGCAGAUAGUUAAUUACCGUGUGCAAAUGGUGGAUAUUGGUUUGAAUAUUAUCAUUAUCAGCGUGAAUGAGGAGGGAUCGAACUUUAUGCCAAUUGAGGCAACAAGUGAGGACGCCACUCAUGCAAAACAACAUCAUCAAAAGCAGAGCUAAACCAAGAGGGAAACCUAUGGAUGGCCGAUUUGAUGAUGACGCUUCUUCAUCAUUCCCCAUUAUUUUACUUCUCGCUACGUACGUAGUACUCUAUGCUACCUUUCUUGCUUCCUUCAAGUGUACAUUUAAUUGAACACAAUCGUAUUAGUAGUAAUUUAUAUUUACAAAACUGACUUGUAAGGAAAGGAUUGAAGAUGCCUGUGAACUUACGUUUCUAUUUAGAUUAUUGUAUCUUUUUCAUGUAUAAAAUUGGAUCUUAUCAUUCUCAUAUCAUUUACAUAAGUGGAGAAUGUUAAUACCUCUACCAGUGUUUCAUCCACAGAUUUCUUAUUUGCAUAGAUGGAUAGUAAAAUGUUCCUCAGUGUUCCCCUGCAGCACCAAUAUAGACACAUCAUAGAGUUUUUUAAUUUUGACUCUAGUGUUUUAGGAUAAUGAACGAAGGACUGAAUAGAGAGAAGAGAAAAUACCUUUGUUUCACAUCCUCAAAGAUUGCAUCUGCAAUUGGCCUUUGCUUCAACAAAGGAUCAAUCAACCAAAGCAAUGGAAACAAUAGCUUGACUCUCCAAUCAUCAACAAUGCCUUGUAGUUUAUGCCGCCAGCAUAAUUCAACAGAACAAGCCCUCUAACAAGUAUUUGUAUGUAUGUAUGAUCAUCCAUUCUCAAUCAACCACCAAACUGAUGUCAACAAAGCCAUGAGGAUUGUCUCACAAGUCUUUCAUUUUCCCUCUCUUUUGGCCGGAGACCAGUAAACCAUUUGAAUAUGGAUGUGCAAACCAGUAAAUAAAUCAUGAAGUUACACACUAGUCUGCUUUCGCACUCAUUCGGAACUAUAAUUGAUACUUACUGCAGGUAUGGUGUAUAAAUUUUACUAAAGUGAAGGCUGGAUCAAUAAGAAAUUCAAAAUGUUUCAUCACAUUUUGGGCUUGAUGAUGCCAAAGAAAGACCAUACCAAUUAUCACGAACGGUAAAAUGUGAACAAGAACAAGCAUACAUUCAAGAAAGCAGAGAAGCAUCAUUAAAAUAAAGCAUUCUUCUCACUAUUCUAUAUUGUUGGAAAAUGGACCAAAAUAAAAAAGAAACCAUAUAUGGAACGUCACAACAAGAAUAUUUGUGCAUUUGGAGAUCAUAGGAUAUUGGGAAGCCAUCGGCAGAAAAGUACAAUUUUUUUUUUUUUUGGGGGGAAAGGAACAGAGAAGUGCAAGUCAAAAAGGAGAAAAAAUGAAAACAGAGAGAUGAAAAGGAAUGCAAUCUAAUUAAUCAUCUAAGGAGGCUACUAUGCUACAUUUAGCCAUUGGUUGAAUAGGCAGCUUGUCUUCUAGUACAACUUUAAAUUUACCAAGAUUGAGAAUUUUCCUUCUGAAGAAAAGUAAUUUCUAUAGCAGCUAUUACCAUCUUCAUCCCAACGGUAAGCAGCUCCAUACUAAGGAAAGAGUGAAAUAGGUGUGCUUUACUUAUAGAAGCCCGUUCCUGUCCAGAGUGAUUAGUAAGUUGUUUCACCAUGACCCCCAUUAUGGUGACUGGAAAAAGAAAAAAAAAAUAUUUGCCCAACACAGAAGUAGCACCCAAAAAGUCCUACUUAAGAGGCUUCAUACCCUGCACAAACUGGAAAGUUUUUUAAAAUUUUCAUGUUCCAAAUGAAGAUUGCCCAUUAAAAAAUUACACACAUAAUGUAUGUAAAGCAAUUAAAACAGAAAAACAAGGAUAACCCAGAAACAAUCCAACCAUCAAUAACAUAAAACUUUUCUAAUUCUGGUAAAGUGAAUGAGAAGCAGAACAUACAUUUCACGUAAUAAUGAAGAUACAUCUUUUAAUCAGUUUUUGCUCUUGCUUUACUCAUAAUGCAGAUACGUAUCUUCAAAAAUUAUAUCAUACAUUUCUCUUAUCAAUGAAGCAGGUUGCUAUUGAACAUUAUUCAUAAACAAAGAGCCAAAUAUGCUUUAAAGCUACUUGCAAAUAUGCCAUCAGGCAUUGAGACAGAGUGACAGACACUCGACAACAAAAACAGACUUAUCAGCACUUAACAACACAAAAGUAAAAAAGCAAAUACUCUUACUCAAGUAUUAUAUUUGUUGCACAAAUAGGAAAGAAGAUAACAAUUUUAAAUUAACCAACAGGUUGAGUCUUAUCGUAAUACACACUAUCAGCUAUGAAUUAGCAUACCUUAGAAGUCCUCAACUCAUUCACCGCUAUUCGAAGAGAAUCAUCCGAUAGAAUCAACCGUGACAAUGCUCCAGGGCUUAAACUGCCGCAUUUAUAAAAGAUCACCAUACGAGAGAAAUCUUAAAUUAAAAAAAAUAUCGGAAACCUAAACGCCAAUCAAACACAUUACAUAUAGCAAUUUCUCUUUUUAAAGUUCAAUUAUCGCUUGAUAGAGUAUUAAGCUUAAUGCAAUACCCCAAUAAUUUUUCAGCUUCUGAGACAGAUCCCUCGACUGCGAAAAUUAGAUCAAGCAGAUCUUGCAUUCCCUGUAGUUAACCAAAAAAAAAAAAAAAAACGAAGCAAGAGUGAAUAGAGUAAUACCAAAGCAAAUUUAGGAUUGUUAGGUCCGAUUUGUGGACCAACUUCUGAACUGCUAAUAGUAGACUUAGGAGGAAGGAUUUGAAGAAGCUGUGGCGGCGGAGAAUACGCAUCAAGAUUCACACUGCUCCUCACUUUGAGGGCCAAAAGAGUGCGACAAAGCUGACGCGCGAUUCUUGUGCUGCGAUCGGUCUUCGGCAGCAUGCGCUAUGACGCCGAUCGGUACGUGCUUGAGACGUACGGCUGAUUCGCGCUUGUUGCGGUGCCGACCGCCUGGUCCCGACGAUUUGUACGCGUCCAUUUCGCAUUCGCGAAACAGCUCAUCGUCCGUCAAUUCUAAGUAAUUCCUCGAAGAAGAAGAAGAAGAAGAAGAAGUUGAAGAACAAUUGUCAUUGGUGCUGUAAUUGCAAGACAAGAACAAUGGCUGAUAAUUCCCGCGAUGCUUGUACGAUGGAAAGUUUAUAUUUUUCCUUCCGAGUUGGGGAAUCCGAAGCAGGAAUUGAGCGGCCAACGCCACAUCAAUUUCAAUUUCCCUCUGUGUAUGUGAUAAUCAAAGCAAAGCUUCGUACUGGUAACACAUUCUUAUAGCAGGCCCAGCCCAAUCAGCCCAAUCCAAAUAAAAGAGUACAUAAUUAUCAAUAAAUAGAAGUCAAGACCUUUCUGUGAUCUAUCUAGUCUUCCUAUCGUACUCUUUUUUUCACUAGAAAAACUACAUUUGUAAUGUGUCUCGAAGCACCAUCAAUUCUUACCUAUAUUUCAAUUAAAAUAAGAGUGAAACUAUCAGCACCCCUUCAUUAUUCUUAUAAAACCCUAUUUCAAAUAAAAUUACAGUUAAGAGCAAAGAAGAAAUAAACACAUGUAGGAUUUUUUUUCCCCAACAAAUUACUUACAUUAAUAAUCAAUCCUUUUUUUUUAUUUCCUACCUAUUAUUUCUUAUCUAAGAUAAAUUGUAUAAAUUUAGAAUAAUCUAUUUUUCUUUUCCUAUUUCUUAUCGAUUAAAUAUUUUUGUACUCAAGAUUACUUUCAAACUACAAUCUAAAAUAUGUGUUAUUUAAGCUACUGAUUAGCAUUCAAACUUUAUCACCUAAAAAACUUUUUAAUUUGUAUGUAGGAUAACAAUAAGAUUGCAAAAGAGAUGAAAAAUAGCACAAUACUACUUUGAGUUUUAACAAUAAAAGAAGAUUAAAUGAAAAACUAAAAGAGUGUCUUUGAAAAUAAAAGGAAUUUUUUUGGAAAUAAAAUAAAUAUAACUAAAAAAAGGGUUUGAUGGGGAGACUAGAGGGGUGCCAAUAGUCCAACUUUUAAAAUAAAAGUUUUAUCAAUUAUUGCUCCCUUUUUCUGCAAUUAUUAUUCCCCACAGAUAUUUCUCCAACAUUUUAUUUCAUAUAUUUACUCCUACUACACUCUAACAAAGGACGCCUUUUGGACGACAUCCGUUUCUAGAUGCAUUUUAUUAAUAAAUUAAAUAAAGGCACCAUCCAUUGUUCAAUUUCUCUAAAUAACCACUUUCUGUCAACUCUCUUAAAAUUUAUUAAGGAAUCUAUGUUGAAGACCAUUUCAUCCUUAGUAUUGUGUAAAUGUAUAAAAAUAGAUUUUACACUUUGAAAUUUAAAAUGACCUUCUUUUAGCAUAAAAUUUUAAAACAAAUGCCGCUAACUAAGGGACAAAUUUUAGAAUACAUGAUCAGUACCAUGUCAGCUAUAUAAAAAGUAAAUCAUAUUAUAAUAUAUGUGCACUUAUUUUGAAAAGCUAUCAGGUAAAUGAUGGUUAUAUUGAAUCUAAGUACGUGCAUAUCAUACAUGACACAACCCGUGUUAACAUAUAUGUUUCCAUAAUGUUGAUUUUGAUGAUAACAAACAAAAUUAAGAAUGAUUAAGCUUUUAAGCUCAAAUUACUUUUUAUACAUUUUAAAUAAAUCAUUAUUUUCACAUUAUAAAGGUUUUAUAUUUAAUGGAAAAAUGAUUUUAUGAAAUUAGUUGUUUUUCAAGUUUAUGAUUUAAUUGAAAGAGUUUUGAAAACUUUGAAAUUAACAAGUAUUGCUUGAAAUUUUGGAGGACUUAUUUGAAACGUUUCAUAGCAUUUUGGGUCGUAUCAUAAUUUCAAAAAGUUUUGGGAAUAGCAAGAUUUAUUUAGAGAUUCUGAAAUUGGACCUAUUUGUAAAAUAAUAUAACGUUUUGGGCCAUAAUAUAGUUUUAUAAAGUUUUGGGGUCAAACUAUAAUUUUAGAAAAUAGUGCACGGUACCGGUUACUGUAACAAGCUGCUAACCGGAUGUGACAAACGACUAGCCAGAUUUUGGGCUGUAAGCUUCUGGAAUGAAAGCGGCUAUCCGGAUUUCGACAGCGGCUAAACGGAUUUCAAAAGCAGCUAACCGGAUAUGAAAAGCAGCAUGCCGGAUAUUCUGAAAUUGAAAUUUUUUCUGUAACGGUAACAUAAAAGUGGCUAACCAGAUUCCAUAAACGGUAAGCCGGUUAUCACCAAAAUGUGCAUAACGACUAGUUUUUGAGUUCAAACUAUAUAAACUCAAAUCCAAUUCAUUUUUGGUAAUCUUGGCAAGCAUAAACAAGUGCACACAACAUAUUUUGAGCUUCAAUUUCCUAAAUCAUCAUUUAUUAAAAUAUCUUUGUUCUUCAAUUUGUAUAUCUACUCUUUGAGAGAGUUUUGUUGUAAUUUUCAAUUCCUCAUCAAAUUUGUGAGUGUUUAAGUGUGUGAGACACUUGAGUGAAGAUAUUGGGAGAUAAUCUCUUUUUUGUAAAGGUUCAUUGACACCUUGGAAGUCAAUUGUAAGCUUUUGAAGCCUUGGAAGGCUUAGAUAGUGAAAUCCUCAAGCUUGGGUUGCUUGGUGGUGUGGACGUAGGCGGUGAUUGCCGAACCACGUAAAAAUCCUUAAGUUUGCUUUCUCUUCCCUUACUCUUUUAUUAUUGUGCUUUCAUUGAAAUUAUUGUUUUCGAAUUUAUUAAGGCAUUAGAUUGGAUUGUUGUGUGGUUUGAUUAUGAUAAGUUUUAAAAACCCAAUUCACCCCCCCUCUUGGGUUGCAUAACUUGUAUUUCAACCCGACCCAACCUCUCUGCCAGAUUCGAGGUGAAUCUUGUGAUCUUAUAUCUAAAGCUUGUGACAUAAAUUUAAUUCAUGAAUACAUAACACUAGCCUCGGCCUUUGUUAUAAACAAGUAAUAACAUAUGUACCUCAUUCAAAAAUAUAUUCAAAACUUGCGCAGUUCACAUCUUACUGUACAUACUUACACUUUAGAUAUAUACAUAUAAACACAAACGUGUUUGAAAUAUAAGUCACGCAGUAAUGCGUGUUGUGGCCCAACCUCAACUGAUUAGAAACUGAAAUGCACGAAAUCCUAUGAAAAUCUUAAAGAAAUGGGAUAAGUAGGAAAAUAAUAUACUUGUAGCUAAAUGAAUGGAUAUAAUUGUGUGUGUGUGUGUGUAUAUAUAUAUAUAUAUAUAUAAAUUAGUGCUUUAGUGCUUGUACAUAAUUAUAUGACAUAACUUCGCACUGAACACAUUACACAAGCAAAUAUGAAAUUAUAUAUAUAUAUAUAUAUAUAUAUGAUAAAACAGCACCAAAUAAUAUGUAGGAGAAAUAACUCUCAAUAUUUAUUGGAAUCAUCAUUGCACAAGUAAAGUGGGGGGAAAAUCUCUCAAUACUCAGCGGAAUUAACUACAUCACAAGGGUCGAGUAAUCUAAGUCUCACUACACAUGCAUAGAGCCUAUGGGGAAGGGUACACAUAUGGUAGCUGGCAAUCACAUCUCAUAAUUGAAUUAAUCAUAUAAUAUGCGUACAUAUAAUCAUAACAUGAUACUAAAUCAUACUAUCAAACAUAAAUACUUUGUAGAAUACAUAUAAAUAAUAAUAGUAAUCCACACACAAAACAUGUUUCACUUCGGGGUUCGUUGGAGCUCCUAUAGAUUCCUUAAUGCUUGGAUUUCUCCUAAAAUAUAGGGUUCAAAAAUUAAUUGUUAGAACUGAUAUAAAAACUUAUACAUAUGACAUAAACUAAAUCAUAAUUGUUCAAAUUUCUUAAAUACGUUACCUACUGACUUAUUGGAUAUAGGUAUAACUAUCCAAUUCUCUUUCCUAUAAUAUUUCCUCUCAAUUGCUCUUUUCAAAAUCAUUUCUCACUCUCGGUUUUUCUUUUCUUUAUUUUUUCUUCUUCAUCUUUUGUUCUUCUGUUCUUUUCCUCUUCUUUCUUCAUCUUUUCUUCUUUUGUUCUUUUCCUCUUCUCUUUUCCUUUUGUUUUCUUCCCUUCUCACCUUUUCCUUUCUUUUUCUUUUCUCUUUGAAUUGCUUUGUUUUAGUUUGAUUCAUGAAAAUGGUGACAGCUGCUUCAAUUCUUUACUUUAUAUAUAUCCAUUGCUUCCGAUCACGCAUGACAAGCACAUAGGUGAAGCAUGCAUGUGCUUUGCUUUAAGCUGACAGCUUGCUAAUUAGCCACAUGUGCGUCACAAUACAUGCAUUAAUUGAUUGUAUUAUUUUUAAUAUAUUAUAUCAUUUCUUUUAAUGAAGGAUGUAGCCAACAAUUUUAUCCAGCUAAACAUGUUCUUUGACAUAUAAUACAGUUUAUGGUCCAAAAACUCAUAAGUAGUUGAAAUUAAAUUAUUUUUUAAUAUCAAUUUUACUUUUCUCUCAAUUUUAAAAUACUUUAAAAGAUUUUCAAACACAAGAUACAGUGGUAUACAAUUGAAGCCUAAUCCAACAUAGAAAGAUUAAAUAAAAUUAAUUUUCAUCACUACGCAAGAGACUUGAAAGGACAUUAAGGUAGCGUUUAUUUUUAAUUUAAAGUAUGAAUAGGUUAGAAUUUGAUUAAAAUUUGAAUGGUUUUGAAUAUAAAUGUUUCAAUAACAUGUUUAUUUUUUUAAUAUAUAAAAAUUAAGUGGCAUCUUGUUUGCUUUUAUAAAGAAAACACAUUAAAUGUAGUUAUUUAACAUUUAUGUCCUUAUAAGUCAAAACGAAUAAAAGGGAUUAGGUUUCGUAGUUUAUGAAAUAACUAUAUUGAAUUGAAAUAUUUUUAGGAUAUAGUAUUUAUUUUCCGGGUAAAAGCUCAUUUAGUCCCUGUAUUUUAAUAUUAGUGUCCAUUUAGUCCCUGUAUUUUUAAAAAUGUCUCGAAACAUCCCUGUCGUCAAAGUAUUGAUACCCCUACCGUUACUUUUUAUUUAUUUUGGUUUACUUUUACAAUAUUACCCUUUUAUAAUAAUUUUUUUGUUUGGACAUUAAUAAAAAGAAAAUAAUUAAAUUACCAAUUUAACCCUAAAAAAAUUAUAUUAAUUUUUAAUUGUCAAAAUUAAAUUGUCAAAAAUUGUAUGCAAACUACCAAGGGUGCAAAUGGUGCUUGCAAAAAAAUUAAUAUAAUUUUUUUAUUUUCUAGGGUUAAAUUGUAAUUUAAUUAUUUUCUUUUUAUUAAUGUCCAAAAAAAAUUAUUAUAAAAGGGUAAUAUUGUAAAAGUAAGCCAAAAUAAAUAAAAAGUAACGGUAGGGGUAUCAUACUUUAACGACAGAGAUGUUUUGAAAUAUUUUUAAAAAUACAGGGAUUAAAUAGAGACACUAAUCUUAAAAUAUAAGGAUUAAAUGAGUUUUUACCCAUAAAUAAUUAAUCAAACAUGGAAAAGUAAUCGAAAUUGAAAAAUCUAUACAGAUAGGGAAAUUCUCCUUUUGGCAUCAAUGGGUCUACAUAAUUUAUUUUGCAUCAAUUAUGCACCAUCACAUUCUUCAACUGCUUUCAAUUAUUUAUGCUCCAAUAAUUGCGAAUUGUUCUUUUCAGUGCAAUCAACUUGCAACUCCCCUAAUCGCAAAAAAACUUACAACUUCCCUUUCAUAAAUAGUAGUGCCCAUUUCCCCAGUAGUCUCGCAUUAACAUUUAAACAUGAUUAUCAAACACUUGGUUUAGUGGUGACCCUUUAUUUUUAAGGUCAGAAGUUACCUAAUCUUUUCAUAUAGAUAUGGGAGUAGAUUUUUUUGUUUUUCUCCCAAUUUCACAGUAAUUAGCUAGUAAACCCCUCUAACCUUAGAGAAGAGUUGAGAAGUUAUGGAUCGAAUUUCUAAUUGAUUACAUUAAAAAUGGUUCCGUUAAUUUCCAUCAAACUUAUUUUUAUAAUAUCAAUACACUAAGGGCGUGUUUGGCGCCCCGCAUAACACUGUAUUAGAACACCAUAUUGUAUUAAGAUAUUACAAUAAAAUGUUUGGCUGCUAUGUGGUAUUGCAUAAAAAAUAAUUAAUGCAGCAAAACCCAUAUAAUGGAAUCUAGCGUGAGUGUCGAGUUGAUUUGAUUUAAUUUUUAUUUUACAGAUUAUAUAUUUAAAAUAUACUGAAAAAAUAAAUGUUAUGCUACUAAAAAUUUAAGGUCAUAAACUCAAAUCUUUAUGAAGAAUGAUGAUAUAUUUUUUAACAUUUAUAUUACAACAAUAAUGUUAAAUUUUCAAAAUUUAAGACUUUUAUAUUCAAUAUUUGUCUAAGUAUUAAAUAUUAAUAAAUAUUAUUUUCUAAAUAUGUAAUUUAAAUUAAUCAGCAAAUGAAUUAAUACAGUACAAUGCAACACCAAACAUAGUGUAACUAAAAAUUAAUACAGUAGAGCACCAAAUAUUGUACAAUAUUAUUAUAAUAUAGUGUUAAUAUAAUACAACAUAAUACAAUACACCUGCAUUAAAAUAAUAUAAUACAAUGUGUCAAACGCACCCUAAUUGUAUUGCAGUAUCUAAAAAAAAAAGAUAAUUAGACCAUUUUAACCAUGAUUAUCUAACAUUAGAUUGAAUUAAAAGAGUCAAAAUUUAUGUUAAAAUUUUAAAAUAAAAAAUUGAAGUUACAAUAUUCCGAUCCAUUAAAAAAAAAUGUAUUUAACCAUGACCAUUGACUAGUCAACACUCACCAGCUUAAAGUAGUGUACAUAUUCGGACACUCACAAAUUCUUUAAUGGAAAAGUGCCACUUACUAAUUCUUAUGUUCAAGUACAGUAGACAAAUAAGUUAAGCAUUCAUUUCUCUACAAUAAAAGUACCAGUCUUCACUCUUCACUCCAUAAUUAGAAGAGUGGGUCUGCCUACAAUGGACCCAUGCAUCUAAAUCUUCAAUUAGAUUUGAUAGGCAGCCAUAAAUCAAUUGACAUGUGUUUUGAUCUAACCGGUUACCCCGUUGAAGCCACAAUUCUCCCGCCAAGUUAAUGAUUCUAAUUGCACUCAAAAAAAAAAAAAUUUCACAAAUUUGUAAAAGAUUCCAUUUUUUCUAAGUACGCUUACUUUUGUUGGAACACAAAGGGUAAAAGUACAUUUAAUCUCUGUAUUUUUAUUCCAGUAAAAAUUGUAAAAAUUUAUUUUUUUAAUUUAAAUGUAAAUAUCUAAAAAUCAAACAUAUGUUACAAAAAAAAACUAAUUUUUUUAAAAUAAGUUAAACUUCAUAUGUUUAAAAUAAACGCUAAGGAACAUGAAUAAGAGCUAUUAAAACAAAAAAAGAAUAAUUUUGAAACUAAAUACAAUUAAUUGAGAGAUGAGGACCGAUAAGAUAAAUUCAUAGAUAAAAAUUAAAAUAUCAACCUUACUUAUUGCCGGCAGUUAUGAGCAUUAAAGCACAGAAGCACGUGUGUUGAAAAGUAUGGUGUUCGUGUGGAAUUUUCAGCUAGAAGUGGACGGUGGCUGGACAAUGAGAUGAAAUUGAAAGAUUAUCACGGAACUUGAAGGAAGGUUCAUGGCAUCGAUUUAUUCUAAAGAGUCACUACAUUUGGUUCAAUAAUUGUUUUCAUUCGAAUCAAAAUCUCUCUCUAAUCAAUUCAACUGUUUCUGUUGAUUAUGGCUUCUUCUUCUCGAAACGACAAGAAGUAUGAUGUUUUUGUUAGUUUCAAAGGAGAGGACACCCGCGACAACUUUACUAGCCAUCUCUGUUCUGCUCUGUGUCGACAAAAUAUCCAAACUUUCAUUGAUGACCAACUUAACAGAGGAGAUGAAAUUUCGGAGUCACUUGUGAAUGCAAUUGAAGCAUCAGCCAUUUCAGUUAUUGUCUUCUCAGAAGGGUAUGCAUCUUCCAGAUGGUGUCUCGAUGAACUUGUCAAGAUCCUCGAGUGCAAGAAACAGUAUGCACAGAUUGUGAUUCCGGUUUUCUAUCGGGUUGAUCCAUCAGACGCGAGAAACCAAACAGGGCCUUUUGGGAUUUCAUUUUCGAAGCUUGAAGAAAGAUUUAAGGAGAAUUCAGAGAAGCUUCAGACUUGGAGGAAAGCUUUGAAGGAAGCAGCCAGUUUGUCUGGCUUUCAUUCUUUUAACAUCAGGUGAAAAGUUACCUUUAAUUUCUCAUUCUAAUAUUUAACAAUAAAUAAAAUUCACUCAGCACUCUUAGUUAAAUUUCCGGCUGCUAAACUACAAUUUUAAAAAUUUUUAAGCAUCAAAUUCUAGACUUCCUGACUUCCCCACUUUUGUGCUCUCAUAAUUAUAAAAUAAUUGUGACAGAAUUAAUAAUAAAAGCUCGAGAAUUUUACAAUAUAUAUGUAACAAAAUUAGUGGUGGUCUGUCGUUUUUUAAGCAAUUUCAACCCCUCACUCAGAUACCACCAUUACCAAAAAGAAAAGAGAAAUUAUCAUUGCACCACCUCUCUUUUACCUUAUGUUCAUCCAACCAUCAUAAAAUUUUAACAUGUUCUUUGCACCACAUUUCUUUUUAAAUUUGUAUUAAUUAGUUACUUUUGAACUAAUAUCGUUAAAUAANNNNNNNNNNNNNNNNNNNNNNNNNNNNNNNNNNNNNNNNNNNNNNNNNNNNNNNNNNNNNNNNNNNNNNNNNNNNNNNNNNNNNNNNNNNNNNNNNNNNGUAUUUUCUAGGUGUGAGUCGCAACUUACAAAUGAAGUUGUUAAUAACAUUUUGAAGAGAUUGGAUGAAGUGUUUCAGCCGCGCGAUAACAAAAACCAGCUGGUUGGAGUGGAAUCAACAGUUGAGGAAAUUGAAUCUCUAUUAGUUGUUGAGUCGAAAGAUGUUUACGCUUUAGGGAUUUGGGGCAUUGGUGGUAUAGGCAAAACAGCAAUUGCUAGAGCUAUUUUCGACAAAAUCUCAGGUGAUUUUGAAGGUUCUUGCUUCCUCGAAAAUGUUAGAGAAGAGUCACAAAGACCAGGAGGAUUACCUUGCUUACGACAGAAACUUCUUUCAAAUUUAUUGAAGGAUAAAAAUGUGAUGCCUUAUAUUGACCUCAAUUUUAGAAGGUUAAGCCGCAUGAAGGUUCUGAUUGUUUUUGAUGAUGUGACUUGCUUCAGCCAAUUAGAAUCUUUAAUUGGAAGUCUUGAUUGGUUUACGCCUGUGAGUCGAAUCAUAAUAACCACCAGAAAUAAACAAGUGCUUAGAAAUUGGGGGGUGAGGAAAAUCUAUGAGAUGAAGGCAUUAGAAUAUCAUCACGCUAUUGAGCUUUUUAGUCGACAUGCCUUCAAACAAAACCAUCCUGAUGUUGGUUAUGAGGAACUUUCAAGCAAAGUAAUGAAAUAUGCUCAAGGUGUUCCUUUAGCUCUUAAAGUUUUGGGUUGCUUUCUAUAUAAAAGGGAAAAAGAAGUUUGGGAAAGCGCAACAGAUAAAUUGCAAAGAAUCCUCCAUCCAAGUAUUCUAGAGGUAUUAAAAAUAAGUUAUGAUGGUUUGGACGAUAAAGAGAAAAGUAUUUUCCUUGAUGUUGCUUGUUUCUUUCAAGGUGAGGAUGUAAAUCCUAUAAUGAAAUUCUUUAAUGCAAGCGGCUUCUACCCAGAAAUAGGUAUAAGUGUUCUUGUUGAUAAGUCUCUCAUUGCUAUUGAUUCACACAAAAAGAUAACAAUGCAUGAUUUAUUACAAGAAUUGGGUAGGGAAAUUGUUCGACAGGAAUCAAUUAAUCCUGAAAACCGCAGUAGAUUGUGGCAUCAUGAGGAUAUUUAUGAAGUUCUUACAUAUAAUAAGGUAAGCAGUUUGUUGUGGAUUAUUAUUUUGGAAUAAUGUAGUGUUUAAAAACUUGAUGCCAAUAUAUUUACAUACGGUCGAACUUAUGAGUCUUAGAAUUAAUAGAAGAGUGGCACUGAUUAGAAAAAACAAUAGUGGUUAGAUGAUGUAGUAAUAAAUUAUAAAUGCGAGACAACUUGCAUAACCAUUUGUAAGCAUAAUUGAUAUGUAAAUUUGUGUAGUACCUGUGUUCUUAUGUUUCUUGUGCAUUUGCAAUUAAGUGUUUAACUGCCUAGCAAUAACUAUAAACAUGAAUUAUUGAAAUUUGAUACGAGUAAUGACAGAGAGCCCCACUCCAAUCCCACAUAAACUCCAUACAAGAAUAAAUAAAAAUUAAUAACUAAGCUACCUCUAAUUGUGAAUUAGUGACAAAAUUGCCCCAAAAAUUUGUCUCGGUGGGGUUGAAGUUUGAUUCAUUAGUGGAAUAUACAUAUCUUUCAUUUGAUUUUAACUUUAUUUAUUUUUAUUUAUUUUUAGGGGACAGAAAAAAUUGAGGGCAUCUGCUUGGAUAUGUCAAAAGUAAAAGAGAUCCGUUUAAAUCCCAGUACUUUCACAAAGAUGCCUAAAUUGAGAUUUUUAAAGUUCUAUAGUUUAUCAUUCAAUAGAGAGAACAAAUGUAAGGUGCCUUAUUUGCAAGACCCUGGAUUUGCUGAAGUGAAAUAUUUUCACUGGCAUGGAUAUCCGUUGAAGUCAUUGCCUUCAAACCUUAGUGGAGAGAAGCUUGUGUUACUUGAAGUGCCUGAUAAUGACAUUGAACAACUUUGGGAUUGUGUGAAGGUAUGCAUAUCUUAUUAUAUAUGUGCAAUCUUUCAAUAACAAUAUUAAAUUAUUAUAGUAAGUAACGAUUUUGUCUUGGCCUCUUUUUUGACCGAGCAGCGUUAUAGUAAGUUAAACCAGAUAAUCCAUGCUGCCUACAAUAAGCUAAUUGCCAAAACUCCAAAUCCCACGUUGAUGCCACGUCUGACCAAGCUAGUUAUCUUGAAUCUAAGAGGUAGCAAAAGCCUGAAAAGUCUUCCAUCUGGAAUAUUUAACUUGGAAUUUCUUACCAAACUUGAUCUUGCGGGCUGCCCAAAACUGAAAAGGCUUCCAGAGAUCUCAUCAGGUAAUCUAAGCUGGUUUUUUUUAAGGGGGACUGCUAUUGAAGAACUGCCCUCAUCAAUUGAGCGUCUACUUAGGCUUGGGUUCUUGGACCUUUCAAAUUGUAAAAGGCUUAAGAGUCUCCCAAGCAGCCUAUGGAAGUUGAAAUCUCUUGGAGUUCUUAAUCUCUGUGGUUGCUCAAAUCUUCAGAGAUUGCCCGAAUGUCUUGGCCAAUUAUCCUCGCCAAUAAUAUUGAAUCUAGCGAAAACCAAUAUUGAGAGAAUACCAGAAAGCAUUAUCCAACCUUUCAUGUCGCGAUACCUCCUCUUAAGUUAUAGUGAGAGACUUCAAUCCUUACCAAAGCCUCCAUUCCUUGCACGAGGUUGCCUGGCACUGCAACCAUUCUUAGGUUUGUUCUCUAAGUUAUGAAUCUUAUAGGCAAUGUUUUUUGACCGGAGCAAUAAUUUUAAAUUGGAAGGUAAUUCUACUGCAGGAAUUGUUGAAGAUAGCCAGAGAAUUCCGCAUAUGGACCAUAAGCUAGCUGUCCGUUGGCAAGAAAUACAGGAAAAUGUGUGUCUUUAACUCUCUCUGUUUAAAAUUUCUACAAUUUUUUUUUGGGUUUAAAAUUAUAAUUUUUUGGUACAGAGAGGUUUUUCCAUGGGCAAAGUUCAUAUCGUAAUGCCUGGGAAUGAAAUUCCAAAGUGGUUUCAGUUUCAAACUGUGGGAUCUUUUAUAACCUUGGAGAUGCCACCAGAUUUCUUCCGUAAUAACAUAGUGCAGGGCAUUGCAUUUUGUGCUAUUUUAGCAUUUUCAGACCGUCAUGUAGAUUGUGGCAGAAGGUUUUCAUUUUCUUUUGAGCUCAAAGUGAAAACCACCAAAGAUUGUGGUCCCCAUGACACACAGUUAUUUCAGAGCAGAGUUAAUUAUAUAGAAUCAGAUCAUUUACAUUUGGGGUACUAUCUGUUCCGCGAAGAGGAUUUUAAUGGUUUUUGGAAAUGCAAUUGCAUUCCUGAGGCAGUCCACUUUAAUGUUUUUCCACCUUUGGAGUGCCAGUGCUGCGGGGUGAAAAAAUGUGGGAUCCAUUUACUUCACACCUCAGACUCUACGAAUUGAAUAGAAAAUCCAAGCACGUGUUUCAACUAUAACGAAGAAGACUGAGAUUUUCAUGAAUGUAGUUUCACUGUUUUCCUUUUUCUAAUGACAAUUAAUAAUAGGAGAAAAUGCCAAAAUCAGUUCUUAGAACAAGACAUCCAUGUAAUAACUUUCGAGGGAUCUGGUUCAUGUAACACAAAUUCACACUAGAGAACUUUACCUUAUUAGGCGAAGAGUAUAAUGUAUGAAAAGCACGUGAUGUGCAUUGUAAAAUUAAAAUUAUUGGCCUUCUUUUUCUUGCUUUGUGCACACAACACAUCACGAUUUUGUUAUUGAACCUUACAACUCAAAACACAUCCACGUAGUUAGGAGAGCACAUGACUUAUACACCAGUAAUAAAACUCACAAGCUAGGCGAUGUCGGAUAUUACAGGACACACAACAGUUCUUAUUGGCGGAGCUAUGUUGUGGGCCCAUAUCUCUAUCAAUGAAAGCAUGACACUCACCCCAUUGCGCACCAUAUAAACUCUCAUCUUUAUAAUGCAAUCACAUUUGAAAACUCUCUACUUUCUCAAAUCUAAAUUGUUGUAUAUGGGAAAGUUUCAUCAUGUGGAAACAAAAGCCAUAAAGAGGGAACAGUUAAAACACCAUAAAAUCUUAUAUAUUUAAAAAAAGGUUAAUGCUAAGUUACAUGCAUGUAACUUACAACCCUCUCACAUGAAUAGCGAAUGAUGUGAGCCCACUCACUAUUCAUGUGAGAGGAUUGUAAGUUACAUGCAUGUAACUUAGGGGGAUCCUUAAAAAAAUAUAUUUGUAUACUGAUUAAAAAAAAAAAGGAUAGGUGUCAUUUUCACUCAAUUUAUUUGUGUUGUGAAUCCAUAUGCUUAAACAUAUGUGCACUUUUUCAAGUAUAUGUACCAAUUCCAUAUUCGGAAUGGUGCAUUUGAUUCCAUAGUUGACGUGGUAUCAUCUAUGGCUGGAAUUUAUAUUUAUAAAACUGACUUGUAAGGAAAGGAUUGAAGAUGCCUGUGAACUUAUAUUUCGAUUUAGAUUGUUGUAUCUUUUUCAUGUAUAAAAUUGGAUCCUAUCGUUCACAUAUCGUUAACAUGAGCAAUAUAGAUUGCUAAAUCAUUGUUCUUUAUUAUUGUGCUGAAUUUGACUUUUCAUUGAAUAAUUUGAUACAUGCCUUGAAUCAAUUUGGACUUUUACAACUUGUCGGGGAUCAGUUUCUCCUACAUUCUUUUCGGCGCCAAAAGAUAUUCAAGCGGUUGAAUAAGAUUUGAUAUAUACAAUAUAAAUGCGAGAGUUGUUUGUCUUUUUACAAUAGGAAUAAUAUAUAAUGCUCAUAAAAAAAUUUCGUUGACCAACUCGGGUCUGUCGUCAUGGGGACUGAUGGGUGUCGAAGCCAACAAAAAUAAAUUCCUACUCUAAAUAAAUUGUGUAUAGUGAUUGAGCAGGGUCGUGUCCACAGAGAUCGGUAAUUAUUUAAAUCCUUUUGAAACGUAAAACGUAAAAUGGGGGAAUUGUUGACAAUAAUAAAAAUCAAAUUAAAAAUAACAAGAAUGCAAAUUAAAGUUGUAAUUCAAAUUGGAGAAAGCUCUGGUUGAAGGAAUUAACUCAGCUUGAUUCAACUACUGAUCAUUGAUUCAAAUAUAGAUUAUUAUUACUCAUGAAUAGACCGGUUAUAGCUACUGAGACCCUCUAAUAGCCAAUCUCUCCUUAACUAGUCGAUAACCAAGGUACGACCGUUGGUUAUUUCCCUAAUCAAUAGACAACCCUAGAUACGAUCAUAGGAUUUAAUCAAUUGAUAGCCUGAAAAACCAGAGAGACCCAAAUCAUAAUCAACACAUAUGAUGAUUCAUUUAAAUUAGAUUGUUUAUUCUCACAACACAACUCUCUGAUAUGUUAUUUGUCACAAACAUUAAAUUCUUCAUACGAUGAAUCCUUUAAUUGACAAUAGAUUAAGUUGAUAAUUAAAUAGUGGCCAAUUACCUAAUUAACAAACAUAAUCAUGAAAAUAAUUCAGAGAAUAAACAAAUACUCAAAAAGCAAUAAAACAAUUAAAGCACAAGAAAGAUCUCACAGUAGUGAUGAAUCAAAGCUUCAUUAUCCUUCAACCAGAAAAAUAGGUUUAGUUCUUCAUAGAGAGAAGAGAAAAAUUAAGAUCUAGGGUUUAUUUCUUUUUCUCCAAUCCAAAAAAUCCCCCAUUUUCACAAUAGAUUCCUCCCUUAAAUACUCUCUCUCUCUUCUCUUUUAGAAUUCUAUUUAAAAUAAAAUCCUAAUAUCUGAAAUAUUAAAUUCGUAAUUACAAAAAUAGCCAAAAAUAUAAAACAUGUUAAACUAAAAACUGCAGGUCCGCAGUUGACAGCACGCGCCCACGCCUUAUCAACAAAGUUCUUCUGCUGCUCAUAAUUUCUCCAAGGGAACAAUCAUCCCUAAACAUCAUCUUGUAGCUUAAUUUUAUCACCAAUCAAUAGAAUUGCACCUACAAAAGUAAAUCACAAGUAAAUCACUAUUAUUAAGUGCAAAACAUCGAUAUUAAGGGAAGUAAACAAUGCAAAACUAGUGCAUAAAUUGCACUCUAACAAAUUCCCCCACACCAAGAUGAUGCUUGUCCUCAAGCAUAUAACUCAAGAUUAAUCUCAAAUCUCCACUAAAUUCUCAUCUCAACUCAUCCAAAAACAAUUUUAAGCAAGCAUACCUCAAGAAAUUAAGUCGUUCAAUGUUCGAGAGACAAGGAUUUUAAAGCAUAGAAUUUCGUAAGAUAGAAUAAGAACAUUCAACCACCAAGAAGAUCCAUUCAAAAUUCAAGUGCAACAAGAUUUAAUAGCCCUCUCAAUAACUUCACUCCAUGCACUCAAAGUGUUUAGGGUGUCAUUUAUCCACUCAAAUCAAAUCAAAGAAUGCUAUUACCAUAAGCUUGCUCAUAUAUCACAUCUCAAUCCACACAACAUGAAUAAAAUGCAAAAAUCUAAGGGUCUUAAAAGGGUUGUAAUGGGGUUAAAUAGGUGAAAUGAAAAAGAAAGGUCUAUGAAAGAAAAAUAGAUAAAAUGAGAAGAAUGAACUCAUUGAAUGAACUUAUGAUAUCAAAAUGCUUAUUUCUACUCAAGUCACCAAGAAUGUAAACUUUUUUUUUCGAUUUUUCUUUUUCUUUUUCUUUCUUUUUUUUUUCUUUUUUUUUCGUUUUUGUUUUGUUUUUUUGAUUGAUUUUUUUUUAAUCAAACAAAAGAAACGAACCUUGCACAAUUUAAUUCAAGCAUAAUGCUUGUUGAUCUAAUUGAGAAACUUUAAUACAAGGUAGAAAAAGCAACAAAAUAUAACCACACAAUGAGUUCAAAAAUCUCCUUAAAUUGAGGCUCAAAAAGAAGAAAAAUGGUUAAGUCAACGGAGAGAAUUAGAUGGGUAAUGGUUAAGGCUCAAACAAAGGUAGCAAAUAAAGGUCUUCGGGUAGAGAAAAAAAAUGCGAGAAUAGAAAAAUGGAAUAUGGUUUGCCCUUAUCAUUUUAAUGCAUAAAAUCCCGUAAUGUGGCUUCAACAUGCAUAACAAAGCAAGUUCUAGAAUAAACAAACUAAGAUUGAUAUUCACAUAACAAAAUAUUAGAGCAAAGUGGUUGCUUAUAGGCUCAAAUCCUCACAAAGUUGGUAAAUUUGCCAUCAAAUCAUGUACACUCUUCAAAUGAAUCAACCAUCAAUAAUGGUGUAGAAUGAGAAGAAGGUAUGAGUGAUAUAUAAAAGAAAAGGUAAAAAUGAUAAGAAGUGAGAAAGACGUAUGUAGUAAUAUGAAAAGUGAAAGAUAAAAUGUGAGUGAUGAAAGAGUAUGAUAGAAUAAAAAUAGAUGUAAAUAAUUUGAGAUAGAUGGGAAAAGAGUAGUGAGAAAGAAAAGAAAAGAAAAAAAUAAUAAUAUAUGAAGCAUACUAACUCCAAAAUCAUUUAAGGAUGAGUAGAGUGAAAAUAGAUGAGUAGAGUGAAAAUACUACUUCUAGACAUCAAUAAUGCAAAAAUCCCUCCCCCACACCAAGAACUUACAUUGUCCCCAAUGUAAGAUAAUCAAAGCUCACAUUAAAAUUAAAGCGUAAGAAUAAAAGAUUAAAGGCAAAAAGAAACUUCCCUGAAUUGUGAGCUUUGAUCCAUAUAACGUCUAUGGGCUUGGCGGAAAUGGUGGGGUAAAUCCCACACUCUCGAAGUAUGCGGCCAAAUUAUGCUCCAUCUUGUUCAGCUUGUGCUCCAUUUUCUCUAACUGAAUGCUCAAAGGUGGUGCGGAUGUAGAAGGAGUAAUUGGCGGGGCAGCAGUGUCGUCGUCAAACUCGUCAUCAGAGGUAGCACCACUCCUAGCAUAAAGUUUCUUCGGAAGUUGAGUGGGUCUUGGUUCAGUAAACUGAAAUCUCCCCUCCUUGAAUUCGACCACACCUAUUCUUUCAAACACAGACAUAUCCAAAAAUUCCUUUUUACAAGCAGGAUGCAAAUCAUUAUUGUCGGGAUCAAGCACACAUAGGUUUAUAGCUAACAUAGUAAUGUAUGGACCAAGAAAUAAAGUCCUAUACCGUUUAAGCACACUUUGAAAUUGAUCCGCUAACCAAAAACCUAAAUUAGGCCUCACAUCAUUUAACAUGCACCAGAUAAAAUAAAAUUCAGUUUUAGAGAAAACUCCUGAGUGAUCUUUCUUGCCUAAAAAAUUAUAUGCUAAGAAUCGAUGCACACAUUUCAAAACAGGAUCACGUAAGAAAGAACUCUUUGAUUUACUCGGGUCAUAGGCAUUGUGAUCAACAGAUAAAUUAAGCCAAAGACCAUAAGGCUCAAAAUUUUCACUAAAGUCACAAGUUUUUCCUAAAUAUGCAUCACUAGAAGAAUAAUCAUCAUUAAUGAAUCCUAAAGCUAGGUUAAAAUCCGUGAUAGAGUGUGAAAAAUUUCGUCCCAUUAACCUAAACUUAAUGACAUCCGAGGUAUGCAAAGUAAAAUCAUUCGGCAUAUGAAAUUGAAAAGUAGCAUAAAACUCCCUAAUCAACUCAACAUAACCCAAACAAUCAACAUCAACAAAUUUACGCAACCCAAUCUUAUCUAUCAAAGAAUCAAAAUUAUCCUUAACAUUCAAUUUUUCAAGAGUCGGGUAAUGAAUAUACUUAGCUGGAAGUAUUUUGCGCAUGGAAAUAUCUUUGUACCUCUCUUUCUCUUGUUGAGUCGCGAAUGCGAGGCACCCUCCGAGAUUGGAUUCCGCAAGUGGCAAAACACUCAUGCCUUUUCCAUGCUUCAAUCUUUGUCUCACGGCUUGGCGUGAAUCUGAAAUUGUGUUCCAUGGAACCGUAGUGGGAGCGGCAAUCUUAGAUUUCUUGGCGACGGGUUUUUUUUUCGAUGACUUGGAAGUAGAUGCUUUCCUCUUCGGCAUUGUUACAAUAAUUGCACUCACGGAUUUCGAUUUACCCGGCUGGAAUACAGGGCGUAGGCUGGUUGCGUUGCGUUGCUGCGUUGUGGGCUUGCGUUGCGCGCUGCUGAGGCUUGCUUUGCGGGUGCUGCGCUGUGUUGCGCGCUAGUGAUUCGCGUUGCGUUGCUGGGCUGGAUCUACGCACUGCUGCGUUCGCGUUGUGUUGCGCGCGAGAGCUGGUUCGCGCUGCUGAUCCGUUGUGCGCUGGUGGGGCUUCGUUGCGCACGGCUGGAGCUAAGAAUCUGCGUUGCUGGGGCUUGCGUUGCGCGCGACUGAUGCUGCAUUCUCCGGCUGGCUGGUUUGCUGCUGGCGUGCUGCAAACGGCUGGAGAAGAAAACAAUUUCUGGAAAAUUAGGGAUUUUGUGAACAGUAAAAUUUUUUUUUUUUGAACAAUGAUUUUUUUUUGAUUUUUUUAAAUAAAUAAAAUAUAUAUAUAUAUAAAAGAAAGAACAAAAGAAAUAAAUCAAUAAAAAAAUAAAAUAAAUUAAAAUUAAAAAAAAAUUUAUUUUUAUUUUUAUUUAUUUAUUUAUUUUUUUAGUGAUGAAUCACUUUGAGACACUAAAAAUUUCAGAAGUACUUUUCUAAUAAGCACGUGGGCACGCCUUAAAACUAUUUUACUUUAAAAAUUACAGAAGUACUUAUUAGUUAAGACGUGGGCACGCCUUAUCAAAAAUUUUCUUCUGACCAAAAUAAGCAAACACAUUAUUUAAAAAAAAAAUCUGAAUCAAAAUUAAAAGAAGAUAUAACAAAAACCAAAAUAAAUAAAUCACUUGGGUUGCCUCCCAAAAAGCGCCUUUGUUUUAUGUCUUUGGCUAGACACAUUUAUGCAUCAAUCUCCAUAAUUUGGACUCUCGAGAGCCACAUCCUCCACAAUAUUCACCGAAAAACCUUCAUAAAAAGGUUUUAAGCGAUGACCAUUAACCUUAAGAACUCUGUCAGAGGUCGGACUCCGAAUCUCAACUGCACCAUGAGGAAAAACAUUAGUAACAAUAAAAGGUCCAACCCAGCAAGAACGUAAUUUACCCGGAAAAAGUUUAAGUUUAGAAUGAAAAAGAAGAACUUUUUGACCAACAGAGAACUCCUUUCUCAAAAUCAUUCUAUCAUGAAAUGUCUUCGUCUUUUCCUUGUAAAAAACUUCCUUCACUAUAGGGUUAAUAACAUCCACAGAAAAUACCGAAUGUUCCUCACUAGGAUAUUUCAUGGCAUCAUUCAUAUUGAAUUCUAUAACCUCUCCAUCAAACUCCAUAGUGAGAGUCCCUUUAUGUAUAUCCAUUUUAGUCCUAGCAGUCUUAAGAAAAGGUCUUCCUAGCAAAAUUGGGACAGAAUUAGAGGAGUUAUCAUCUUCCAUAUCAAGUACAUAAAAAUCAGCAAGAAAAACCAACUCAUUAACUUGUACUAAGACAUCUUCUAAUACCCCAUCAGGAUAUGCAUUAGACCUAUCAGCUAGUUGAAUUAUCACACCAGUUUCUUUUAAUGGUCCAAUAUUCAAAGAUGAAUAAAUGGAACGAGGCAUGACAUUAAUAGAAGCUCCUAGAUCUAACAAAGCCUUUUCAACUCUAACACUACCAAUUUUACAAGGGAUAGUAAACAUACCUGGAUCCUUGCACUUAGGAGGUAGUUUCUUUUGGAGAACUACUGAAACAUUCUCCCCCAUGUGAACUUUUUCAUCUCCUCUUAAUUUUCUCUUGGAGGUGCACAGUUCCUUAAGGACUUUAGCAUAUCGAGGUAUUUGUUUUAUAGCAUCUAAUAAAGGAAUAUUUACCUCAACCUUGCGAAAUGUCUCAAGGAUGUCUUUCUCUUGUUCCUCCUUCUUGGAUUUUGCAAAUCGGCUUGGAAAAGGAGGAGGUAUCACAAUAGGUAGGGGUUUCGCUUUGGUGGGUUGUGCAUCUUGAGAUUGAGGCAUCAAUUCAUUCUUCUCAAGCUCAUCUUCUACAUGCUUUGUCACUUUCUUACUAGGCUCUUGCAACUCCGUCCCACUUCUAAGGAUGACAGCACUAACGUUUUGCUUUGGAUUCACCUCAGAUUGUGAAGGCAAUCUCCCUAAUACUUGAGACUCCAGACAGCUCACUGUAGUCGCCAAUUGACUCAUUUGGUUCUCCAAGUUCUGAAUGCUUACUGUAGUUGCCUGCUGAAAUUGUUGAGUGUUAGUCGCAAGCGAUUUAACAAUUUCUUCAAGAGAUAUACCUGACUUGGAGUUUGACUGUGGAGGUGCUGGUUGUCUUGGUGGAUACUGUUGUGGGAAUCCUGACGGCCUAACUCCAUAGCUGAAGUUGGGAUGAUCCUUCCAUCCCGGAUUGUAUGUUUGUGCAUAAGGAUCAUACCUCCUCUGAGGCAUGCCUGGAAAUCCUCCAACUACAUUGGCUUGUUCAACGGGUUCUUCUUGAAGUGUAGGACACAUAUCGGUUGAAUGACCCAUAUUGUAACAAAUGCCACAAGUCUUCACCUGUUGCACAUUACCUACAACAAACUUUUCCACAAGAGAAGUAAGUUUAUCUAAACGUUGUUCAACAGAAGAAAUAUUUACCUCAUUCACCUUCUUUGAAAUGGGAUCUUGCCUGCUGCCAAAUUGUUGUGCGUUGGCAGCCAUAUUUGAUAUCAACUCCCUUGCUUGCGUAGGGGUCUUGUUCACCAACACGCCUCCACUAGCAGCAUCUAUCAUACUCCUAUCCAUCAAUGAUAGUCCUUCGUAAAAAUAUUGAAUAAGAAGUUGAUAAAAAAUUUGAUGCUGAGGACAACUGGCACACAAUUGUUUGAAUCGCUCCCAAUACUCAUACAAAGUCUCUCCAGGAAGUUGUCUGAUCCCACAAAUAUCUUUUCUGAUGUUGGCAGCUCUUGAAGCAGGAAAGUACUUCUCAAGGAAUUGCUUCUUCAAAACCAUUCCACGUUGUAAUUGAUCCAGGAGGCAAGUAGUACAACCAAUCUUUAGCUAGCCCAUCUACAGAGAACGGAAAAGCACGCAGCUUAAUCUGCUCUUCAGUCACACCUUGUGGUCUCAUACUUGAGCACACAACAUGAAACUCCUUAAGAUGUUUAUGAGGAUCUUCACCUGCAAAACCAUGAAACUUGGGUAAUAAAUGAAUAAGACCAGACUUUAAUUCAAAAUUUACCUCCAAAUCUACAUAUUGAAUGUAGAGUGGUUGUUGAUUCAAGUCUGGUUCAGCUAACUCUCUAAGAGUUCUUUCUAUAGGUGCAGGUCUAUCCAUCACUUGUUCUUCUAAAUCGCUAGAUGAUUCAACUGAAUUAGGCACUAUAUCUGUUUCAGAAAGCAAAGGCGACGAGGAUCGUUGCUUAGCUCGCUUCGUCUGCUGUCUCAGCUGGCGAUCUGUCUUCUCAAUUUCAGGAUCAAAUGAAAGUGUACCUGUACGAGAAGAACGAACCAUACACCAAGUAAAACGUAAAAAGGAUUAAAUAAAUGACACCAAUCCCCGGCAACGGCGCCAAAAUUUGAUGGUUGUCGAAGCCAACAAAAAUAAAUUCCUACUCUAAAUAAAUUGUGUAUAGUGAUUGAGCAGGGUCGUGUCCACAGAGAUCGGUAAUUAUUUAAAUCCUUUUGAAACGUAAAACGUAAAAUGGGGGAAUUGUUGACAAUAAUAAAAAUCAAAUUAAAAAUAACAAGAAUGCAAAUUAAAGUUGUAAUUCAAAUUGGAGAAAGCUCUGGUUGAAGGAAUUAACUCAGCUUGAUUCGACUACUGAUCAUUGAUUCAAAUAUAGAUUAUUAUUACUCAUGAAUAGACCGGUUAUAGCUACUGAGACCCUCUAAUAGCCAAUCUCUCCUUAACUAGUCGAUAACCAAGGUACGACCGUUGGUUAUUUCCCUAAUCAAUAGACAACCCUAGAUACGAUCAUAGGAUUUAAUCAAUUGACAGCCUGAAAAACCAGAGAGACCCAAAUCAUAAUCAACACAUAUGAUGAUUCAUUUAAAUUAGAUUGUUUAUUCUCACAACACAACUCUCUGCUAUGUUAUUUGUCACAAACAUUAAAUUCUUCAUACGAUGAAUCCUUUAAUUGACAAUAGAUUAAGUUGAUAAUUAAAUAGUGGCCAAUUACCUAAUUAACAAACAUAAUCAUGAAAAUAAUUCAGAGAAUAAACAAAUACUCAAAAAGCAAUAAAACAAUUAAAGCACAAGAAAGAUCUCACAGUAGUGAUGAAUCAAAGCUUCAUUAUCCUUCAACCAGAAAAAUAGGUUUAGUUCUUCAUAGAGAGAAGAGAAAAAUUAAGAUCUAGGGUUUAUUUCUUUUUCUCCAAUCCAAAAAAUCCCCCAUUUUCACAAUAGAUUCCUCCCUUAAAUACUCUCUCUCUCUUCUCUUUUAGAAUUCUAUUUAAAAUAAAAUCCUAAUAUCUGAAAUAUUAAAUUCGUAAUUACAAAAAUAGCCAAAAAUAUAAAACAUGUUAAACUAAAAACUGCAGGUCUGCAGUUGACAGCACGCGCCCACGCCUUAUCAACAAAGUUCUUCUGCUGCUCAUAAUUUCUCCAAGGGAACAAUCAUCCCUAAACAUCAUCUUGUAGCUCAAUUUUAUCACCAAUCAAUAGAAUUGCACCUACAAAAGUAAAUCACAAGUAAAUCACUAUUAUUAAGUGCAAAACAUCGAUAUUAAGGGAAGUAAACAAUGCAAAACUAGUGCAUAAAUUGCACUCUAACAGGGACAAUGUCCUACUCCUUCCAAUACAAUUAACUUCACAUUUGAAAGUUGAGAAGGCAGAGAUUAGAAGUAUCUACCAACAGGUACAUCGAAGGGGGUGAAUGGAUCCUCAUCCCCCCAUAAAACUAGUACAGGUAUAGAGAUCGAUGGCAUCAAUUGCACGGGGUUCGGCCCUGAUGGGCCAGUCACAAUCGAAACAAAUGCAUCAAGUGCCCCUUCAUCAUUGGCGGGUUCUCGUAUGAUCCGCAGUUUUGAGGUUAAUUCAUGAAUUUUGGGUAGCCAAUUUUGUAAGAGGGUAAAAUGGCACAUAAGUGGAGAAUAUUAAUACCUCUACCAGUGUUUCAUCCACAGAUUCCUUAUUUGUAUAGAUGGACAGUAAAAUGGUCGUCCCUGCAGCACCAAUAUAUACACAUCAUAGAGUUUUUUUAUUUUUGACUCUAGUGUUUUAGGAUAACGAAAAAUGGACUGAAUAGAGAGAAGAGAAAAUACCUUUGUUUCACAUCUUCAAAGAUUGCAUCUGCAAUUGGCCUUUGCUUCAACAAAAAAUCUAUGAACCAAAGCAAUGGAAACAAUAGCUUGAUUCUCCAGUCGUCACCAAUGCCUUGUUGUUCAUGCCGCCACCAUAAUUCAACAGAACAAGCCCUCGAACAAGUGUUUGACUGGAUCCUUAUUGUAGAAAAUAUACCAGGUUUAUCGCAAACCUUAGUUACAAGAAGGCUAAUUAGGUGGUGCAAGUGUUUCUUUCCAAGCAAAUUGAAGAAUAUCUAAUGUCCAAGAGGAAGUUAAAAUAAAUAUACCUGAGGCGACAAUAACACAAGCUAGGCUUCCAACAUAAUUACCUAUAAGCACAGUUGGCUUUCGAACCACUUCAUCCAAGAAAUCCAGUAUUAGUUCUAUCAAUGAGUCUUACUCAAGUUAGCAAGGACAAUAACUAAAGGUCAAGCUAUUGAUAAUAUAAGUAAAGGAGUUGUGAUAUUUGACCAGUAAUAUAUCUCAUCAGCCCUAUUAAUCACUUUAUGUAAAUAUCUAUUUUAUCCUUGUAUGAAAUGAAUUAAAAAGGUAAAUAAUUAAUGAUUUUUAACAUUUGCGGAUGCCCACAAUUAUAUGUACACAAAAAUAAAUAGUAUAAAAAAUAAUACAUUAUCAAUAAAAAAAUUCACUAAAAAGAUAAAAAAUAUUCUUUAUCUUUUGUACUAAAUUUUGUUUACUUUUUUUUUUUUAUCAAUAAUGGGCUCUAAAAGAGCUAAAUCACCACUAAACGGGAUUGGGCAACCCCAGCUAUGUCGUUAUUAAGAAUGCUCUGUAAACUAGGAGGAGCAUCAGUAAGUAAUUGCAAGCCUAAAGGAAAGGACAAACUAAAUGAGGCCAGAAAAUCUGCCGCUAUGUUCGCUUCUCUAUAGAUGUGGUUCACUCUCACGAUCCAGUCCCUGCUAAGCAGCUCCCGAAUGGCAAGGAUGAGAGAGUGAUGCUCAUUAACAGGAGUGGUCGGAUUCUCCAAAAUUUGAGUAACAGAUUUGCUAUCAACUUCCACCCAAAUCCUUCGAAACCUUCUUUGCCAAGCCAUGCAAAGCCCGUGGUACAAGCCCCAUAUUUCCGCAGUAAGAACAGAACAAGCACCAAGGUUGAUGCAGAGCCCAAAUUGCCAAACUCCCCUGUAAUCCCUAACAAGACCUCCCACUCCUGCAACACCCGAUUCCUUCCUAGCACCAUCAGUAUUCAAUUUCACCCACGGCCAGGUUGGAGAGCUCCGACGGAUCCACUUCUCAACAUGUCUCUUCCCAACACCGAUAGAACUGUUGAAGCAUCUUUGAAUUUCAGCAACCCGCGAAUAAAUAUCCAGCAUGAUACGAUCACUUUCCCACUUCUCAUGAUUAAACAUGAGCUUAUUUCUCCAGAACCACAGCCUCCAAAUUACAACCCCAAAAGUUAACGACCACCCUUGUGAAUCACCAUGAGAGCUAGCCAUAUGAAGGUUAGUAACCAACCAAUCUGUGAGGCCAUCCAAAAAGAAACUUUGGUGAGUUCCAUUAAUCAAAAGACGCUUCCAAAUUACCAUUGAAUAGGGGCAGUCACGCAACACAUGUAGCAUAUCCGCCCGGACAAAUCCACAACGCUCACAAGCUGCAUCCAUGGCUAUUCCCUGAGAUGCAAGCUCGCAAUUAGUCUUCAGUCUGGAAUGAAGGGCUUGCCAAAUAAAAACUCUGAACCUCUGCGGUCCUUUCCAAGACCAAGCUAGCUUCCAAACCGAACUCUCCUCAGAUAGCCACGGCUUAGCAAGGAGCAUAUAAGCUGAACGAACAGUGAAGUGACCCGAAGGGGAUGCAGCCCAAUAAAAAAUGUCAGUCCCAUUGCUCGAAGACGGAGGCAUGAUGGACGCAAUCCGUAACAAAACGUGAUGGGGCAAGAGAUGACUAAAUUUGUUCCAGUUCCAGGAGCCAUUCAAAAGCGUAAACUGAGCAAUCGGUUGAAGACUUAUAUCACUGGGAAUGCUAGAGAGAGCUAAGUUCGCCAAAGGUUUAUCAUCGAUCACCCAACAGUCCCACCAAAAUCUGACAGUCAUUCCAUCACCAAUAGACCAGCACAGACCCCGUCUGGUAGGCUCCCAAGCUCUCCCCACAGCCUUCCAGAGAGGGGAACUUGCACUUGUACAGAAGUUAUGGUGGGUAUCAGUUGGGGAAAGACCAUAUUUAGACAACAAAACUCUAACCACAAGCUUUUCAGGUUCGGUCCUAAUAAGCCAUGCAAUUUUCAUUAUAAAAGCUUUAUUCAUGAGAGCAAGCUUCUUAAAGCCAAGACCACCAGCAGAUUUUGGUUGACAUACUCUAUCCCAACCAAUAAGGCUCAUUUUCCUAUGCUCCCCAUUACCACUCCAAAGAAAUCUUCUACACAUUUGUUCAAGCUUAGAAGUAAUACUUGUCGGCAGGUAAGUUGAUUGCAUUGCAUAGAUGGGAGCAACCUGUAGAACAGUCUGAGAUAGGGUGAUUCUACCUGCCAGAGAUAAAUGAGAGGCACUCCAACCCGAAAGCCUCUGAUCGACUUUAUCCAAAAUCUCCUGAUACGUGGAUUUUGUGAUACGCCCAUGGAGAAGAGGCAUUCCCAAGUACUUACCCAAAUCAGAGGUGGCAGUAAAUCCAAGCUCAUUACUAAGGGCAUGAACGGUAGGCCCUGGAACAUUAUGGGAGAAGAAAACUUGAGUUUUAGUUUUAUUCACCUUAGCACCAGAGCUAAGACAAAAAGAAUGCAACACUUUCGUGAUAAAUUGAGUUUGAUCUUUGGAAGCUUCAGCAAGAAGAAGCAAGUCAUCCGCAAAGAACAAGUGACUCAAAGGGGGACCCGAGCGAGACAACCGAAUUGGCCUCCACCUAUUCUGAUGAAUAGACUCAUAAAUCCCAUGACUGAGACGCUCUAUGCAGAGAACAAAAAUGUAGGGGGAUAAUGGAUCACCUUGACGAACACCCCGGCUAUGUGAAAUGUCCUCAGUAAACUCCCCCUCCCAUAAAACGUUCAUUCGAGCAGUUGUGAGACAACUCAUAAUUAGCUGAACUAAAGAUGUUGGUAAUCUCAACUCCAUAAGAGUAUCCGAAAUAAAGCUCCAGUUUAGCUUAUCAUAAGCUUUUUCCAAGUCAACCUUAAUAGCCAUUCAACCUUUCUUACCUUUUUUACGUUUCAUAGAAUAAUCUCCUAAGCAACGAUUAUAUUCUCAGUGAUAUGUCUUCCUAGUACAAAACUAGUUUGGUGAGGUCCAAUCAAAUCCGGUAAGAGGUGUUGCAGUCUAUUCACAAUGAGUUUAGUGAUUGUUUUGUAUGUCACAGUACAAAGACUUAUGGGACGAUAGAACUUGAAGGAACUUGGAUGAUCAGUUUUCGGGAUUAAAACAAGGAGAGUCUUGUAUACCAUCUCUGACACCACUCCAUCUUUGAACAUAGAUUUUAUUGUCUCACAAAGCGAAUCUCCAACAAUACUCCAUUGUGUUUGAUAGAAGCAAGCUGGCAAACCAUCAAUCCCCUGAGCUUUAAACGGGGUCAUCUGAAAUAUAGUACUACGAAUCUCCUCAUUAUCAACCGGCACACCAAGGCUAGCCAACCUAGUCUCUUCAAUCUCUGGGAACCGAUCACGCAAUGGAUACAAUUGAUGCAGCACCUGAUCAGGGGCAUACAACUUCGAAAAGAAUUCCACAGCUUCUCUUUUAAUCUCUUGAGGGUCAUAUAACCAAGCUCCACAGCUAUCCUUGAUUACUUUAAUCCGAUUACGGGCUCUCCUAGUGAUUGUCUUUUGGUGAAAAAAUUUAGUAUUUCUAUCCCCAAAAGCAAUCCAGUCUCGUCGGGAUUUUUGGAACCAAAAAAAUUUCUUCCUGUGCCAAUACCGUCUCCAACUCCUUCCUCAACUUCAACUGUAGCCGAAUAAGACUCUUGUAAGGUCUAUUCUCCACUGCUUUUUACACUCCCCCAAUCCUGGCUAAUAAAGACUUUUUUCGUUUAAAGAUGUUGCCAAAAACGUUUCUGUUCCAAUCUGAAACAUUCCUAACAAAAUCGGUGGUAGCUUGCCCAUAAGACUUAGAACGAUCCUAGCUUGUCUUUAUGAACUCGUUAAACCGAGAAUCCUUUAGCCAUGCAGCUUGAAAUCUAAAAGGUUUUUGAUCCACAUUCCGAUGAAUAUAUCGCUCAAACCGAACAAGCACGGGUCUAUGAUCAGAGGCAACAUGGGGAAGAUGCAGGACCAAAUAAUUCGUAAAUUUUACCAACCAAUCCUGGUUACACAUGGCACGGUCAAGCCUUUUGGAUAGACCUCCACGUGACCACGUGAACUGGGGACUGCUAAACUGCAAGUCAACAAUACUGUUUGAGUGAAACCAAGAAUUAAAAAGAUGGCAAAUACUCGUGUUGGACUGAGACCCCCCACGUUUCUCAUUAGCAUACAAAAUAGAGUUGAAGUCACCCCCCACAAUCCAAGGGCCCCUCAUGUGACGUGCAAUCUCUCCUAGCUGAGACCAGAGUUCUCGACGGGUUGUUGACACAGAACUAGCGUAAACUGCUGUCACCCAUGACUACAUUACAUUCUGAUUCAUGACUCUAAAAUGAAUGAAUUGUUUGUAAGUAAGCACCAUCUCGAUGUCUAAAUAAUUUUUCCAUAAUAUCCAGAUCCCUCCAGUAAAACCCACGGCUUCAACCCGAUGAGAUCUAUCAAAACCACUCCCCUUUAUGAAAAGAUCAGCUUUCUUGCCACUAAUACGCGGUUCAGACAACACCACCACUGAAGGCUUAUAGCUUGAGAUUAAAGAAUUAAAAGAGAGCUUAAAGCUCGCCGAGCCCGCUCCCUGUACAUUCCAAAACAUUACAGAUAUCAUAAAAAAAUAACCAGAGAGAGAAAUGCCUUACUGGCGGGUACCCCUGGGCGAUGUCUCCUGCAAACCAAGAGUCUCAUUGACAAAAGAAGUAUCAACAUCAGAUGUGGUGUCAUCAACAUUAUUCAUAAUAUCAUCCUCUUCCCCCACCCCACCACUAUUAGGGGGAUCAUUUAAAUGUUCAAAAGGAGGUUGGUGCCCUGGGUUCACUUCAUGAACGAUCUCCCUUUGGGCCCCGCUAGUUUCCCCAACAAAGAUGUUAUGUAGGUAAGCGAAGGAAACUACUGUGUGAUAUUUUGGGUUAAGGGUUGUAUGCACUGUGGAGGGACCACGGGAACUAGCAGAUGGGGGGUUGGCUUGCUUUGAACUGGGGGUUGUUUGGGGGCAUGGAAGAAAGUUUGCAUGUAUGACUUUAGAGGUUCCAGUUAUUGUCUAUUUAGGUUUGGGCGGUUGGGGCUUGGCAAUUUGUUUGCCCUUCAUAUUAGGUCAUAGGGUCUGUGAUUUAGGGUUAGCAAUGGGAUUAAGAACAGGUUUAGGCUUACUCAUAGUACGGGAGUAGAUGGAUGGGUUGGGCAAUUGAUGUAGCUCCUUCGGGGAUUCAUGGAAGGCCACUCCCACAGUCUCAACAUAAUCAACAGCAUCAGCAAGAACAGUGAAGCGUGACAUGCCAGCAUUAUGAUUUUGGUUUUGCAUGCUGCUACUCACAUUCUCCUUACCAAGAAUUGGCGCAGCCCUUCUUCUCCUUGGAGCAAUCAUCCAGGGGCCAAAAAUAUAUUCUCUAUUUCGAUCCUCCUUUCCGGCAUUAGUGUGAAUGGUUGUGGGAGGUAUGAAUGCGACCUCAGUUCCAAUAGGUGCCUCCAAUGCAACCUCCUGUGUAGCUCCAUCUGUACACCCAUUGCUAGAAUGACCAUAGCACCCACAUUUGAAGCAUAUUAUUGGCAAUCCCUCAUAUUCAACUUUUUGAACACUGCCAUUAAUUUUAAACUGAGAAACCAUAGGCUUAUUGAGCGAUAUUCACACCGCCAACCUUGCGAAUUUUCCUCUUUCAUUGGAUGCAGUGUUCACAUCAAUUUUGAGGACAAACCCUACAAGCUGGCCAACUUUCUUCAGGAUACGCUUAUCGUAAAGAUGCAUGGGCAAUCUAGGUAACCGGAUCCACGCAUUAACUGUAUCUAAUUUAGUCACCAUGCUGUCAAAUUGUGGAGACCAUGGUUGCACAGUUAAAUAAUGCCCCAUAAUGACCCAUGGCCCCUCCGUUAAAGCAUAUUCAACAUCCUCAUAAGACUGUAGCCGAAUCAGGAAAAAGUUAUUCUCCAAGUCCACCACCGAAAACUCCCCAAUCUUUUUCCACAUCAAUUUCAAUCUAUUGUACAGCACUCGGUACCCAAUAUCUCUACCCAGAAGUUUAACCACGACUGAGUUUUUCCAUGGUUUGAUUAGCUUCUCUUGAAUGCGUUCCGAAAAGUCUAUUGCUGGCAUAGCUCCAUCAGAACUUACCAUGACAUCUCCUGGCUCAAAAUCCCAAUCAUCGUCGUGAAAUUCCUCUCCCUCAGUCAUCCCAUGGACACUAUUCUUCCCUUGGCCAAAAUCUCGAAGUGCAUCUCUAUAAGAUGCUGGAAGCGGAUUAUUGGCAUCGUCCAUUCGCCCUCCAGCGGGCCUUUUUACUUGAUCGAUUGUCGACAAAUGGCAGCGGAAAAGUCCCAAAAAAAACUAGAGUUAUCGUUUGUUCCAAUGUUCUCAUAGGGUUCCGACAUACUCGGAGAACUUUUAAAGUUUAAAUUUUGUUUACUUUUUAGUACAUAUAGAAUUAUGCUACGGAUGCGAGGAGAAAAAAUGUGGAGUCCAUUUAUUGGAAGCCCCAAAUUCUAACUUACGAUCCAAGCGUGAGUUUCAAACUAAACCAACCCAAAGUUUGUACAAAGUCCAACUCAAUGCAACUAAAAUCAUUCUAAUUUGCCUUCUCAAAAAACAAAAUCAUUCUAAUUUGCUUUUGGUUUUGGCUGACUUAGCCUUUAAUAAAUUCACAUGUUAUAUAACAUAAUUGAAAAAAAAGGAAAAUGAUAUUCUCACAACACUUAAGCACAACACUGAGCACACAAUAUAAAAUCUAAAUUUUGGGAGAAAAAUUGCCACGCACGCGCAUGCAACAAACUCUCUCACGCGUAUCGCUCUAUUCAACAGCCAGCGUUGCUCGAAUUUUCCCAAGUUUCCCAUCGCACAGUGUCGGCUCUGAUCUCCCACACCACUUAGUAGCCAGCAAGUCUCAGCUCUCCUCACGCAGUGUCGGCUCUGAUCUCCUUUACGCACCAAUAGUCUUGUCCCCAACAGCUCCCGUAAUCGUCUUGUUAAGGUAACUUGUGUAGGACAUUGUGCUGUUUAUGAGUUGACUGUUAGGGAGUUAAAGCUCAUUGUCCUGUAAUUGCAGUCUUCGUGAUAUUGAGGAAAGCUUAUCCUGUAAUUCCAGCCUCCAUGUUUAUUUCUUUCAAAGAAAGAGUGGCUUUAUAUCACUCAAAUCUUUAUGCUCUGUUAAUAAAUUAUAUUCCCCAUUGUUUCUAUAGAAUUAAAACGGCAACUCAGAUUUAAGUUCCCUCGAUUUGUAAUUAACUUCAAUUAAUUGUAUGUGUUACUCAAUGUGUGUUGAGCAUGUACUUGUUCUGAGAUUCCUUUUGUUUCUUUCUUGGUUUAUAAAUACCUUGUUGAGGAUUGCAAAUAAGAGAAGCUGAUAUAUUAAGCCCAAUUGACACUAUUAUUGCAAAUAAGGGAAGCUGAUAUAUUAAACUCAACUGACAUUAUUAUUGCAAAUAAAAAAGCUGAUAUGAUUAUAAAUAAGAGAAGCUAAUACAACUUAAAUAUAAUGCAUAUCAACAAAUGUUCAACCACCACAAUCUUGCAUCUGCAUUUGUCUACCCACUCUGCAGACUGUCAACAAAUGUUCAACCACCAAAAUGAACAAAUGAAACUUGAUUCUUGUCUAACCAAUUACAGGCCAAACAGGAUUUUGCACAAAUAUCCUACCAGCAAAUUCUAAUUCCUCUCUAACAUAAUCCAUCUCAGAAUAAUUGCUCCUUAUUUCAUCUCUGAAUCCAAAACUUUUAGCUCUUGCUUUUCUAAUAGUUUGUAGGCCUUUUUAGUAGAUUCCCCAUGGAAGGAUCGGCUAGAGUGUAAACAAGCAUUGCCCCUUCCUUGGCUGCUGGCUUUAUUAUCUCCAUCAACUGCUCUAGAUCAUUAAAUUAACAAAAUUGUAGCAACAACAAUAUGUCAGUGCUCACAUUUUAGCUGAUUAAAUUAAAUGAGAUUUCAACAUUAAGCAAACAAUCCAGAUUAUAAUAAAAAUGCAUUUCCUCUAGUACACCAGCAGCAAUUAUUGUUUCUGUGAUCAAAUCACAUGCAGAAAAAUAACUAAUUUGACAAGAGUUUUUUUUUUUUUUAAUCUAGGAUCAAGAAUAAUAGCUUCUCAAGCUCCAAUUACUUGGUGCACGAAAGUAAUGAAUUGAUUUGCAUUCUUACCUCCAAAAUCAUUUCAGGGGAUAAAGUAGCAAGUUGAAAUAUGUCAAUACUUUCACCAGACUCGGCUCCUGAAGAGGAAGAAAAACACAUAACCAAAUUAAUUACAAAAAAUUCGUAAUAUUUUUUAAAAAAUACAAAUUAAUAAUGGUUUUGUAUAAUUAAUCAAUUAAAUCCUUCUAUUAAUUUUUUCUUAGAUUUCUUUGACCAUAUUUGAUCAUAAAAUUUAAUAUAAGUUUUAUUUUACUAUUUUAUUAGUAUAAUAUAAAAUGACCAAAUUAUCCAAUAAACAUGAGUUAUUGUAUCUAAUAAUUUUGGUAUUUAAUUAUGUGAACUAAAGUUUUUAAAUGAAAUUUAAUUAUUGUUUUCUCUACCUUACGUGUAAAUGAUAUAAAUUUGACAACCUAAUAAUUUACAUGUAUUCCGCCAUAGAGAUGUUAUAUUAGUUUAAUUAAAGUUUUAUAAUCAUACUAAUAAGUAGUAUUAGAAACAAUGAAUUUGAUAUAAAAUUAGAAACAUAUUGAAGUUAAAGUAAAUUCAUGGUACUUUUACCUUAUAAGGAUAAAAUAAUCAAUUUAGAAUUAUGCCAAAGCAAUCUUUAUAAUCAAAUAUAAUAAAAACAAUUAUGUCACAAAAAAAUAAAUUAGGAUAGAUUUGUUAAUUUGUUUUCCAAAGUUCUUUUUUAUUUCAAUUUUUUUUUAAAAAAUAAUGUAUACUUUUUGUAAUUAUUUUUUUAAAAAUGGGGCAGGCUUACAAGAAAUAUGGGGUGAAGAUAUCAUCACCCAACAAAAAAUUAAGUAAGAAUUAAUUUGAUAACUGCCCAUAAAAAGAAAGCAUAUUGUCACGGGAUCAGUGUUUUGCGCAGCAAACCCGUGCGGCACUUAGACAACCUUUGCCGAAUAUUGCUAAGUAAGCCUUGAACUUCUCGACUAGCUAAACCUAGAGGUUUUGGAAGAGCUAGAGAGAAGAGAGCAAUGGAGCCGAAUAAGGAAACUUGUAUUGCUAACAAGAGAGAUUACAAGAGAGCUUACAAGUGUUUGAUUUGCUUGUGCUAAGCUUGUUGUUGUGCAAAUGCUAAAUGCCAUCCCAUAUUUAUAGGGGAGGCUUGCCAAGCUCUAGAGAUUCUAGAGAAAUCUACCAACUAUUUAGAAUUUACAUGUGCUGGAAAUGUAUAGAGAAUUCUAGAGUAUUUACAAGCUCAAAUGUGCUAGAGUUGCCUAGAAAUUUCUGGAAUUGGGCCAAGCUAGCACUCUUGGCCUUGUCUUGGGCUCUUGGUGGGCAAAUUGGGCUAACAAAAUGGGCAGUCCGCAACAUCCUCCCCACCUAAUCUCGCGGCGUCCUUGUCGCGCUCUCGUGCCUGAAAUUCUGGAUGUGCUCAACGAAUUGCCACAAAUUAUCUUCACAUUCCCAAGUGGCUUCGCUUUCGGGGAGGUUUUUCCACUUCACCAAGUACUCGUUGUGUGCUAGCACGCCUCUCCUCGAGACCACAUGAUCCGCAAGGAUGUAGUCCACAUCUUUGUCGAAUGCAGUGACAACGGCGGUUGGCGCGCGCCUUGAUUCUCCGUGACUUGGGUGUUCCACAUCUCCAUGAUAUGGCUUGAGAAGGCUCACAUGGAAGAUUGGAUGGAUCUUGAGUCUUGGCGGAAGUUGAAGUUCAUACGAGAUGUUGCGCACUCGUCGUACAACUCAGAAGGGUCCCUCAUAGUGGCUCACUAACCCCUUGUGGACUUUCCGCAACGUCUUGCAUUGUUCGGAUAGGAGCUUGAUCAUGACUUGAUCACCUUCCUUGUACUCAACAUGCCGUCUCCUUGUAUUCGCCAACUUUUUCAUUUUCCUCGCGGCCUUGUCGGCUCGUGUGAUGUCCCGCUUCCUCGUUGACACGACUUAAAAGUGUUUGAUUUACUCUCAAGUAUAAGAGUGCCUAGUUAUAAUAUAUCUCGGUGAGUCCGAGGUCGAUCCACAGAGAAAAGAUUUAAUUUGUUUAUUUUAUUUUAUCUAAAAUUUGAAAAUAAAACUUAAAUAUAGACAACUUAAUUUAAAUAAAACUAUGAAAUUGAAUUAGUUAGGGUUGUGGAUUCACUCUUAGUAGUAAAUAAAACUUAAUAAAUUCUUUUUGCCAUUUUUUUAGAUUUAUUGCCCAAAAGAUUAAUUAUAUAAAUUAUUAUUAUUUUCCCUUUAAUUUUAUGAUGGAUUAAGUAUUCAUUGUGCCAAAAUUUAAUUUGUCUACAAUAAGACAAAAUACCAUUUUACCAUACCUUAUAUUUAGAUAAAAAGAAUUUAUUGUGCCAAACUCCCUUGUUUGUCUACAAUAAAUCAAAAUCUCAUAAUAUAAAAUAUGUAUAAAAUUAAAUAGAAAAUAAUUUAAUUUAUAAAAUUAAAAAUAGAAUUUGAUUAAAUCAUAUUUAUUUUCUAAGAGUUUCACCUUCCCCUAACUAUUAAUAUUUAGCUAAACAUUUUUUUAAUAAAGGAAAUUACUAAAAUUGAAAAACACGACUGAUAUUUUCAUCAAAUCGAUAAAAUUAUAAGUUUUAAAAGGCAAAUCACUUCUUUUACUCAAAAACAAUGGAGAAACAUUACACCAAUGUUGGGAUAGGUUUAAAGAAUUGCUUAACAUAUGUCCACACCAUGGUUUUGAAACUUGGCGAUUGGUCACUUAUUUCUACGAGGGCUUAAUACCACAAACUAGACAAGUUGUAGAAAUGAUGUGUAAUGGUGAAUUUAAAGAUAAAAGUCUUGAAGAUGCACUAGAUUACCUUGACCAAUUAGCUGAAAAUGCACAACCCUUCGAAUGUAGUACAAGAGGGUGUUGUUGGUGUGGAUGUUCCGCCGGAACCAAGCCGCGGCCGUGAGGGAGAGCGCGCCCAAGGCAAGACUCGCGGCAAGUCCAAGGUCCCAUCCGUGGAUGCGUUGGAGCCUCACAUAGCCACUCUCGAAGUCGCAUUGUCCGCCACUCAAGAUAGCCUCGAUAGUUUAGAGGAAAGAGUGGACGGUCUCAAGGGAGAAUACGCCGAGUUCACGGUGGCAACAAAAGCCCUCAUCCAAGAGCAAGUGAACACUCUCCGAGGUGAGUUUCGUUCAAUCCAUGAUGAGUUGCUAAAAUUUCGUAGCUUUGUUCAGGAUGAACUACGCGCUGUCCGUGCGGAAGUGGAUGAAGUCCGCUCAGAUUGGGCAUGGCACAAGCGCACACUCUCUGCUAGUCUAGCUUCCGCAAGCACGAGUGAUGCGCAGCGCAUUGACGUGUCAAAUCCCGACACCUACGAUGGCACACGCAACGCCACAAUCGUGGACAACUUCCUAUUUGGGCUUGAUCAAUACUUCAAUGCCAUGGGUGUUCGAGAUGAGGCAUCGAAAGUGGGCACAUCACCCACCUAUCUUCGAGGCGCUGCACAACUAUGGUGGCGUCGCAAGCAUGGCGAGAUGGGAGAGGGCAUUUGCACCCUCGACACUUGGGCCGACUUCAAGCAAGAACUCUGAAAGCAGUUCGCCCCAAGCAAUGUGGAGAAGGAAGUGCGAGCACGCCUACGUCACCUCAAGCAAUCGGGUAGCAUUCGGAACUACAUCAACGAGUUCACUACCCUUAUGUUGGAGAUAAGCGACAUGUCCGACAAAGAUUCGCUCUUCUACUUCCAAGAUGGCCUCAAGGAUUGGGCCAAGACCGAGCUUGAUAGGCGUGGCGUUCAAACACUUGACGACGCCAUCGCCAUUGCGGAGUCGCUCACCGAAUACUCUACCCAAUCCAAGGAUAAAAAGGCCAACCAAGGCAAAGGUGGGGGAGAGAGUCGCAAGGACAAGGGCAACAACCGCAAAGAUUGGGGGCAGAAAAAGUCGUCUAGCAACAAAAGCGGGCAAGGAAAAUCAGAGGGCAAGAAGGAGGUGCCAAAGCCACAAAGCCCAUGCUUCAUAUGCAACGGUCCUCAUUGGGUACGCGACUUUCUGGAGAAGAAGUCGCUCAACACUCUCGCAGCCCAACUCAAGAGCAACCCCACAAUAUCCUCGGAGGAACCCCAACUCAGCAUGGGUUCUCUCCAACUCCUCGGCGCACUCAAUCGCCAACAGCCCACACUUGUCAAGAAAGGGCUUGUGUAUGUAAGAGUGAAGAUAAACGACCAGUCCGUCCGCGUGCUGCUGGACACGGGAGCAACGCACAACUUUGUGUUCGUAGACGAGGCCAACCGCUUAGACCUCAAGGCAACCAAGGAAGGAGGCACAAUGAAAGUGGUAAACUCACCCGCCAAGCCAAUUGCGGGUAUCGCACAAGGCGUGCACAUAACGCUUGGAACAUGGAGCGGAAAGCUUGAUUUCUCCAUCGUUCCCAUGGAUGACUUUAAGAUGUACAUUAUUUUGGAAUAAUGUAGUGUUUAAAAACUUGAUGUGAAUAUAUUUACAUACGCUCGCACUCGUGAGUCUUAGAAUUAAUGGAAGAGUGGCAAUGAUUAGAAAAAACAAUAGUGGUUAGAUGACGUAGCAAUAAAUUAUAAAUGCGAUGACAAUUUGCAUAACCGUUUGCAAGCAUAGUUGAUAUGUAAAUUUGUCUAUGACACAUGCAGAAUUUUUAUGUUAAUUAUUACUUGUGUUAUUAUGUUUCUUUGUGCAUUUGCAAGUAAGAGUUUAACUGCAUAGCAAUAACUAUAAACAUGAAUUAUUGAAAUUUGAUUCCAGUAAUGACAGAGAGCCCCACUCCAAUCCCACAUAAACUCCAUGCAAGAAUAAAUAAAAAUUGAAUUAAUAACUAAGCUACCUCUAAUUGUAAAUUAGUGACAAAAUUGCCCCAAAAAUUUUUUCUUGGUGGGGUUGAAGUGCAAUUCAUUAGUGGAAUAUACAUAUCAUCUUUCAUUUGAUUUUAAGUUUAUUUAUUUUAUUUAUUUUUAGGGGACAAAAAAAAUUGAGGGCAUCUGUUUGGAUAUAUCAAAGGUAAAAGAGAUUCGUCUAAAUCCUAAUACUUUCACAAAGAUGCCUAAAUUGAGAUUUUUAAAGUUCUAUAGUUCAUCAGUCAAUGGAGAGAACAAAUGUAAGAUAUCUUAUUUGCAAGAUCCCAGAUUUGCUGAAGUGAAAUAUCUUCACUGGUAUGGAUAUCCGUUGAAGUCAUUGCCUUCAAACCUUAGUGCAGAGAAACUUGUGUUACUUGAAGUGCCUGAUAGUGACAUUGAACGACUUUGGGAUUGUGUGAAGGUAUGCAUAUCUUAUUAUACAUGUGCAAUCUUUCAAAUUACAACAUUAAAUUAUUAUACGUGGUAACGAUUUUGUCUUGGCCUCUUUUUUGACCGAGCAGCAUUAUAGUAAGUUAAACCAGAUAAUCCAUGCUGCCUGCAAUAAGCUAAUUGCCAAAACUCCAAAUCCCACGUUGAUGCCAAGUCUGAACAAGCUAGUUAUCUUGAAUCUAAGAGGUAGCAAAAGCCUAAAAAGUCUUCCAGCUAGAAUACUAAAUUUGGAAUUUCUUAUCAAACUUGAUCUUUCGGGCUGUGCGGAAGCUAAACUAGCAGAGAGUGUGCGCUUGUGCCAUGCCCAAUCUGAGCGGACUUCAUCCACUUCCGCACGGACAGUGCGUAGUUCAUCCUAAACAAAGCUACGAAGUUUUAGCAACUCAUCAUGGAUUGAACGAAACUCACCUCGGAGAGUGUUCGCUUGCUCGUGGAUGAGGGCUUUUGUUGCCACCGUGAACUCGGCGUAUUCUCCCUUGAGACCGGCCACUCUUUCCUCUAAACUAUCGAGGCUAUCUUGAGUGGCGGACAAUGCGACUUCGAGAGUGGCUAUGUGAGGCUCCAACGCAUCCACGGAUGGGGCCUUGGACUUACCGCGAGUCUUGCCUUGGGUGCGCUCUCCCUCACGGCCGCGGCUUGGUUCCGGCGGAACAUCCACACCAACAACACCCUCUUGUGCUACAUUCGAAGGGUUGGCCAUUGCUCGUGAGCUAACUUGCGUGCGUGCAAACCUUAGCUCUGAUACCAUUUUUCAUGGGAUGAGUGUUUUGCACAGCAAACCCGUGCGGCACUUAGACAACCUUUGCCGAAUGUUGCUAAGUAAGCCUUGCACUUCUCAACUAGCUAAGCCUAGAGGUUUUGGAAGAGCUAGAGAGAAGAGAGCAAUGGAGCUGAAUAAGGAAACUUGUAUUGCUAACAAAAGAGAUUACAAGAGAGCUUACAAGUGUUUGAGUUGCUUAUGUUAAGCUUGUUGUUGUGCAAAUGCUAAAUGCCAUCCCAUAUUUAUAGGGGAGGCUUGCCAAGCUCUAGAGAUUCUAGAGAAAUCUAUCAACUAUCUAGAAUUUACAUGUGCUAGAAAUGUAUAGAGAAUUCUAGAGUAUUUACAAACUCAAAUGUGCUAGAGUUGCCUAGAACUUUCUGGAAUUAGGCCAAGCUAGCACUCUUGGCCUUGUCUUGGGCUCUUGGUGGGCAAAUUGGGCUAGCAAUUGGGCGGUUCGCAACAAUAUGCAUGGUGGUGGUGGGGAAGCCUUUUCCCAUUUCCCAUUUCCUUUAAAAUUUGACCGUUAUUUUUCACCUAAUUCUCUAAGAAAUUUUAGUAGAGUGAGGAUGAAAAAUCCUCACGUGAAGAUCAAUUUUUCUAUCUACAUCCUGUUACACAUUUAUCUAUUUUAUAAUAGAUUCUCACAUAUAAUUUUAGUGAAACAAAAAUUAAAAUGACUCAAAUAAAAUCAUCACUAACAUAUCAUAAAAAUAUUUAAAUUAUUAACAAUAAUAAAUAAAAAAUAUACAUACCCACAAAUAAUUUUGGAAUCAUUUUUGGGUAAAAGCCCAUUUAGUCCCUAUAUUUUAAGAUUACUGUCCGUUUAGUCCCUGUAUUUUUAAAAAUGCCUGAAAACACCCUCGGCAUCACCUCCGUUACUGUUAAUUCUAGAUUCAUGAGGGUAAAAAUGUAUUUUUCUUGGUAAAAUUUAAAAUUUUAAAAAAUUAUUACGAUAACCUAGAUCCAUAAUGGUAAAAAUGUAUUUUAACCCUAAUAUUCUUUAAAACCCUCACUUUAAGAACUUAAGUGACUUGCUUUUUUAAAACUCAUAACAAUUUUCUUACUAUAAAAUUUUUUCUAUUGGAAACGUAGUCUUGCAGUAAAUGUCAAAACCGACAACGAAGGAAAUUGGCCUAUUCUGGUACGUCUCACGUUGGUCUUGUUUAUUUAUUUAUUUUUUUAAUCUUCCAUUUGUUCAGUGAAAAGAAAUUAUUUUUCUUUUCACUUGAAUGGGUAUUCCAUUUGAAGUAGACUAAAAGUUGAACGGUUUUUGUUUUGCAGUAGACUAAAAGUUGAAUGGUUUUUAUUUUCUUUCUUUUUUUUAACCCUUUCAUGGUUGUUUCGUAGCUUAAUAUUGGUAGUGGAAUGGAUUUGUAAUUGAAAAGAAAUUAUUUUAACUUCACUUGAUUGAGUAUUUUUUUGUAAAAAAAAAUCAUAAUCAUAUAAAGUUCUAUAAUGUCGAUUUUGUAUUUUAUGAAUUCGUAUGUAAUAGUUUUAAGUUUCUGAUAUUUUUUGUUCAUCUUUAUGUUGGCAGAUUCAAAUGAGUCAAAUCAGCAUUUCAGUUCGAUUUUUAGGCAAAGAUGUAGAGGAUGCUUAUGAUCCUGAUUGCUUGAGUCUUGUAUCCCUCAUCAACGAUGUCUUGAAUAAUGUCUUUGGAAGGCACAAGCAUUAUGAUGAGAGCUUUAAGCUUACUGGCAUUGUCCCAUGGUCCAAUGAAGGGAUUGAAUUGAACAAUGAUAAAAACUUCCAGAAUUUGGUUAACUUAAUUCAAGCCAAGGGUCUUAAUUCUAUUAAUUUGGAGAUGGAUGCGUUAUCCUUGGCCAGCUUGUCACCCGUUUUAGCUCAAACUCGCCCUAAAGAUAAUCAUUUUGCCUCAAAUGCAGUUAAUGUUGAUAUUUUAGAUGGUGAAAGUGAUGAUGCAACCAGUGUUGAGUCUAUUGACUGGUCUGAUGAAGAUAUUGGUGAUACUGUUAAGUCUGAUAGUGAACCUAAAGUUGAUUUAGGGUUUGAUAUUAAUGAAUUUGAUGGAGAUGAUGGCAUGUCAGAUUGUGAGAGUGAUAAUGAAGAUGUAUCUAUUGCAAGUGAUGAAGAAGAUGAUGCUGUAAUAUUGAAGAUGACAAGGGAUUUAAGAAAAAAAAGGUUCAAGAAACCCGAUGGUGAUGAUGAUAUUGUUUUGGGAGUUGGGCAAACUUUUAGUUGUGCUCAAGAGUUUAAGAAUGUAUUGAAGGAUUAUGCUAUUCAAGAGUCAAGAGUUUUGAAAAGGAAAAAGAAUGACAAAUGUAGAGUUACAACCGUGUGUGCUGGGAAGGACAAAGAAGGAAAGGAAUGUCCAUGGAGAAUCCAUGCAUCUUUAUUGGUUGACAAAGUUACAUUCCAGAUUAAAACUUUAAAAGGUGGUGAACAUAAGUGCAAAGAGUUGUUUAAGAAUCCUGAAGUAACUAGUAGAUGGAUAACUCAGAAAUUGUAUGGUUUUAUUAGUUUUAAUCCUGAUAUCGGUUGUGAAUCCAUGUCAGAUGAAUUGAGGAAGAGGUUUUCUUGUUCAACUACAAAGAAAAGGUUGUAUAUGGCCAAAAAAAGGGUUCUAAAAAUUGCUGAUAGUGACUACACAAAAUCUUAUGCAAAGUUACAUGACUAUGCCAACGUUCUUCUUAUAAAGAAUAAAAGGGCAAUGGUGAAAAUUCAAUAUGAAAUGCAAGGUGUAGAGACGUACUUCAAGAGGAUAUUCAUAAGUUUUGACGCACUAAAAAAUGGAUUUAUACGUGGAUGUAGAAGGUUCAUUGGAGUUGAUGGCUGCCACCUUAAGACAUCAUUCGGUGGUAUCUUGCUGACAGCCGUUAUACUUGAUGCCAAUAAUGGCAUAUUCCCAUUGGCAGUUUGCAUUUGUGAGGUUGAGUGCAAGGACAGUUGGAAAUGGUUUCUUGAAUUGUUGAAGGAACAUCUUGGUAUAGUGAAUGAGAUGGCUCUUACUAUAAUGUCCGACAGACAAAAGGGUUUAAUUCAGGCAAUUGAUGAAGUUUUGCCUGGGUGUACCAUAAGACAUUGUGUAAAAGUAAGCCAAAAUAAAUGAAAGAUAACAGUAGGGUAUCAAUACUUUAACGGUAGGGAUGUUUUAAGGCAUUUUUAAAAAUAUAUGGACCAAAUGGAUACUAAGCUUAAACUAUAGGGACUAAAUGGGCUUUUACCCAUCAUUUUUUAUCGUUCUUCAAAAACUUAUCAAAAUUUGGUGCGUGGGACCUGUGAACCAUCUCUAGUCGGCCACAUUGGACUUCUUACUGUCGGUCUUCAAAGAACUUUUGAGAAAGGCAGUAGACAAUGAGUUGAAUGAAAUUACUACGAAACUUCCCUGAAGAUUCAAGGGAGUAGUGGAGGAUACAUAUCAAGCGCACAGACACAUUCAAUUCAGUUGAACUGUUUUUGUUAUGGCUUCUUCUUUUUCUUCUUCUUCUUCUUCUUCUUCUCAUUGAUCCACCAGUCUGAGGCUGAUUAGACCACGAAAGUAUGAUGUUUUUGUCAGUUUCAGUGGAGAGGACACCCAUGACAACUUUACUAGCCAUCUCUAUUCGGCUCUGUCUCGACAAAAUAUCCAAACUUUCAUUGAUGACCAGCUCAACAGGAGAUGAAAUUUCACAGUCUCUUGUAAAUGCAAUUGAAGCAUCAGCCAUUUCAGUUAUCAUUUUCUCUUAAUCAUAUGCUUCUUCCAGAUGGUGUGUCGAUGAACUUGUAAAGAUCCUCGUGUGCAAGAAAGAGCGUGCACAGAUUGUGAUUCUGGUUUUCUAUCGGGUUGAUCCAUCAGACAUGAGAAACCAAACUGGGAGUUUUGGGGAUUCAUUUUCGAAGCUUGAAGAAUUCAAAGAAGCUGCAGAGUUGGAGGAAUGCUUUGAAGGAAGCAGCCAGUUUGUCUGGCUUUCCUUCUCAGAACAUCAGGUGAAAAGUUACUUUUAAUUUCGUAUACUAAUAUUCAACACUAUAAAUAAUAUUCACGCAGCACUCUUAGUUAAAUUUUCCAGAUGCUAAACUACACUUUUAAAUUUUAUCAGGCAUCAAAUUCUAGACAUCUUGAACUUCCCCACUUUUGAACUCCUAUAAAAGAAUUUUUGCAGAAUUAAUAAUAAAAGCUCCAGAAGUUACAAUAUAUUUUAAAAUUAAUAGUGUUCUGUCGUUUUUUAAUCAAUUUCAAUCUCUCACUCAUAUACCAUAAGGGAAAAAAAAUCUCUUCCACCUAUAACAUAUUCGUGUAAUUAAAGAGUUAUUAAUUUAUAGGGAGAUUGUAAAUUCCCUUACUCAAAUCAAUAGAUAUCACUUAUUCUGACUAUUUUUACAAUAUUUAAUAACUCUCCUGGUACCAUUAUUUUACAAUAUUAUCCUUAUGAAAAAAAAUAAGUGGUAUAUAUUAAUUUCAAUUGAAAAACUAGCAAUCUCCCUUAUUUCAUAUUUGAUGCAAAUCCCUUCUAUUCGGAGUUACUGCUGCUAAUUUUAUGUGUUUGAUAGGCCUGAAUCGAAGCUUAUAAAUGAAGUUGUCAAUCACAUUUUAAAGAGACUGCUGGAUGAAGUGUUUCGGCCGAGUGAUAACAAAAACCAGCUGGCUAGAGUAGAAUCAAGAGUUGAGGAAAUUGAAUCUCUUCUAGGUGUUGAGUCGAAAGAUAUUUACGCUUUAGGGAUUUGGGGCAUUGUUGGUAUAGGCAAAACAAAAAUCGCUAGAGCUAUUUUCGACAAAAUCUCUAGUGAUUUUGAAGGUUCUUGCUUCCUUGAAAAUGUUAGGGAAGACGCACAAAGACCGGGAGGAUUAGCUUGCUUGGGACAAAAACUUCUUUCAAAUUUAUUGAAGGAUAAAAAUGUGAGCCUUGAUAUUGGUCUCAAUUUUAGAAGGCUCAGCCGCAUGAAGGUUCUGAUUUUUUUUUAUGAUGUAUCUUGCUUCAGCCAAUUAGAAUCCUCGGCCUUUGUUAUAAACAUCUAAUAACAUAUAUGCAUCAUUAAAAAAUAUAUUCAAAACUUGCAUAGUUCACAUCUCAUUGUACAUACAUACACUUCAGAUAUAUACAUAUAAACAUGGAUGUGCUCAAAAUGUAAGUCAUGCAGUAAUGCGUGUCAUAGCCCAACCUCAACUGAUCAGAAACUGAACUGCACGAAAUCCUACGGAAACCUUAGAGAAAUGGGAUAAAUAGGAAAAUAGUAAGCUUGCUGCUCAAUGAAUGGAUAUAAUUAUAUACAAAAAUAAAUUAGUGCUUUAGUGCUUGUAUAUAAUUGUAUGACAUAACUUCACACUGAAUGCAUUACAAAAGUAAACAUAAAGUCAUAUAUACAUACAUGACAAAACUGCAUUGAAUAAUAUCCAGGAGAAAUAACUCUCAAUACUCACUGGGAUCAUCAUCGCACGAGUGAAAGUGGGGGAAAAACCUCUCAAUACUCAGUGGAAUUAACUGCAUCACAAGGGCCGAGUAAUCUAACUCUCAAUAUGCAUGCGUAGAGCCUAUGGGGAAGGGUACACAUAUGGUGCUUGGCAAUCACAUCUGAUGAUUCAAUCAAUCAUAUAUUGUACGUACAUAUAAUCAUAACAUUAUACUAAAUCAUACUAUUGAACAUAAAUGCUUUGUAGGAUACAUAAUAGUAAUAAUAAUAAUCCAUCACAUAUCUUGUUUCACUUUAGGGUUCGUUGGGGAUCUUGUGGAUUCCUUAAUUCUUGGAUUUCUCCUAACAUAAAGGGUUAAAAAAUUAAAUGUUAGAACCAACUGAUAUAAAAGCUUUUAUGUAUGAUGUAAACUAAAUCAUAAUUGUUCAAAUUUCUUAAAUAUGUUACCCACUGACUCAUUGCAAAUAGAUCUAACUACCCAAUUCUCUUUCUGUAACAUUUCCUCUCAAUUCCUAUUUUCAAACUUAAUUUUCACUCUCGGUUUUUCUUUUCUUUAUUUUUUCUUCUGUUCUUUUCCUCUUCUCUUUUCCUUUUGUUUUCUUCCUUUCUCUCCUUUUCCUUUCUUUUUCUUCUCUCUUUGAAUUGCUCUUUUUCGGUUUGAUUCAUGAAAAUGGUGAGAGCUACUUCAAUUCUUUACUUUAUAUAUAUCCACUACCUCCAAUUAUGCUUGACAAGCACAUAGGUGAAGCAUGCAUGUGCUUUGCUUUAAGCUAACAACUUGUUAUUGCUUGUGAAAUAAAAUACAACAAUACUUGUAACUCUAUACAAUUAGUAAAAUACUUCCUAUCAUUUUCUCUCAUGGACGUAGGCCAAAAAGCUGAACCACAUAAAUCCUCGUGUCUCUUGUGUGAUAUUACUCUCAANNNNNNNNNNNNNNNNNNNNNNNNNNNNNNNNNNNNNNNNNNNNNNNNNNNNNNNNNNNNNNNNNNNNNNNNNNNNNNNNNNNNNNNNNNNNNNNNNNNNNNNNNNNNNNNNNNNNNNNNNNNNNNNNNNNNNNNNNNNNNNNNNNNNNNNNNNNNNNNNNNNNNNNNNNNNNNNNNNNNNNNNNNNNNNNNNNNNNNNNNNNNNNNNNNNNNNNNNNNNNNNNNNNNNNNNNNNNNNNNNNNNNNNNNNNNNNNNNNNNNNNNNNNNNNNNNNNNNNNNNNNNNNNNNNNNNNNNNNNNNNNNNNNNNNNNNNNNNNNNNNNNNNNNNNNNNNNNNNNNNNNNNNNNNNNNNNNNNNNNNNNNNNNNNNNNNNNNNNNNNNNNNNNNNNNNNNNNNNNNNNNNNNNNNNNNNNNNNNNNNNNNNNNNNNNNNNNNNNNNNNNNNNNNNNNNNNNNNNNNNNNNNNNNNNNNNNNNNNNNNNNNNNNNNNNNNNNNNNNNNNNNNNNNNNNNNNNNNNNNNNNNNNNNNNNNNNNNNNNNNNNNNNNNNNNNNNNNNNNNNNNNNNNNNNNNNNNNNNNNNNNNNNNNNNNNNNNNNNNNNNNNNNNNNNNNNNNNNNNNNNNNNNNNNNNNNNNNNNNNNNNNNNNNNNNNNNNNNNNNNNNNNNNNNNNNNNNNNNNNNNNNNNNNNNNNNNNNNNNNNNNNNNNNNNNNNNNNNNNNNNNNNNNNNNNNNNNNNNNNNNNNNNNNNNNNNNNNNNNNNNNNNNNNNNNNNNNNNNNNNNNNNNNNNNNNNNNNNNNNNNNNNNNNNNNNNNNNNNNNNNNNNNNNNNNNNNNNNNNNNNNNNNNNNNNNNNNNNNNNNNNNNNNNNNNNNNNNNNNNNNNNNNNNNNNNNNNNNNNNNNNNNNNNNNNNNNNNNNNNNNNNNNNNNNNNNNNNNNNNNNNNNNNNNNNNNNNNNNNNNNNNNNNNNNNNNNNNNNNNNNNNNNNNNNNNNNNNNNNNNNNNNNNNNNNNNNNNNNNNNNNNNNNNNNNNNNNNNNNNNNNNNNNNNNNNNNNNNNNNNNNNNNNNNNNNNACAUGAACUUAUCAUUAAUUCAUUUGCUAGCCCAUUUUUCAAAUCUAUUUUUAAUUUAAGAUUUACUAUACAAAUAUAAUCAACUUUGUUAUAAUAUGGUGUAAUGUCUAUAUUGCUACAUAGUGUGAUAGGCCAUUAAUGUAAUAUAUAUGGUAUUUAUUUUCACUUGACCAAUUUGCCCAAAUUUAUAUUUUAUAAGCAGUUUUAAUCCUAGAUUCAUCAGGUCGUGAUUUUUAAUUUGUGGGUCGAACCAAACUUGUUACAAACUGACUCAAAUCGAGUCGAUACGGUCAAGUUGGUUCGAUCUAACUGGUUUCGUUUUGAAAUGCCCACCCCAACGAACAACUUUUGAGUUUUCCAUUAUUGGCCUAUUGCAGUUUUUUCCAACAUUCCUUGUUUAAUUGAUAUAUACAUUUGUCACUUUAUUUAUCAAAAAAAAAAAUUAAUAUCCAAGGAACAUAGGAAUUAAAUAUGGGAAUAUAGGAAGCACAAAACAACUAAAAUCCCUAGAUAAAAAGUAAGUUGUCUAUAAGUAUCUUAAUGUUCUUUUCAUUCCUUUUGUCAAAAUUUUAUAAUCUAUUUUUUUAUUUUUGUCAAAGUAUCAUUGUUCUUUUAAAAAAUAUAUAUAUAUAUAUACAAAGUAUAAAUUUAUUUUUUAGUCUAUUAAUUUCUCUAAAAUUUAAAUAUAAAUGAUCAACUAAAUGUUAGUUUGUUGAAAACACUCCUACCGUCGAUGCUGACCGUUACUCGAAAUGUUAUCAAUAAUAUGUGAUUUAUGCAACUGAACAUAUAGCAUUAGUUAGGAAUGAACUUUGCAAUAAAAACAGAAAUUGAGCUAGAAAAGACAACCGAGUGAGAUCAACAAAUGUAGAUCCAAGACAAAUAGUUUUGUAUAUAUUAUUAAUUUGAUUUCCCGUUUGAAGAAGUUUUCAACCGUAACGGAAUGUGACACGUGGCGCGUGCAUCUGACCUCAUACUACCGGUGACCAAUAACCAAUAGCCAACACUCGAUCAUUUUUUAAAAAUUUACCCGCACAGAGAAAACGACGUCGUGAGCGACCCUCGCACGUACCAUUUGAAAAAAGAAAAAAAUGCAGUUGUAUGUAUCAUCAUCAUUAUUGCUCUCCUUAAUCAUGUACAAGAACGUGUCCGUGUCUAUCGUCUCACUUUGAUUCAUUUUCUCACCAGACACCCACUUUAUUGCUCCUCUUCAUCUUUUAAUUUAAAAACCAAAUAUUAUUUUUUCUUUUUCUUAUGAUUAAGAAAUGGCUGCGAAAAUUGGAUCAUUUAGACACAGUUUUGCAGAAAGGAGCAAAGAAAGAUUGCUAUCUAGGAAGGGCUAUUCAGACUUUGGCCUGAACAGCACGGAUGACGAUGGCAGCGAAGAUGGAAUCAAAUGCAGAUGUUUCCGUUGGAUAUCAGACGGAGUCACCAAUUUUUGGACCAAUUUGCAAAACAUUUUUAUUCAAUUCUAUGACAUGGGUCGUAAGGAUCCUCGUAAAGCCGUUUUUGCUGCCAAGAUGGGCUUGUCGUUGGCACUUGUGUCAUUGGUUGUCUUUUUCAAAGAGCCACUCAGUAAUGUUAGCCAAUAAUCGAUCUGGGCAAUUCCUACUGUUGUUGUAGUUUUUGAAUUCAGCGUAGGUACUAGUUUACAAUCAUGCGAUGCGACUAAAACAAGCAAAAUCGUAUUGAGAUUUGGAUAUGGAAGUGAUUUUGUAAUGUUAUUGAAUUUCAUGUAGGUGCAACGCUUAACAAAGGAUUCAAUCGCGCUUUAGGGACGUUUUCUGCUGGUGGCCUUUCUCUGGGCAUUGCAGAGCUCUCUCUGUAUGCAGGGGCUUACCAGGAAGUUAUUUGUCAUCAGUAUUUUUAUAGCAGGUUGGCAUCUUGUUAGCAAUUAAUAUCUAUCAAUCAUUGCCUUGGAGCCCAUUUCUUGAAUUGUUGCUCUUAUAUUUUUAUUUUGUCCUUUUCAAGAUUCUGUGCAAGUUGUGCUAAAUUGUACCCCAAAUUGAAACCAUACGAAUAUUUCGAGUCUUCUUGUUGACAUAUUGCAUUGUACUUGUGUCUGGAACUUCAACAACAUUUUUCCGCACAGCAUUUUAUCGGUUAGUGCUUAUUGCAGUUGGUGCUGGGAUAUGUUUGGUUGUAAAUGUGUGCAUAUAUCCCAUCUGGGCAGGGGAGGAUCUGCACAAGUUGGUGGUCAAAUUUUCAAAGGCCUCGCUACUUCCUUGGAAUGUUAGACAUUUGCUUCUUAGAUAUUCGGUUCUCUUUGAUUUGAGCUGAAUUCUGAUGAGUAGUUGAUUGAUUUAUCAUAUUGGACUUGGAUUUAGGAUGUGUUAGUAACUACUUGCAGUGUGUUGAAUAUGAGAGAGUCCCUUCGAAAAUUCUUACAUAUCAGGCUUCUGAUGACCCAGUGUAUAAUGGUUAUGGAUCGGCUGUACAGUCUACGAGCCAAGAGGAAUCUCUGGUAUAAUCAGUAUAACUUUGCUGGUUCUUUCCUCAACUCCAUCAUCUUUGAUUUCUUUUUCUUUCCUGCAAGGCCUGUCCUUUUGACAGACCAGAAAGUUUGGAUCGCUUGUACUCUUGUACUCUGCAGAUGGAUUUCGCAGUAUGGGAGCCACCUCACGGCCCUUACAGGUCAUUCAAUUAUCCCUGGAAAAAUUAUGUUAAAGUAAGUGGUGCAUUGAGGCACUGUGCAUUCAUGGUCAUGGCUAUGCACCGAUGUGUACUUUCUGAAAUACAGGUAAGUGGCUUUUUUCCUAUUGCUUUAGCUGCUGUUUUAGCAACUUAGGCUUAUGGUCAAAUCUGUACUUGGAGAAUGAAAGUGUCAUUCAAGGAUCCUUUUAUUAUCUCAAAUAUGUCUAGUGAACCAUAUUUCUCUUGGAGUAAUGGUAGCCCAUCUAGGUAAGUCGUUUCAGUCAUUAAUAGUGAGUUUCUGAGCUUCAAUGUACUAAUGAAGUUUAGCUCUAGUCCCAUCUUUCCAAUCUUUUGCUGGUCCUUCUUCUUGAUAAUUGGUACAAUCCAGCUCUUAAUCGGCAUAUAUCCCCACCAGAUUUUUCUCAAUCAGAAGCACUUGAAUUGCGAUCCUUGAACUCCUUUCACAAACUAAUAGUUUCAGCUUUGUGGGCACAGCUUUGAUGGUCUCAAAUGCCAAAACUCCCCUUUUCUUCUCCCCAUUCACUCUGCAAAUUGCCAUCAAAUUUGGUUAAUUGGCAUUUUAUUUAUUUAUUUGUUCCCGUAUUGCAAUUCAAAAGAAUAGUAUAUAUUCAUGCAUGCUGGUUUGGUAGCAUUAUUUUGUUCUUCUUAAUCUUAAUUAAAUUUUUUAUAUAUACGCUAUCACUUUCCAAAUAAAUGAGAAUUACAUGGUAUGUGAAGAAAUAAAUUGAAAAAAAAAAGAAAAUUUCAGAUGCAAGGCACUUAAUUAAAGAGUGCAGUUAAUGAAUCAAAUUUCCUUGAAACUUUAUACUUCAGGAAACAUUAGCAAUAAAGCUGAAGAAGUCUGGAUCAAGUCGAAGUUUGUAGAAUUUAUGAGUAUUAUAUUUAAUUUAGGUUUAUUAAAAUUUACUUUCUUUCAUAGUGGUUUAUUUAAUUUAAGUUUAUAAAAAAAAUGAGUGAGAGGUAGGAAGGGUAUGAAAAAGCACAGAGAACAAACAACAAAUUGUGAUUGCCUUGUCACGGACCUCUUUCUAUUAUAUGGCCCUCAUUCCAUGUCUAAUUUCUGUGAGAAACAAAGGUCUAGAUUCUAGAAAUAAGAGAUGAAAAGAGAAGAUAAAACAUCCUUAUAAUCUACUGAAUGUAUAAAUCUGCAUCUGCAUAUUAUAUAGCAAACAAAAUUAAAUAGUUUCCGUCUUACGAAGUUUUGAAAUUGAUUUACCUUUCUUUAGCUGUUGCCAAGUCAUUUCCAUGUGAUUUUGUUGUUCUUAACCAGUAAUUUUUCUCUCCACUCUUGUGUAUUAGCAGCAGAUGUCUUGUGGUGAUUCCUUUUUGUAAGCUCCAUUUCUUUGUUUCAUUCUUGAGUGAGUUAAUAAAAUAUGUAGCAAAAACAUUCAGGAUUCUAAAUUUUGUGUUAGGCUGCAAGUAUUUGGAGUCUGGAUUUAGAUAUAUGUUUGGUUUGCAAAUUUUAAUGUGCAGGCACCACCAGAGAAGAGACAAGUUUUUGCUAGUGAGCUCCAAAAUGUUGGCAAUGAAGGAGCUAAAGUAUUACGCAAGCGUGGAGACAAAGUUGAGAAGAUGGAAAGGUUAAGCCCUGAAGGCAUACUAUUUGAAGUUCAUGAGGCGGCAGAAGAGUUGCAAAUGAAGAUAGACCAAAAAUCAUAUCUUCUGGUCAAUUCAGAAAGCUGGGCAGCCAUAGCGCAGCGCAAGGAACUGCAAGAUUCUGAGAACUUUAAUGAAGUCAAAGAUGAUGAAAACAAAGUGAUUAACUUGAGCGAAGUGUGUGUAAGAAAAUUAACAGUGAGAUAACAAUUUAAUACAGUAGCUAAUUUAAACAACAACGAAAAACAGCAACUGGAAAUCACGAAUGAACAACUGGAAAAACAGCAGGGAAAAGAAAACCGAAAUAGAAAAUAAACCCGAGGCUUGCAGCACGGUUUCCUUAAAACAGAUUUACCACCUACUGUAGUGCUUUAGGCUUGCUGGUAAUUGUUUCCCAGGAUACAACAGGCACGAAUUAUCCGUCAAGUACAGAUUGAUAAUUCUGGCGAACCACAACAGUGUUCAAAGCUCGAUAAAAAACAUAACGUUAGGAGGAAAGAAAUUUUGAAGUGCUCUCUGUGUGCUGGUUGUUCUUGUGUGUGUAAAAACAAAAGAGGAAUGUGUCUUUUUAUACUCAUGUGGGUACGUAACAGCAGCAUAAAAAUUGAAUUUCAAAAUUCAAUAUAUGCUAUUUAAUUGCUGUAACAACCAUUGAAUUUAAACAAUUCAAUUCAAAAAUUGAAUUGCAUAACAGCCCAAAAAUAAUUGCAAAGUUGUUACAAAUCUUUUGAAUUCAAAAGGUGUGAAACUGUUAACAAAAAAAAUUAAAAGGAAAAUAAAAACGUACCAUGCAAGCUUGGGUGAUUUUGGGCUGACAUUCGCGUACGCACAUGAGUUCAACCAAAUCGGUCAUGAAUUAUUUUGGGUUGACAUUCACGUACGCACAUGAGUUCAACCAAAUCGGUCAUGGGAUUCACACCCCCUGUGAACACACGUGUGGAGAGAGCCUCUAUUAUUAAAAUUCUUGUUCAUGCAUGGUUAAGUGUUUAUAUAUAAACACUAAUCCCUUGGCUUCUUUUUCCCAUGUGGGAUAAGCUUCAUUUCCAUUCAAAUUUCCAACUUCAAAGGUGAACUUUGAGAGACAAUUUCUCAUUCACCCAAACACCAUUUUGAGAAAAUAAAAAUACACUUUUGAAGUAUUAACGGAGUAGAAUCCGAACCUCACAAGAUUUUCCACUUUCAGUAAGUGGGACCUACUCAAAAUGUGCCCUCAAAAUAGCAUAUUGAUAUACUAUUUUUUCAACAGUGUGGGAUGCUCAGAACCCAAACAUGGGCAUGAACUAUCCUAUGCAAGAACGGAUUUCCUCAGAAAAUAUGUCGAGAAAUCCAAUCUCGUGGCCACGGAUGUCGUUUCAUAAUAUUGAGUCCACGCUUGGCUUACAGGAAUCAAAAGUAUUGCUUCACUCUUGAUUGAAUUUGUUGCGAGGCUCCAAAAUCUUGUUGAUGCCUUUGAAGAACUAUGUGAAAAAGAAAAUGUCAAGGAACCUGUUGAGCCGCCAAUUGGGAAAGGGGAGGUAGGAUUUUGGAGCAGGCUUAGCAGAUGCUUUCAGUUGAAGCGCUGAGAUAGCUUUAAAGAUCAUUUUUUCCGAUCCAUAAGUUGAAUACAUGUCGUUGUCAACUGAGACAGUUUGAUAAGCUGAUGCUUUGUGACUUGUGAAUAUGAUGGCUUUAGCUUGCUCUGCCCCCCAUAUACAUAAAAAAUGUAGUAAUGCAGUGGAGAGGUUUUGUCAUAGAAAUUCUUAAUAGCAUAUGGGGUUUAGAAAUCAAUGCAUAUAAAAUCCAUUUUCAAAAAAAAAUUAUUGAGACAUUAGUCUACAGUUUUUUUUUAAAAAAAUUAUUUUUUUAUUUUUAUAAUUUUUAACCAAAUAUUUAUAUUUUAAGUGUAAAAAUAAUUUUUUCUUAGUAGUUACAGUAGCUGCAACAUAAAAUCCACAACACUUCAUUAUCAAAUAAGCCGUACGUUUGAAUCAUCUAAACAACUUACUAGGAUGCCAUGAUUCACAUAAAAUUAUCAGCACUUAACAACACAAAAGUCAAAAAGCAAAUACUCUUACUCAAGUCUUAUAUUUGUUGCACGAAGAAGAAAGAAGAUAACAAUUUUAAAUUAACCAACAGGUUGAAUCUUAUCCUAAUACACACUAUCAGCUUUGAAUUAGCAUACCUUAGAAGUCCUGAACUCAUUCACGGCCACUCGAAGAGAAUCAUCCGAUAGAAUCAACCGUGACAACGCUCCAGUGCUUAACCUGCCACAUUUUUUCCUUCCGAGUUGGGGAAUCCGAAGCAGGGAUUGAGCGGCCAGCGCCAUCAUCAAUUUCAAUUUCCCUCACUGUGAAUGUGAUAAUCCAAGCAAAGCUUCGUUCUAGUAACACAUUCUUAUAGCAGGCCCAGCCCAAUCCAGCCCAGUCGAGCAAGUGAGCAAUGUUAUUAUUUUAUUAUUUUUGAACUUGCGGUGGCUCUGUAUUAUUUGCAAAAUACUCAUGUAAGGCAGAGAAUAUAUUUUAUAUUGGAAUAUUUUCAAAAUAAAUGGUGCUUUAAACAGGUUUUCGAUUGUAAAGAUAUGUCAUAUGCCUAAUUAAACAGUGUCGGGUAUAAUAAAAAUAUAUCUUUUUAUUUAAAGAUGUAUCCAUUCACGGUUUUAUACUUCAAUUUAAAAUGGUAAUGAUUUAUUUUGGACCGGUGAUGAUCUAAUUCAAAUUUUGAUUUAAUAACCAUAAAUGAAAAACUACAUUUGUAAUGUGUCUCGAAGCACCAUCAAUUCCUACCUAUAUUUCAAUUAAAAUAAGAGUGAAACUAUUGGCACCCAUUUAUUAUUCUUAUAAAACUUAUUUCAAAUAAAAUUACAGUUAAGGGUAAAGAAGAAAUAAACACAUGUAGGAUUUUUUCUUCCCAACAAAUUACUUACAUUAAUAAUCAAUCUUUUUUUUUAAUUUCCUACCAUUAUUUCUUAUCUAACUAAGAUAAAUUGUAUAAAUCUAGCAUAAUCUAUUUUUCUUUUCCUAUUUCUUAUUGAUUAAAUAUUUUCGUACUCAAGAUUACUUUCAAACUACAAUCUAAAAUAUGUGUUAUUUAAGCUAAUGAUUAGCAUUCAAACUUUAUCACCUAGAAAACUUUUUAAUUUGUAUUUAGGAUAACAAUAAGAUUGCAAAAGAGAUGAAAAAUAGCACAAUACUACUUUGAGUUUUAAGAAUAAAAGAAUAUUAAAUGAAAAACUAAAAGAGUGUCUUUGAAAAUAAAAGGAAAUGUUUGGAAAUAAAAUAAAUAUAACUGAAAAAAGGAUUUGAUGAGGAGACUAGAGGGGUGCCAAUAGUCCAACUUUUAAAAUAAAGUUUUAUCAAUUAUUGCUCCCCUUUUCUGCAAUUAUUAUUCCCCACCCAUAUUUCUCCAACAUUUUAUUUCAUAUAUUUACUCCUACUACACUCUAACAAAGGACGCCUUUUGGACUACAUCAGUUUCUAGAUGCAUUUUAUUAAUAAAUUAAAUAAAGGCACCAUCCCUUGUUCAAUUUCUCUAAAUGACCACUUUCUGUCAGCUCUCUUAAAAUUUAUUAAGGAAUCUAUGUUGAAGACCAUUUCAUCAUUAGUAUUGUGUAAAUGUAUAAAAAUACAUUUUACACUUUGAAAUUUAAAAUGACCUUCUUUUAGCACAAAAUUUUUAAACAAAUGCCUCUAACUAAGCGACAAAUUUAAAAAUACAUGAUAAGUACCAUAUCAGCCAUAUAAAAAGUGAAUCAUACUAUGAUAUAAGUGCAUUUAUUUUGAAAAACCAUCUCGUAAAUAAUGGUUAUAUUGAAUCUAAGUAAGUGCAUAUCAUACAAGACACAACCUGGCCCAGCCUCUCUGACGGAUUCAAGGUGAAUCAUGUGAUCUUAUAUCUAAAGCUUGUGAAAUAAAUUUAAUUCAUGAAUGCAUAACACUAGUCUCGGCCUUUGUUAUAAACAUAUAAUAACAUAUGUGACUCAUUCAAAAAUAUAUUCAAAACUUUCACAGUUUACAUCUUACUGUACAUACAUACACUUUAUAUAUAUACAUAUAAACAUAAACAUGCUCAAAAUAUAAGUUAUGCAGUAAUGCGUGUCGUGGCCAACAUUAACUGAUUAGAAACUAAACUGCACAAAAUCCUAUGAAAAUCUUAAAGAAAUGGGGGUAAAUAGGAAAAUAGUAUACUUGUGGCUAAAUGAAUGGAUAUAUAUAUAUAUAUAUAUAUAUAUAUAUAUAUAUAUAUAUAUAUAUAUAUAUAUUAGCGCUCUAGUGCUCGUACAUAAUUGUAUGACAUAACUUCGCACUGAACGCAUUAUACAAGCAAACAUAAAAUCAUAUAUUUAUACAUGAUAAAACUGCACCAAAUAAUAUCUAGAAGAAAUAACUCUCAAUACUCGAUGGAAUCAUCAUUGCACAAGUAAAGUAGGGGAAACACCUCGCAAUACUCAGCGGAAUUAACUACAUCACAAGCGCCGAGUAAUCUAACUCUCAAUACACAUACAUAGAGCCUAUGGUGAAGGGUACACAUAUGGUAUCUGGCAAUCACAUCUCAUUAGUCAAUCAAUCAUAUAAUAUGAGUACAAAUAAUCAUGACAUGAUACUAAAUCAUACUAUCAAGCAUAAAUACUUUGUAGAAUACAUAUAAGUAAUAAUAGUAAUCCACUCACAAAACAUUUUUCACUCCGGGGCUUGUUGGAGCUCUUAUAGAUUCCUUAAUUCUUGGAUUUCUCCUAAAAUAUAGGGUUCAAAAAUUAACUGUUAGAACUGAUAUAAAAACUUUUACAUAUGACAUAAACUAAAUCAUAAUUGUUCAAAUUUCUUAAAUACGUUACCUACUGACUUACUGGAUAUAUAUAGAUAUAACUAUCCAACUCUCUUUCCUAUAAUUUUUCCUCUCAAUUCCUCUUUUCAAAAUUAUUUUUCACUCUCGGUUUUUCUUUUCUUCAUCCAGUUAAACAUGUUCUUUGACAUAUAAUACAGUUUAUGGUCAAAAAACUCAUACGUAAUUGAAAUUAAAUUAUUUUUUAAUCUCAAUUUUAAAAUAUUUUAAAAUAUUUUAAAAGAUUUUCAAACAUAAGAUACAAUGGUAUACAAUUGAAGCCUAAUCCAACAUUGAAAGAUUAAAUAAAAUUAAUUUUCAUCACUACUCAAGAGACUUGAAAGGACGUUAAGGUAGCGUUUAUUUUUUAUUUAAAAUCUGAAUAGGUUAGAAUUUGAUUAAAGCCGAAUGGCUUUGAAUAUAAAUGUUUCAAUAACAUGUUAAUUUUUUUAAUAUCUAAAAAUUAAAUGGCAUCUUGUUUGUUUUUAUAAUAAGAAAACACAUCAAAUGUGGUUAUUUAACAUUUAUGUCUUUAUAAGUCAAAACGAAUAAAAGGGAUUAGGCUUCGUAGUUUAUGAAAUAACUAUAUUGAAUUGAAAUAUUUUUAGGAUAUAGUAUUUAUUUUCUAUUCAAUCAUUUUUUUCAUUUCGGCAAAGGUCACAAAAAUUUACUUUUUUAAUUCAAAUGUAAAUAUCUAAAAAUCAGACAUAUGUUACAAAAAAAAAUAAAUAAUUAACUUUUUUAAAAAAAGUUAAACUUUAUAUGUUUAAAAUAAACGCUAAGGAACAUGAAUAAGAGCUAUUAAAACAAAAACAAAAAGAAUAAUUUGGAAACUAAAUACAAUUAAUUGAGAGAUGAGGACCGAUAAGAUAAAUUCUAGAUAAAAAUUAAAAUAUCAACCCUACUUAUUGCUGGUAGUUAUGAGCAUUAAAGCACAGAAGCCGUGUCUUGAUAAGUAUGGAGUUCGUGCGGAAUUUUCAGCUAGAAGUCUACAAAGCAGUGGAAUUAAUCAAUCAUCGUGGAGUGCACGGUGGUUGGACAAUGAGAUGAAAUUGAAAAAUUAUCACGGAACGUGAACGAAGGUUCAUGGCAUCCAUUUAUUGUACAGAGUCACGCACAUUUGGUUCAAUAAUUGUUUUCAUCCGAAUCAAAAUCUCUCUCUAAUCAAUUCAACCGUUCCUGUUGAUUAUGGCUUCUUCUUAUCGAAACAACAAGAAGUAUGAUGUUUUUGUUAGUUUCAGAGGAGAGGACACCCGAGACAACUUUACAUUGAGAUGNNNNNNNNNNNNNNNNNNNNNNNNNNNNNNNNNNNNNNNNNNNNNNNNNNNNNNNNNNNNNNNNNNNNNNNNNNNNNNNNNNNNNNNNNNNNNNNNNNNNNNNNNNNNNNNNNNNNNNNNNNNNNNNNNNNNNNNNNNNNNNNNNNNNNNNNNNNNNNNNNNNNNNNNNNNNNNNNNNNNNNNNNNNNNNNNNNNNNNNNNNNNNNNNNNNNNNNNNNNNNNNNNNNNNNNNNNNNNNNNNNNNNNNNNNNNNNNNNNNNNNNNNNNNNNNNNNNNNNNNNNNNNNNNNNNNNNNNNNNNNNNNNNNNNNNNNNNNNNNNNNNNAGCAUCAGCCAUUUCAGUUAUCGUCUUCUCAGAAGGGUAUGCAUCUUCCAGAUGGUGUCUCGAUGAACUUGUAAGGAUCCUUGAGUGCAAGAAAGAGUAUGCACAGAUUGUGAUUCCGGUUUUCUAUCAGGUUGAUCCAUCAGACGUGAGAAACCAAACUGGGAGUUUUGGGGAUUCAUUUUCGAAGCUUGAAGAAAGAUUAAAGGAGAAUACUGAGAAGCUGCGGAGUUGGAGGAAAGCUUUGAAGGAAGCAGCCAGUUUGUCUGGCUUUCAUUCUCUUAACAUCAGGUGAAAAGUUACUUUUAAUUUCGCAUACUAAUAUUCAACACUGUAAAUAAAAUUCACGCACCACUCUUAGUUAAAUUUCCAGAUGCUAAACUACAUUUUUAAAUUUGUUUAUGCAUCAAAUUCUAGACUUCUUGAACUUCCCCACUUUUGAACUCCUAUAAAAGAAAUUUUGCAGAAUUAAUUUUUUUUGUCUUAACCACGAGGUAUCCUGGGAAGGGCCCCAACUUGGGAGGCACAACAAAGGCGAGUUCUCUGCGACUUGAACUGGGGAGCAAACCCAGUCAAGCCACUUAAGGGGACUCCAUUGUCAGUAGAGCCAAUACUUUGUUGGUUAUUUUUACAGAAUUAAUAAUAAAAGCUCCAGAAGUUUACAAUAUAUUUUAACAAAAUUAAUGGUCUUCUGUCGUUUUUUAAUCAAUUUCAAUCUCUUACUCAUAUACCAUUAGGAAAAAAAAAAAAUCUCUUCCACAUGUAACAUAUUCCUGUAAUUAAAAAGUUAUUAAUUUAUAGGGAGAUUGUAAAUUCCCUUAUUCAAAUCAAUAUAUACCACUUAUUCUGACUAAUUUUACAAUAUUUAAUAACUUUCGCGGUACCAUCACUUUGCAAUAUUAUCCUUCUGAAAAAAAAAUAAGUGGUAUAUAUUAAUUUCAAUUGGAAAACUAGCAAUCUCCCUUAUUUCAUAUUUCAUGCAAAUCCCUCCUAUUUGAAGUUACUGCUGCUAAUUUUAUGUAUUUGGUAGGCCUGAAUCGGAACUUAUAAACGAAGUUGUUAAUCACAUUUCAAAGAGACUGCUGGAUCAAGUUUUUCGGCGGAAUGAUAACAAAAACCAGCUGGUUGGAGUAGAAUCAAGAGUUGAGGAAAUUGAAUCUCUACUAGGUGUUCAGUCGAAAGAUGUUUACGCUUUAGGGAUUUGGGGCAUUGGUGGUAUAGGCAAAACAACAAUCGCUAGAGCUACUUUCGACAAAAUCUCUAGCGAUUUUGAAGGUUCUUGCUUCCUUGAAAAUGUUAGAGAAGAGUCACAAAAACCGGGAGGAUUAGCUUGCUUGCGACAAAAACUUCUUUCAAAUUUAUUGAAAGAUAAAAAUGUGAGUCUUGCUAUUGGUCUUAAUUUUAGAAGGCUCAGCCGCAUGAAGGUUCUGAUUGUUUUUGAUGAUGUGACUUGCUUCAGCCAAUUAGAAUCUAUAAUUGGAAGUCUUGAUUGUUUGACGCCUGUGAGUCGAAUCAUAAUAACCACCAGAAAUAAACAAGUGCUUAGAAAUUGGGGGGUGAGGAAAAUAUAUGAGAUGGAGGCAUUAGAAUAUCAUCACGCUCUUGAGCUUUUCAGUCGACAUGCCUUCAAACAAAACCAUCCUGACGUUGGUUACGAGAAAUUUUCAAGCAAGGUAAUGAAAUAUGCUCAAGGUGUUCCUUUAGCUCUUAAAGUUUUGGGUUGCUUUCUAUAUGAAAGAGAAAAGGAAGUCUGGGAAAGUGCAAUAAAUAAAUUGCAAAGAAUCCUCCAUCCAAGUAUCCUAGAGGUAUUAAAAAUAAGUUACGAUAGUUUGGAUGAUAAGGAGAAAAAUAUUUUCCUUGAUGUUGCUUGUUUCUUUCAAGGCGAGGAUGUAAAUCUAGUAAUGAAAUUCCAUAAUGCAAGCGGUUUCUACCCAGAAAUAGGAAUAAGUGUUCUUGUUGAUAAAUCUCUCAUUGCUAUUGGUUCAUACAACCAGAUAAGAAUGCAUGAUUUACUACAAGAGUUGGGUAGGGAAAUUGUUCGACAAGAAUCAAUUAAUCCUGGAAACCGCAGUAGGUUGUGGCAUCAUGAGGAUAUCUAUGAAAUUCUUACAUAUAACACGGUAAGCAGUUUGUUGUGGAUAAUUAUUUUGAAAUAUUCUAGCAUUUACAAACUUGAUAUGAAUAUAUUUAUAUAUGCUCGAACUGAUGAGUCUUAGAAUUAAUAGAAGAGCAACAAUGAUUAGAAAAAACCAUAUCCGUUAGAUGACGUAGCAAUAAAUUAUAAAUGCCAUGACAACUUGCAUAAUCGUUUGCAAGCAUAAUUGAUAUGCCAAUUUGUAUAGUACACAGACGGAAUUUUUAUAUUAAGUAUUACUUGUGUUAUUAUGUUUCUUUGUGCAUUUGCAAUUAAAAGUUUAACUGCCUAGCAAUAACUAUAAGCUACCUCUAAUUGUGAAUUAGUGAGAAACUUGCCCCAAAAAUUUGACUUGGUGGGGUUGAAGUGCGAUUCAUUGGUGGAAUACACAUAUCUUUCAUUUGAUUUUAACUUUAUUGCUUUUUCACUUCCUUUUAGGGGACAGAAAAAAUUGAGGGCAUAUGUUUGGAUAUGUCAAAAGUAAAAGAGCUCCGUCUAAAUCCCAAUACUUUCACAAAGAUGACUAAAUUGAGAUUUUUAAAGUUCUAUAGUUCAUUAUUCAAUGGAGAGAACAAAUGUAAGAUGUCUUAUUUGCAAGACCCUGGAUUUGCUGAAGUGAAAUAUCUUCACUGGCAUGGAUAUCCGUUGAAGUCAUUUCCCUCAAACCUCAGUGCAGAGAAGCUUAUGUUACUUGAAGUGCCUGAUAGUGACAUUGAACGACUUUGGGAUUGUGUGAAGGUAUGCAUAUCUUAUUAUAUAUGUGCAAUCUCUCAAUAACAACAUUAAAUUAUUAUACGUGGUAACGAUUUUGUCUUGGCCUCUUUUUUGACCGAGCAGCAUUAUAGUAAGUUAAACCAGAUAAUCCAUGCUGCCUGCCAUAAGCUAAUUGCCAAAAUUCCAAAUCCCACGUUGAUGCCACGUCUGAACAAGCUGGUUAUCUUGAAUCUAAGAGGUAGCAAAAGCCUGAAAAGUCUUCCAUCUGGAAUAUUUAACUUGGAAUUUCUUACCAAACUUGAUCUUUCGGGCUGCCCAAAACUGAAAAGGCUUCCAGAGAUCUCAUCAGGUAAUAUAAGCUGGUUAUUUUUAAGGGGGACUGCAAUUGAAGAACUGCCCUCAUCAAUUGAGCGUCAACUUAGGCUUUCGUGGUUGGACCUUUCAAAUUGUAAAAGGCUUAAGAGUCUCCCAAGCAGCCUCUAUAAAUUGAAAUCUCUUGGAAUUCUUGAUCUCCAAGGUUGCUCAAAUCUUCAGAGAUUGCCCGAAUGUCUUGGCCAAUUAUCCUCGCCAACAACAUUUAAUCUAGCGAAAACCAAUAUUGAGAGAAUACCAGAAAGCAUUAUCCAACUUUUCGUGUCGGGAUACCUCCUCUUAAGUUAUGGUGAGAGGUUCGAAUUCGUGCAAAAGCCUCCAUUCCUUGAACGAGGUUGCUUGGCACUGCAACCACUUUUAGGUUUGUUCUCUAAGUUAUGAAUCUUAUAGGCAAUUUUUUUUUACCGGAGCAAUAAUUUUAAAUUGGCAGGUAAUUCUACUGCAGGAAUUCUUGAAGAUACCCUGAGAAUUCAGCAUACGAACUUUAUGCCAGCCGUACGUUGGGAAGAAAUAUGGCAAGAAGUAUGGGUAAAUGUGUGUCUUUAACUCUCUCUACUUACAAUUUCUACAAUCUUUUUUUUGGGUUUAAAAUUAUGUUUUUUUGGUACAGAGAGGUUUUUCCAUGGGCAAACUUCAUAUCGUACUGUCUGGGAAUGAAAUUCCAAAGUGGUUUGAGUUUCAAAGUGUGGGAUCUUUUAUAACCUUGGAGAUGCCGCCAGAUUUCUUCAAUAAUAGCAGAGUGCAGGGCAUUGCAUUUAGUGCUAUUUUAGCAUUUUCAGACCGUCAUGUAGAUUGUGGCACAUGGUUUUCAUUUUCUUGUGAGCUCAAAGUAAAAACCACCAAAGAUUGUGGUCCGCAUGACACACGAUUAUUUCAGAGCAGAGUUAAUUAUGUAGAAUCAUAUCACUUACAUUUGGGGUACUAUCUGUUCUGUGAAGAGGAUUUUAAUGGUUUUUGGAAAUGCAAUUGCAUUCCUGAGGCAGUCCAGCGGGGUGAAAAAAUGUGGGAUCCAUUUACUUCACACCCCAGAUUCUACGAAUUCAAUGUAAGAUCCAAGCAGAUGUUUCAACUGUAACGUAGAAGACUGAGAUAGGUGUCAUUUUCACUCAACUCACCUGAGUUGUGAAUCCAUUUGCUUAAACAUGUAUGCACUUUUUCAAGUAUCUCUACCAAUUCCAUAUUUGGAAUGGUGCAUUUGAUUCCAUAGUUGAUGUGGUAUCGUCUAUGGUUAGAAUUUAUAUUUACAAAAAUGACUUGUAAGGGAAGGAUUGAAGAUGCCCGUGAACUUAUAUUUCGAUUUAGAUUAUUGUAUCUUUUUCAUGUAUAAAAUUGGAUCCUAUCAUUCACAUAUCAUUGACAUGAGCAAUAUGGAUUACUAAAUCAUUAUUCUUUAUUAUUGUGCUGAAUUUGAUUUUUUAUUGAAUAAUUUGAUAUAUUUCUUGAAUCAAUUUGGAGCUUCUACAACAUGUCAGAGAUCAGUUUCUCCAACAUUCCUUUCGGCGCCAAAAGAUAACCAAGCGGUUGAAUAAGAAUUGAUAUAUACAACAUAAAUACAAGAGUUGUUUUGUCUUUUUACAAUAGGAAUAAUAUAUAAUGCUCGUUAAAACUUGCUGAUGAGAAAGUAAAUUCCUCAGAAAUUAAAUGUUUCAGCCAACCAAGGAAGCAGCUUUUCGUGGACCAACUCAGGCCUGUCGUCAUGGGGGCAAUGUCCUACUCCUUUCAAUACAAUUAACUUCACAUUUGAGAGUUUAGAAGGCAGAGAUGAGAUGUAUUUACCAACAGGUCCAUCGAGGGGUGUGAAUGGAUCCUCAUCAGCCCAUAAAACUAGUGCAGGUAUAGAGAUUGAUGGCAUCAAUUGAACUGGGUUCGGCCCUGGUGGGCCUGUUACAAUCGAAACAAAUGCGUCAAGUGCCCCUUCCUCAUUGGCGGGCUCUCGUAUGAUCUGCAGUUUUGAGGUCGAUUCAUGAAUUAUGAGACGCCAUUUUUGUAACAGGUUAAAAUGGCAUAUAAGUGGAGAAUAUUAAUACCUCAACCAGUGUUUCAUCCACAGAUUCCUUAUUUGCAUAAAUGGACAGUAAAAUAUUCCUCGUUGUUUCCCUGAAGCACCAAUGUAUACACAUCAUAGAUUUUUUUAAUUUUGACUCUAGUGUUUUAGGAUAAUGAACAAUGGACUGAAUAAAGAGAAGAGAAAAUACCUUUGUUUCACACGCUCAAAUAUAGCAGAAGCAAUUGGCCUUUGCUUCAACAAAAAAUCAAUGAACCAAAGCAAUGGGAACAAUAGCUUGAUUCUCCAAUCAUCAACAAUUGCCUUGUUGUUCAUGCCACCAGCACAAUUCAACAGAACAAGCCCUCGAACAAGGGUUUGACUGGAUUCUUAUGGUAGAAAAUAUAGCAGGUUUAUCGUAAACCAUAGAUACCAAAAAGGAUAAUUAGGGACAAGUGUUUCUUUGCAAGCAAGUUGAAGAAUAUCUGAUGUCCAAGGGGAAGUUAAAAUAAAUAUACCUGAGGCAGCGAUAACACAAGCUAGGCUUCCAACAGAAUUACCUAUAAGCACAGUUGGCUUCUGAACAACUUCAUCCAAGAAAUCCAAUAUUAGCUGUAUCAGUGAAUCUCACUCAAGUUAGCAAGGAAAAUAACUAAAGGUCAAGUGAUUGAUGACGUAAGUACAUAGAAAGAUCCAACUUCUGGGUAGGGAACAUUGCACACCUGAGCCCAUGCCUCCAUGGUAUAUGAAUAACCAGCUGGCUUAUCUGAAGCACCAAAUCCAAGGUGGUCAAUUGCAUAAACCGUGUAGCUCUUCGCCAGGGUGCCGAUAUUCCUGAAAUUACCUCAGAGAUAACAAGAAAAAUAUCAAUUCCUCACAUUAUUUAAUAGGAUAAAGGAGUAGUGAACACACAAAUUUUCAUUCCCCUCUUCUACGGAGCGGUAAAAUGAAUACUUUUUCACUAGAUUAAGAAUUGGAAAAUGGAAGAAGCCUAUACCCAUAAAAGGGUAAUAUUAAAUGGAACCCUGAAAUUCAGAUCACUGGUUUGUCAUCAUCUAGGUGCAAGGAAUAGAACUAAGUGUUAAUGCCAAUGCACCAUGAAAUAAUGAAUAGACUUUACUUUCAUUAUUCUUUUGCUUCAUUGAUCUUAAUUAAUUAUUAGAAGUAUAACACAUAUAAAUGCAUCCCUGGAGUUCAUAAUACAUAACAGAGUCAGAGAUAUUACAUACAUAAGGUAAAGACAUGCUCCAUACAAAAAAAAAAUAUUACAGUCGAAAAUACCCAGAACAUAAUUUGAAUUGAAUUCACAAUAAAGGAGCUACAUUUUUGUGCACCCAAUAAUCAACCCGCUAGACAAUUCACAACAAGAAAGAGCAAUCUUAUCUCGCUAACCUGCGCCAGUGAGGAAUGGAGACACCAAAGCCAUGGACAAGGAGUAGAGGAGGAGAAUCGGGAUGUGAAUUUGGAGUUGAAGAAACCAAGUAAUUGAUGGAGUACUGACCCUUCCAUUUCCACAUUUUGCAACUCUCCCUUAUCUCAUUAACCUCCAGUUCCAGUGCAGCAGAAGCAGAAUCCCCUCCACUGCUACUGUUAGUAUAACUGAUGGUAACAUUUUGUCUCUUCUUCUUCUCCUUAUUCCUCUGCUGCAACUCCAACUGCAACUGAAACUGCCAACUCUUAUUGCUCAAUAGGGGCAAGCGCAGGCCUUUUACAUCUCCAUUUCCAUUUCCAAUCCUGAGCGUUGUUAUUGGAAUAAUGAAAGAGGGAGCCCGAGCCCUUACCAUCCACACGCUCAUUCUUUUCUUGCUUUUUCGAUUGAAUAUUUUCUGUGGCCUGGCUUGGCCUGCUCCUCCCCUGCUUCCACCUCUAUGAGACUGUGGCUAUGACAAAAACUUUUUAUGUACUUAUUUAUUUAUUGGGCUUAUUCCACUAUUUUAUGAAAAUUUUACUGAUAUUCCUCAAAAAUCAAAAUGAUAAUACUUCGUCUAAAAAAUAAUUAUAAAACAUACAUGCUAUGUUUUAAAAUUUUCAAACAAAGAAGAACUUUGUAGAGUUAAUUAACUCGAUUUAUUUUAGUUUACUUUCAUGUGAUUUAGAUUAUUUUAUUAUAUUUAGCUACAAAGAUUGUUUUGUCAUAAGUUUAAAUUGAUUAUUUUACCCUUAUAAGGUAAAACUAUUGAGAAUUUACUUUAAUUUCAAUAUUUUUCUAAUUUUAUACCAAACUCAUUGUUUCUAAUACUAUUUUACUAGUAUGAGUUUUAAUCUUUAAUUAAACUAAAAUAGUAUCUUUAGGGCAUGAUACUCAUGUAACUUAUUGGGAUGUCAAUUUUAUGUUAUUUACACAUAAAAGUAGAGAAAAUAACAAUUAGAUUUUAUUUUAAAAUAUUAUAUUAUAAGCCACAAAAUUAGAUACAUAAAUUAUUAGAUACAAUAACUCAUGUUUAUUAUGGUAAUUUAGUCGCUAUAUAUCAUAAUAAUAAAAUACUAAAAUAAAUCUUGUAUUAAACUUUAUGAUUAAAGAUGGUCAAAUAACCGAAGAAGAAAAUCAAUAGAAGGAUUUUACUGAUUAACUAUACAAAAUUUUUAUUAAUUUGUAUUUUUAAAAAAAUAUUGUGAAUUCAUUACAAUUAAUUUCUAGAAGUAGGGUGGAUUUAUAAAAUAGUGGGGUGCAAAUACCCUUACCCAAAUAUUCCAUAAAAAGUGAAAACUAUUACCUUUUUCGAUGUACUUCUCUUGAAUUUUUUAUUCCUACGGAUAAACUUUAAUUCAUCCCCAAAUAAAAUGAUAAUCUCUAAUUUGCUCUCAAUGUAAAUCUCAAUUUAUUCUUCAUUUCCGUCCAAAAGAUGAGGGGCAAAUAAGGAAUGUGUUGAUGGGUUUUUUUUUUUUAAUCUUCUUAACAAUAAAUGGGGUAAAUUGAUAUUUUUAUACUUUUAGGUGAUAAAUUAAAGAUUUUCAUUCUGAAUUGGGGGCAAAUUAAAAUCUAUCUUAUUUCUAAAGGCACCACGUGAUUUGGCAAAAUAACUAAAAAGACAUUUUAUUUUUAGAAAAGGUCACACAUGUCUCUUUUGAGAUACACAAAUUCUCUUUUAGAUAAAACAUUAGGAUUUGUGUGAUUAUUUCUUAACCAAAAGGGUUUGUGUUUCAAAAAAAUGAUUAUGUAAUUAUUUUGCCUGACCGAGAGAGUCAUUAUUCAAACACCAAUCACAUUUUUGUUUUAACAAACACCCUUUCAUUUAUUCUUUAAGCUUUUUUUGUUUUUUCCCAAAAAAUGAUGAAUACAUAUUGAAAAUUUUGUUUUCAUUUUUUUAUUGAAAAAAUGAAAAACAACAAAGAUUACUGCUUCCUUGUCCAUACUUUUUCGUCCUAUAUUACCUUAAUUUUAUAUCGUUUUCUCUAUUUUUACUUUUAUAGUCCAAUUCUGAAAAUACACUAUUAGACACAUUUUUAAAUUCAAAAACACAAAACAUAGUGCAUCAUUUUCAUUAUAGGCAUUAACACCUGACGUACACAUUCUCCAAAUGGGAUUAAUGGAAAAAUAUAUAUAUAAAAAGGUGAGUCCUUCGGCCAAUCUUAUAGGUUCUAACGUUUUGAAGGUAAGUUUUAUCUUGUAACAUUCUCACAAAAUUUAAAAUCAACUGGGACGAAAAUUUUGAAAAUACUAUGAUUAGCACAGGCAUUUCAACAAUAGAGGAUGUAAUAAAAGCUCAUUGAGUUGAAACUUGAAAGCAAAAUUAGGAUCAAGGUCAUUUCUUUAAAAGAAUAAGGCAAGAUGCACGACAUGAAAUACCUGUGACCAAGCCUCAAAAGAUUCACCAAGCCCAGUAUUUUGCUUGCCCACGGCAUAAUUACACUUGGCUUCCCAAACAAAUAAUUGCUGGAGCUCGGACAAUGCAAGUAUUCAAUUUAACUUCAUAAAUAUCAGCAGGAGCAUAAUUACACUUGGCUCCCUAACAAAUAAUGCUGGAGCUCGGACAAUACGAGUAUUCAAUUUAACUGUACAUAGAUGUGCGGGGUUUUGGUGGUAAGUAAAAAGACGUGCCACUAUCAGUUGAGGAGUGCAUAAGAGGAUUACAUCUAUCAAAUACUAUCCGCCCCCCUCGGCCAAUUCUUCCACGAAAUUUGUGAGUUCGUGCUAUAGUGCCAUUCCUCGUAGAAGAAUCUGACGGCGGAACAAUACCUGCAGCGUCCAAUUUUUCUGGCACAAGGGGUUUUGUGAACAACAAAACUGGCUCGAGAGGAUCCUGAAACCCCACAGUUACAUUUUCAAAAUGAUGCACUGCUGAUAUUCAGAAAUAAAACAAGGAUAAAACAUUUUCUAAAGUUUACUUAAAUCAUUUUUCUUUCCAACCACAGAUAGGUCAAUAAGUCAAAUACUGGAGCUGACAGAGCGCUGGCAGAAUUAACUACAAACCCACCAGAUUUAUCUUGUUAAUUGAUUGUUUUCAAUUACCACGGUAACCCGGCUCGGGUGUUACCUCUGUUUCUGUCAGUGCUCUGUUGAAUAUUUCCGUUUAAAAAUCAGCAUCAUAUAUGUAAGUAGUAUGGCAGCAGCGAAAUAUCAUGUGUAAUAAUUAGGCUAUUAGGAGCAAAAGCUAUACGUACCAAUUUAUGUAGCCAUGCAUAAUAUAUUCAUUUUUGACUUGCAAAUUCUUCCUUUUCACAACAUUAGGUACAACUUUUCCUUUCCUUUUGAAGGCCCACUCCAGUAGGGGUGGGCAUUUGGUUCGGUUCAAUCUGAACCGAAUCGAACCGAACCGUAUUAUGAUAAUUUAAUUCGAUUUUGGUUCGCAGCAAAAAAAAUUAAAUGGUUCAGAAGCAUACAGAGUAGGGGUGGGCAUUUGGUUCGGUUCAGUCUGAACCGAACCGUAUUAUAAUAAUUUGGUUCGGUUUGGUUCGGAGCAAAAAACUAAAUGGUUCAGAAAUUCUGAACCAUUUGAUUUUUUAUUUGGUUCGGUUCAAAACCGAACCAAAUGGUUCAAGAAAAAAUUAAAAUUAAAAUUAAAAAAUAGUUCAGAAUUUAUCUUCUUUUUUUUAUUUCUGUUUGUUAGUUAAUACAUGAUAUUAUAUAUGUCAUUGCAUACACUUUAUUUUAUUGUUGAACUUUAUUAUUUUAAUUUAUUAUUGUUAAAUUUUAUUACAUUGGUUAUUAUUUAUGAAUUUCUAGAUUACUUUUGGAAUUUAUUAUGUUAAUUUACUAUUGUUAGAUUUUAUUAUGUUGUUUAUUGUUUGCUAAUUUAUAGACUCAAGAUUAUUGUUGUAUUAAUAGCGUAUUAUUAUAUUAUUAUUUUUAUUAAAUAAUGAAUAUAUAAGAUAAAAUCAAAUCAAACCGAACGGUUCUAUAAUUUGGCUCAUAAAUUCAUGAACCAUUUGAUUUCAGUUUGGUUCGGUUCAAGGGCUGAACCGAACCAAACUAAAUAGUUCCCACCCCUAAUAGAGAGUAAAAAGAGUUUCUUAUAAAUAAUUUGAGGAGGAUGGUUCUGCCACGACAGGUAAUACCAUAAACAAAUGAUUUCACCACAUUUCAAGAAAGCAUUUAACUUAUGCCUCAUUUUCAUUCUAGCAAUUUGCUUGCCAUUGGCUGAUUGGAAAAAGUGCAUUUAAGUGAUAGAAUACUGUCAACCUAUAGCACGAAUAGGGGUUAAACAAAGUAAAUCUCUACCUUUACAUGUCAAAUAAAAGACUUUCAUAAUAUCAAAUAUCAAAACUCAUGUCUAGUAAAGGAUUCCCCAAUGCUGGCUCUCAAAAUUGCUUUUGUUUCAUGGAUGAGAUGAUGGUUUUUGUGGAUAUUCUGCUCAACUUGGAUUAUGACUUGGGUCAGAUCCCAACUUGCUGCAAAGCUCACCUGACUAAAUCUUAGUUGAUUUGCUUUUCCAAACUAAAUCCAAGCAAGUAAGUACAAGAGAUAAAAGCAAAAGUUCAAGCAUCUCAUUUGAGCCUGUCACUAACAAAUGGUCAAUGAGCAAUGUCUAGCUAUGACUGAGCAACAGAAUCAAUAAACAGACAGACAAAAAAUAAUAAUCAAGUCAUCUGUCAAAUGCUAGUCCAAGAAAAUCAUAUAUAUAUGUAUGUAUGUAUGUAUGUAUGUAUGUAUGUAUGUAUGUAUAUGUAUAUGUAUAUGUAUAUGUAUAUGUAUGAUCAUUCAUUUCUCAAUCAACCACCAAAUUGAUGUCAACAAAGCCAUGAGGAUUGUCACACAAGUCUUUCAAUUCCCCUCUCUUUAGGCCAGAGACCAGUAAACCAUUUGAAAUAUAGAUGUGCAAACCAGUAAAUAAAUCAUGAAGUUACACACUAGUCUGCUUUCGCACUCAUUCAGAACUAUCAAUGAUACUUACUGCAAGUACGGUGUAUACAUUAUACUAAAGUGAAGGCUGGAUCAAUAAGAAAUUCAAAAUGUUUCAUCACAUUUGGGGCUUGAUGAUGCCAAAAAAAGACCAUACCAAUUAUGAUGAACAGUAAAAUGUGAACAAGAACAAGCAUACAUUUAAGAAAGCAGAGAAGCAUCAUUAAAAUAAAGUAUUCUUCUUACUAUUCUUGGAAAAUGGACCAAAAUAAAAAAGAAACCAUAUAUGGUUAACGUCACAACAAGAGUAUUUGUGCAUUUGUACAUCAUAGGAUAUUGGGAAGACAUCAGUAGAGAAGUGCAAAUUUUUUUUUGGGGAAAGGAACAGAGAAGUGCAAGUCAAAAAGGAGAAAAAAUGAAAAAAGAGAGAUCAAAAGGAAUGCAAUCUAAUUAAUUGUCUAAGGAGACUUCUAUGCUACAUUUAGCCAUUGGUUGAAUAGGCAGCUUGUUUUCUAGUACAACUUUAAAUUUUCCAAGAUUUAGAAUUUUCCUACUGAAGAAAACUAAUUUCUAAAGCAGCUAUUACCAUCUUCAUCCCAACGGUAAGCAGCUCCAUACUAAGGAAAGAAUGAAAUAAGUGUGUUUUACUUAUAGAAGCCCAUUCCUGUCCAGAGUGAUUAGUAAGUUGUUUCACCAUGACCCCCAUUAUGGUGACUGAAAAAAGAAAAAAAAAAAGAAGAAAAUAUUUGCCGAACACAAUAGUAGCACCUAAGAAGUCCUACUUAAGAGGCUUCAUACCCUGCACAAAUCGGAAAGUUUUUUAAAAUUUUCAUGUUUCAAAUGAAGAUUCUCCAUUAAAAAAUUACACACAUACUGUAUGUAAAGCAAUUAAAAAAAAAAAAAAAACAAGGAUAACCCAGAAACAAUCCAACCAUUAAUGAAAGUGAGCAAUGUUAUUGUUUUAUUAUUUUUGAACUCGUGGUGGCUCUGUAUUAUUUGCAAAUUAUUUACAAAAUACUCGUAUAAGGAGAGGGACAUAUUUUAUGCUGGAAUAUUGUCAAUAUAAAUGGUGCUCUAAAAAUGUGUCCGACUGUAAAGAUAUGUCUAAUUAAACAGUGUCAUAUAUAAUAAAAACGUAUCCUUUUAUUUAAAGAUGCUUUCAUUCAUGGUUUCAUGCUUCAAUUUGAAAUGACGAUAGUUUAUUUUGGACCAGUGAUGAUCUAAUUCAAAUUUUAAUUUAAUAACCAUGAAUGAAAUAACCACUUUCUGUUAGUUCUCUUAAAAUUUAUUAAGAAAUCUAUAUUGAAGGCCGUUUUAUCCUUUAGUGUUGUAGAAAAUACACUUUACAUUUUGAAAUUUAAAAUGACCUUCUUUUAAAUAAAAUUUUAAAACAAAUGCCUCUAACUAAGGAAGAAAUUUUAGAAUACAUCAGAAGUACCAUGUUAGCCAUACAACAAGUGAAUCAUGGUACGACACAUGUGCACUUAUUUUAAAAAACUAUUAUUCAAAUGGUGGUUAUAUUGAAUAUAAAUAUGUACAUAUCAUACAUGACACAAACCGCGUCAACCCUUCUAUUGGAUCUGGGGUGAAUCAUGCAAUUUUAUAUCUAAAGCUCAUGACAUAAACUUAAUUCAUGAAUAUAUAACACUAGCCUUGGCCUUUGCUAUAAACAUAUAAUAAUCUAUGUGCCUCAUUCAAAAAUUUAUUAAAAACUUACAUAGUUCAUAUCUCAUUGUACAUACAUUCACUUCGAAAAUAUACAUAUAAACAUAAACGUGGUCAAAAUGUAAGUCGUGCAGUAAUGCGUGUUGUGGUCCAACCUCAAUUGAUCAGAAAUUGAACUACACGAAAUCCUAUGGAAACCUUAGAGAAAUGGGGUAAAUAGGAAAAUAGUAAGUUUCUGACUCAAUGAAUGAAUAUAAUUAUAUAUAAAAAUAAAUUAGUGCUUUAGUGCUCGUCAUAAUUGUAUGACAUAACUUUACACUGAACGCUUUACAAAAGCAAACAUGAACUCAUAUAUACAUACAUGACAAAAUUGCACCAAAUAAUAUACAGGGGAAAUAACUCUCAAUACUCACUGUGAUCAUCAUCGCAUGAGUAAAAAGGGGGAAAAACCUCUCAAUACUCAGUAGAAUUAACAACAUCACAAGGGUCGAGUAAUUUAAUUCUCAAUAUGCAUGCGUAGAGCCUAUGGGAAAAGGUACACAUAUGGUGCCUGUCAAUUACAUCUCAUGACUCAGUCAAUCAUAUAAUGCACGUACAUAUAAUCAUAACAUUAUACAAAAUCGUACUAUUAAACAUAAAUGCUUUGUAAAAUACAUAAUAGUAAUAAUAAUAAUCCACUCACAGAUCCUAUUGAUGAAGCACGCACGUGCUUUGCUUUAAGCUAACAGCUUGCUAUUGCUUUGACAAUUAACCACAUGUGCCUCCUUUUAGCUUGCACGUGUGUCACAAUACAUGCAUUAGAAUUGGUUUUAUUCUCAUGGGUGAAGCAUGAAUGUGCUUUGCUUUAAGCUAACCGCUUGCUAUUGCUUUGACAAUUAGCCACAUGUGACCCGUUUAUAGUUUAGGAAAUAACAAUAUUGAAUCGAAAUAUUCACUACUAGAAAAAUGAGUUUUACUGACACUAAUUUAGCGUCAGUAAUUACUUUUAUUGACACUUGUUAAUUGUGUCAGUGUUGCUCAAGCCAGAACACACUGACACUAAUUUUUGGUGUCAGUAAUUUUUGUGUCAGUAAUUUGUUUCACUAUAGUAUCACUAAAAUAAUGACACGAUGAUGUUGGUAUUUAAUGAUACUAUUUACACGUCAGUGAUUUAUGUGACUAUAGUAUCAAUAAUAAGCUAGCUCGAUAAUAUAAAAAAUUAUUAAUGUCAAUUUAAAUAUUUAGUGUCAGUAUUUAAUAAUGUUAUGCAGGAUUGGUUAAUAAAUUUUUUUUAUUCUAAUUAUAUUUUUCCUGAAUGUUUUACAACCAAAAGAAAGCUCAAAAUAUAUUAAAUAUAUAAAAUGUCACAAUAUAAUUCACAUAAUAAACAUCCCAAAUACAUCACUCAAAUUCACAUGAUUCAACUACACCACUAUCUGGAAAAGAAAAAUAUAAAUACUAAAUUAAGUUUUCAACAACCACAAAGUACGAAUUUAGUUUCCACCAAAAAGAAGCACAAGAACAUCACUCAACAUCCAUCUGCAGCUUCAUUUUUUUCCCACCUACAACAACAUAAAAUCAAUUAGUAUGGAAAUAGAUUAUCGAAAACAAAUUGAUUGUGAGUAGUUAAACAGAGCAAUUGAAGGAUGUUUCAACAACUAAUAAAACAAUAAGAAAUAAGAUUACAAUAAUACUGAAAGUUAUAGAAAUAAAGAACCUUAGCUUAAGUUGUCUGAAGAAACCAUGUUGGAUAACCUGCUACAAGUCACAGAAAACAAAACAUCUAAGUCAAUCUAAUUAAAAACUUCCUAUUUUUUAUAAUCAAACAACAGAAAUCUGCAAUCAAAACAUCCAUUUGCCCACUCAAACUUUCAGCCUUAGCAUAAACUUCUUUCACUUUAAUCUCAUAAAACUUGUCAAAUUUAUGAAACUCUCAUCAAGCCUUCUAAAAAACUACCGCUCUCAUUCCCCUCCUUCCUCAACAAUCCUCAAAAGUAUUUUCAUUGCAAAAUAGCCCAAAAAAAUUAUAGGAGUUGUUUUGACUUUAGAAUAGCAACAAAACAGCCCCGGGAAAUCUGUAGGGGCUGUUGUGCAGUGAAAACAGUCACUAGAAAUUUACAGGGGCUGUCUUGUUGCUGUUCUAUAGUAGAAACAGCCCCUGCAAAUUAACACUUUCAAAUGAAUUAGAAAAGAAAAUAAUGUUACCUAUGAUAGUCAUCAUUGUUGAAGUCAUAGCAGAUAGCCUGCAAAUUAACAAUAAUAACAGCAUUUACAUCAGUUUAUGAAACUGCUUUUAUUGGUUUUUUUUUUGCAAGGAUAUGUAUAUAAAUAAUAGUGCAUUUAAACUUACAUAUAUAAUGCAUCUUAGACCAGCCAUUAAUGUGGUAUAGUUUUUGUAAAGUACCCUAUUUACCUCAGAAACUUCACUUUCCUCUAUGCCAAGAUUUUGAAUUAUCUAUUAUACACAAAGUAAAUUUGUAGAAACUAGUUAUACAUUUGUUAAACAAAUAAACAACUUAAAUGACAAAAGUUUACUAACUGAAUAGAAAUGCACCAAGGUCAUUAUAAAUUGGCACUACUUACUGAAAUGAUCAACAACAUUGACACUAACACCUCAUACAUAAAUUCAGAUUUUAAGCGUAUAAAGAGAGUUCAAAUGAAUGAUUGCUUAUACAUUUUAUAACAGAUUUUACAACAAUAAAGUAGAUAAAUGGCAACUCUACUAGAGGUAUGUUUCUAGUAUAAGGAAUCAAGCAUAAGUAAAGGAGCAAGGUAGUAUCUUAUCAUCCGCAUAAUCAACACACCAUGACAGAAAUCGAAUCAAAUAAAUACUACGAGUGCCGAAUGGAAGAAAGAAAUUAAAACAUUUUCUGUAAAAUAUUAUUAUUAAUCAAUAACAUGUCUUAAUAUAAAGCGAAAAGUUUCCGAUGAUAAUAUAAAUAUCCAAAACUAUAUAGUCAAAUACUCAAAAGCUGAAACCAAAAUAUCAGAAAAAAAUUUAUAAAAGCAAUAACAUAAACCUAAGCAGUAAACACAACAGACCCACCAGCUUUUUUAAUUUUCUUCUUGGCUGUUUUGGAAACGCUUCACCACAACGAGUUGGUUCUCAAGCAAAAGGCCCUUACCCAAAACCUUAAAGUAGCCAAACUGAGUCACAUCGAUCGUGGGAACAAUGUCUUUGGAAGCCUUGGCUUUGACCUCCUGAGGUACCAUUGGCCAAAGCCUUUUUUUUUUUUUUGAUCCAUGACAAUGAAAACUGAUCUUUUAUAUAUUCAAGCAAAUGAAGUGAAACCCCUGCUCAAAGAUACCAUAAAAACUAGAUGACAAUUUUGAACACUAGUGUCUAAAGCCCAGAGGCCUAUGUAUUUGAUAAAACAACUGACAGAACACUAAACACAUAAUGUUGAAAUUCAAAAGUUAAAAGGGUCAAACAGAGAAUUGAAACAUAAUAUGAUUCGCCCUUAAGAUAAAUUCUUGGCCCUCAAAUCACAUGCAGAAGCAAGCUACAUUGAAGAGAGAUUCGGAAGAAGCACUGAAAAUGCCAAAAGAUCGAAGUUGCCCUUCUUGAGAAAACCGACCUUAUGAUUACUAAGGCGAUUCAGGCAAGACAACUACUACACGAACCCUAAAAAUGGAGUUGCUUACCUUCUUCAGGGGAUGCGGGGCAAAUUAAAUUAUUACAGUAUUACUCACAACUCAAUUAAUUUGAGUAUUUGACUAAUCUAAUUUAGACAAAAAAUUAAUGAAAAAAUUAAAAAGUGGAAUCUCAACUCACUGUCUCAGGCGGCCGGCGCGAUGGCGACGGCUGAACGCGGCUGCAAAAGCAAUAAUUUAGACUGGAGGGUGAGAUGGUGACCAGAGACGGAGAAAGUGAGAGCGACUAAACGAGCGUGAAAGAGAGGGGUUGUUGCUGCUGUGUGUGCCUUCAGAGAGAGAGUGAAAGCGAGCGAGCUACUGCAGUGUGUGGUGCGACCUGCUGGGCUGCCGCCGCCGCCGCCGCCGCCGCGUGGGCUGCAUGUGCCGUUGUCAUCGUGUGUGCUACUAAGGCCUUAGAGAGGGGCUGCCGCUAGUUAGCGCUUAGGGAGAGUUAGGGAUUUAGGCACUUGGAAUUUUAGGGAUUUGGAUUUUAGUUUGUUUGAGAGGGAACAAAUUUUGGUGGAGGGAGAUCAAAAAUUUUGUGUUAAAUUAUAGCAAAGGGUUUGUAGUUAAUUAUAUACGGUUUAACCAAACAAAGAAAAUAUGCACACAAGUGGUUUGUAGUUUGAAAUUAAAAUUUUAACUUCGGAGAUAUUGAGUUCGAGUCCAAGUAAAAACAUAAUUAGAAUUAUAUUUGUUUUUAUCACUGAUACUAAAGUAUAAGUAAUUACUGAGUUUUAUGCUACUGACACCUUAGUACCAGUGAUUUAUGAUACAUAUUUGUUAAAUGGAAAAAAUGAUCCAAAUGUAUAACAUUACUGACACUUUUUACGAAGUGUCAGAAACGAAGUGUCAGUAAAAGUCAUUUUUGUAGUAGUGAUUCUUAGAAGAUAGUAUUUAUUUUCCAUUCAAACAUUUUCUCAUUUCGGCAAAGGUCACAAAAAAAAAUGCUUUUUUUAAUUUAAAUGUAAAUAUUUAAAAAUCAUAUAUAAGUUAUAAAAAAUAAAUAAUUAAUAUUUUUUUUAAAGUUAGACUUUAUAUGCUUAACAGUCAACCCUAAGGAACAUGAAUAAGAGCUACUAAAAAAAAAGAAUAAUUUUGAGCCUAAAUACAAUUAAUUGAGAGAUGAGGACGGAUAAGACAAAUUCAGAGAUAAAAAUUAAAAUAUCACCCUACUUAUUGCUGGCAGUUAUGAGCAUUAAAGCACAGAAGCACGUGUGUUGAAAAGUAUGGUGUUCGUGUGGAAUUUUCAGUUAACAGUCUACAAAGCAGUGGAAUUAAUCAAUCAUCGUGGAGUGCACGGUGGUUGGACAAUGAGAUGAAAUUGAAAAAUUAUCACGGAACGUGAAGGAAGGUUCAUGGCAUCGAUUUAUUGUACAGAGUCGCGCACAUUUGGUUCAAUAAUUGUUUUCAUCCGAAUCAAAAUCUCUUUCUAAUCAAUUCAACUGAUUUUGUUGAUUAUGGCUUCUUCUUAUCGAAACAACAAGAAGUAUGAUGUUUUUGUUAGUUUCAGAGGAGAGGACACCCGUGACAACUUUACCAGCCAUCUCUAUUCUGCUCUGUGUCGACAAAAUAUCCAAACUUUCAUUGAUGACCAACUUAACAGAGGAGAUGAAAUUUCGGAGUCACUUGUGAAUGCAAUUGAAGCAUCAGCCAUUUCAGUUAUCGUCUUCUCAGAAGGGUAUGCAUCUUCCAGAUGGUGUCUCGAUGAACUUGUCAAGAUCCUCGAGUGCAAGAAAGAGUAUGCACAGAUCGUGAUUCCGGUUUUCUAUCGGGUUGAUCCAUCAGACGUGAGAAACCAAACUGGGAGUUUUGGGGAUUCAUUUUCGAAGCUUCAAGAAAGAUUUAAGGAGAAUUCAAAGAAGCUGCUGACUUGGAGGAAUGCUUUGAAGGAGGCAGCCACUUUGUCUGGCUUUCAUUCUCGUAACAUCAGGUGAAAAGUUACUUUUAAUUUCGCAUACUAAUAUUCAACACUGUAAAUAAAAUUCACGCAGCACCCUUAGUUAAAUUUUCCAGAUGAUAAACUACACUUUUAAAUUUUUUCAUGCAUCAAAUUCUAGACUUCUUGAACUUCCCCACUUUUGAACUCCUAUAAAAGAAUUUUUGCAGAAUUAAUAAUAAAAGCUCCAGAGGUUUACAAUAUAUUUUAACAAAAUUAAUGGUGUUCUGUCGUUUUUUAAUCAAUUUCAAUCUCUUACUCAUAUACCACUAGGAAAAAAAAAAUCUCUUCCACAUAUAACAUAUUCCUGUAAUUAAAGAGUUAUUAAUUUAUAGGGAAAUUGGAAAUUUCCUUACUCAAAUCAAUAUAUACCACUUAUUUUGACUAUUUUUACAAUAUUUAAUAACUCUCCUGGUACCAUCACUUUACAAUAUUAUCCUUAUGAAAAAAAAUAAGUGGUAUAUAUUAAUUUCAAUAGGAAAACUAGCAAUCUCCUUUAUUUCACAUUUUAUGCAAAUCCCUUCUAUUUGAAGUUACUGCUGCUAAUUUUAUGUAUUUGGUAGGCCUGAAUCGGAACUUAUAAACGAAGUUGUUCAUCACAUUUUGAAGAGACUGCUGGAUCAAGUUUUUCGGCGGAAUGAUAACAAAAACCAGCUGGUUGGAGUAGAAUCAAGAGUUGAGGAAAUUGAGUCUCUACUAGGUGCUCAGUCGAAAGAUGUUUACGCUUUAGGGAUUUGGGGCAUUGGUGGUAUAGGCAAAACAACAAUCGCUAGAGCUAUUUUUUACAAAAUCUCUAGCGGUUUUGAAGGUUCUUGCUUCCUUGAAAAUGUUAGAGAAGAGUCACAAAAACCGGGAGGAUUAGCUUGCUUGCGACAAAAACUUCUUUCAAAUUUAUUGAAAGAUAAAAAUGUGAGUCUUGAUAUUGGUCUUAAUUUUAGAAGGCUCAGCCGCAUGAAGGUUCUGAUUGUUUUUGAUGAUGUGACUUGCUUCAGCCAAUUAGAAUCUAUAAUUGGAAGUCUUGAUUGUUUGACGCCUGUGAGUCGAAUCAUAAUAACCACCAGAAAUAAACAAGUGCUUAGAAAUUGGGGGGUGAGGAAAAUAUAUGAGAUGGAGGCAUUAGAAUAUCAUCACGCUCUUGAGCUUUUCAGUCGACAUGCCUUCAAACAAAACCAUCCUGACGUUGGUUACGAGAAAUUUUCAAGCAAGGUAAUGAAAUAUGCUCAAGGUGUUCCUUUAGCUAUUAAAGUUUUGGGUUGCUUUCUAUAUGAAAGAGAAAAGGAAGUCUGGGAAAGUGCAAUAAAUAAAUUGCAAAGAAUCCUCCAUCCAAGUAUCCUAGAGGUAUUAAAAAUAAGUUACGAUAGUUUGGAUGAUAAGGAGAAAAAUAUUUUCCUUGAUGUUGCUUGUUUCUUUCAAGGCGAGGAUGUAAAUCUAGUAAUGAAAUUCCAUAAUGCAAGCGGUUUCUACUCAGAAAUAGGAAUAAGUGUUCUUGUUGAUAAAUCUCUCAUUGCUAUUGAUUCAUACAACAAGAUAAGAAUGCAUGAUUUACUACAAGAGUUGGGUAGGGAAAUUGUUCGACAAGAAUCAAUUAAUCCUGGAAACCGCAGUAGGUUGUGGCAUCAUGAGGAUAUCUAUGAAGUUCUUACAUAUAACACGGUAAGCAGUUUGUUGUGCAUAAUUAUUUUGAAAUAUUCUAGCAUUUACAAACUUGAUAAGAAUAUAUUUAUAUCUGCUCGAACUGAUGAGUCUUAGAAUUAAUAGAAGAGCAACAAUGAUUGGAAAAAACCAUAGCGGUUAGAUGACGUAGCAAUAAAUUAUAAAUGCCAUGACAGCUUGCAUAAUCGUUUGCAAGCAUAAUUGAUAUGCCAAUUUGUAUAGUACACAGACGGAAUUUUUAUAUUAAGUAUUACUUGUGUUAUUAUGUUUCUUCGUGCAUUUGAAUUAAAGUUUAACUGCCUAGCAAUAACUAUAAGCUACCUCUAAUUGUGAAUUAGUGAGAAAAUUGCCCCAAAAAUUUGACUUGGUGGGGUUGAAGUGCAAUUCAUUGGUGGAAUACACAUAUCUUUCAUUUGAUUUUAACUUCAUUGCUUUUUUAUUUAUUUUUAGGGGACAGAAAAAAUUGAGGGCGUCUCUUUGGAUAUGUCAAAAGUAAAAGAGUUCCUUCUAAAUCCCAAUACUUUCACAAAGAUGCCUAAGUUGAGAUUUUUAAAGUUCUAUAGUUCAUCAUUCAAUGGAGAGAACAAAUGUAAGAUGUCCUAUUUGCAAGACCCUGGAUUUGCUGAAGUGAAAUAUCUUCACUGGCAUGGAUAUCCGUUGAAGUCAUUACCCUCAAACCUUAGUGCAGAGAAGCUUGUGUUACUUGAAGUGCCUGAUAAUGACAUUGAACAACUUUGGGAUUGUGUGAAGGUAUGCAUAUCUUAUCAUAUAUGUGCAAUCUUUCAAUAACAACCUUAAAUUAUUAUACGUGGUAACGAUUUUGUCUUGGCCUCUUUUUUGACCGAGCAGCAUUAUAGUAAGUUAAAUCAGAUAAUCCAUGCUGCCUGCCAUAAGCUAAUUGCCAAAAUUCCAAAUCCCACGUUGAUGGCCCGUUUGAACAAGCUAGUUAUCUUGAAUCUAAGAGGUAGCAAAAGCCUGAAAAGUCUUCCAUCUGGAAUAUUUAACUUGGAAUUUCUUACCAAGCUUGAUCUAUCGGGCUGCUCAAAACUGAAAAGGCUUCCAGAGAUCUCAUCGGGUAAUAUAAGCUGGUUAUUUUUAAGUGGAACUGCAAUUGAAAAACUACCCUCAUCAUUUGAGCUUCUACUUAGGCUUUCGUGGCUGGACCUUUCAGAUUGUAAAAGGCUUAAGAGUCUCCCAAGCAGCCUCUAUAGAUUGAAAUCUCUUGGAGUUCUUAGUCUCCUUGGUUGCUCAAAUCUUCAGAGAUUGCCCGAAUGUCUUGGCCAAUUAUCCUCGCCAAUAAUAUUUAAUCUAGCGAAAACCAAUAUUGAGAGAAUACCAGAAAGCAUUAUCCAACUUUUCGUGUCGGGAUACCUCCUCUUAGGUUAUGGUGAGAGGUUCCAAUCCGUACAAAAGCCUCCAUUCCUUGAACGAGGUUGCUUGGCAGUGCAACCACUUUUAGGUUUGUUCUCUAAGUUAUGAAUCUUAUAGGCAAUUUUUUUUUACCGGAGCAAUAAAUUUAAAUUGGAAGGUAAUUCUACUGCAGGAAUUGUUGAAGAUACCCUGAGAAUUCAGCAUACGAACCAUAUGCCAGCUGUACGUUGGCAAGAAAUAUGGCAAGAAGAUUGGCUAAAUGUGUGUCUUUAACUCUCUCUACUUACAAUGUCUACAAUCUUUUUUUUUUUGGGUUUAAAAUUAUGUUUUUUUGGUACAGAGAGGUUUUUCCAUGGGCAAAGGUCAUAUAGUACUACCGGGGAAUGAAAUUCCAAAGUGGUUUGAGUUUCAAAGUGUGGGAUCUUUUAUAACCUUGGAGAUGCCGGCAGAUUUCUUCAAUAAUAGCCGAGUGCAGGGCAUUGCAUUUACUGCUAUUUUAGCAGUUUCAGACCGUCAUGUAGAUUGUGGCAGAUGGUUUUCAUUUUCUUGUGAGCUCAAAGUGAAAACCACCAAAGAUUGUGGUACGCAUGACACACGAUUAUCUCAGAGAAGAGUUAAUUAUGUAGAAUCAGAUCACUUACAUUUGGGGCACUAUCUGUUCUGUGAAGAGGAUUUUAAUGGUUUUUGGAAAUGCAAUUGCAUUCUUGAGGCAGUCCAUUUAAUGUUUUUCCACCUUUGGAGUGCCAGUGCUGCGGGGUGAAAAAAUGUGGGAUCCAUUUACUUCACACCCCAGAUUCUACGAAUUCAAUGUAAGAUCCAAGCAAAUGUUUCAACUGUAAUGAAGAAGACUGAGAUAGGUGUCAUUUUCACUCAACUCACCUGAGUUGUGAAUCCAUUUGCUUAAACAUGUAUGCACUUUUUCAAGUAUCUCUACCAAUUCCAUAUUUGGAAUGGUGCAUUUGAUUCCAUAGUUGAUGUGGUAUCGUCUAUGGUUAGAAUUUAUAUUUACAAAAAUGACUUGUAAGGGAAGGAUUGAAGAUGCCCGUGAACUUAUAUUUCGAUUUAGAUUAUUGUAUCUUUUUCAUGUAUAAAAUUGGAUCCUAUCAUUCACAUAUCAUUGACAUGAGCAAUAUGGAUUACUAAAUCAUUAUUCUUUAUUAUUGUGCUGAAUUUGAUUUUUUAUUGAAUAAUUUGAUAUAUUUCUUGAAUCAAUUUGGAGCUUCUACAACUUGUCAGAGAUCAGUUUCUCCAACAUUCCUUUCCGCGCCAAAAGAUAACCAAGCGGUUGAAUAAGAAUUGAUAUAUACAACAUAAAUACAAGAGUUGUUUUGUCUUUUUACAAUAGGAAUAAUAUAUAAUGCUCGUUAACACUUGCUGAUGAGAAAGUAAAUUCCUCAGAAAUUAAAUGUUUCAGCCAACCAAGGAAGCAGCUUUUCAUGGACCAACUCAGGCCUNNNNNNNNNNNNNNNNNNNNNNNNNNNNNNNNNNNNNNNNNNNNNNNNNNNNNNNNNNNNNNNNNNNNNNNNNNNNNNNNNNNNNNNNNNNNNNNNNNNNNNNNNNNNNNNNNNNNNNNNNNNNNNNNNNNNNNNNNNNNNNNNNNNNNNNNNNNNNNNNNNNNNNNNNNNNNNNNNNNNNNNNNGUGGGCGUGGGUACUAAUCGAAACAAAUGCGUCAAGUGCCCCUUCCUCAUUGGCGGGCUCUCGUAUGAUCUGCAGUUUUGAGGUCGAUUCAUGAAUUAUGAGACGCCAUUUUUGUAACAGGUUAAAAUGGCAUAUAAGUGGAGAAUAUUAAUACCUCAACCAGUGUUUCAUCCACAGAUUCCUUAUUUGCAUAAAUGGACAGUAAAAUAUUCCUCAGUGUUUCCCUGAAGCACCAAUGUAUACACAUCAUAGAUUUUUUUAAUUUUGACUCUAGUGUUUUAGGAUAAUGAACAAUGGACUGAAUUAAGAGAAGAGAAAAUACCUUUGUUUCACACGCUCAAAUAUAGCGGAAGCAAUUGGCCUUUGCUUCAACAAAAAAUCAAUGAACCAAAGCAAUGGUAACAAUAGCUUGAUUCUCCAAUCAUCAACAAUUGCCUUGUUGUUCAUGCCACCAGCACAAUUCAACAGAACAAGCCCUCGAACAAGGGUUUGACUAGAUUCUUAUGGUAGAAAAUAUAGCAGGUUUAUCGUAAACCAUAGAUACCAAAAAGGAUAAUUAGGGACAAGUGUUUCUUUGCAAGCAAGUUGAAGAAUAUCUGAUGUCCAAGGGGAAGUUAAAAUAAAUAUACCUGAGGCAGCGAUAACACAAGCUAGGCUUCCAACAGAAUUACCUAUAAGCACAGUUGGCUUCUCAACAACUUCAUCCAAGAAAUCCAAUAUUAGCUGUAUCAGUGAAUCCCACUCAAGUUAGCAAGGAAAAUAACUAAAGGUCAAGUGAUUGACGACAUAAGUACAGAGAAAGAUCCAACUUCUGGCUAGGGAACAUUGCACACCUGAGCCCAUGCCUCCAUGGUAUAUGAAUAACCAGC
rnacentral:lncRNA from 1 species